UAGUGGAAAGUUGACAGCAACAACUGAGCCCACUCCUCUGGUUGAUUUAUUGAUGGCUGCUGACAAAUUUGAGGUCGUUUCCUGCAUGAAGCUUUGCGUUCAGCUUCUCAUGGUCCUGCCUAUGACUCCAGGAUCUGCAGUGAUGUGCCUAGAUCUCCCAUGUUCCAUUUCAAUGGCAGCAGACCUGAUAGAGGCAGCUAAGAAAUUCCUUGGUGAAAGGUACCCGGAAUUCCUGUCAACAGAGUAUGUGAUCCCAUAUUCUUUGGAUUGAGACACCUCUCCGUUUUCCCUUUACUAGGAAGCAUGUGGACAUUGUUGUCACAAAAUGACAUGGUUUUGCUACACUGCAUGUUCCAAGAUGAACUUAUGAGGAUCCCUGCUGCUGGGAUUGAGGACAUGUUAUCAGGGAAUGACUUCGGGGUUGCUUCUGAAGUAAUUGUCUGUGACUUCGUGCUCAGAUGGGCCUGUUCACCAUGCCCAAAUUCGGAAGAAAGGAGGAAUAUCUCGAGUUCUCGUUUACUUCCAGUAAUGCGUCUUCUUAUGACCAAUGCUGUCGAUUAUUCUUGCCGUACAGUUGACUGGGCUGUAAAGCGUGACCAGUGCCGCUCUCUACAAAUGCUGAGAGCAAUACUCAGUCAGCCAUUCAGUUGGGAAGAGUAUGUAUUCUCCCUCUCGGUACACUGGGUUGGUCAUCUUGGUCUCUAUAUAGAGAGGGAACAAAACAAAAGGCCAACAAGGGCAGUGGUUGUUCACAUGGAACCCAUCCUAUAAAACUGAGAUUAAAUAUAAUUGAAUCCGAAUUUUAGUAUCGAACCAUAUUAAAUGAAGUUAUUGUAUAUGUGAACACCACAAUCUUUAAAACAAAAUAAAAUGUGAACACCACAAACUAUCUCAUAUGUUAUUUUUCCCUCUGAGAUCGAUCUAUGCGAGCACAUCAAGAUCAGAGUAAGAAAUACAAGAUUAAGCAAACUAGAGAUUGCUACUUAACCAUGAUAUUCCACUUAUCGUCUCAUGGUUUUGUUUUCCCUGAGAUCUAUCCAAACAUAUAUGAUAAUAGUAUGAAAUGCAUGAAUCGUAUUUGUUUAUGGAGGGAAAAGCUAGUCUUAAAGGUGACUAGCUUUUGCGAGGCCUCUAAGUACAUAUUUUUAGCUCAAACCAUUUUAAAUAAGUAAUAGAUGAGACAAACCAUGUAUAUUAAAAGAAGCAAUUAUAUGUCUGUGAACCUCAAUCAUCGUUCAUGUUGUCUUAUUCCUCUGAGAUAUAUCCAGAAACAGCAACAUCAGACUAAGAAAUACCAGAGUAAACAAACUAGAAAUUGGUACCAAAUCUUAAACAUGAAAUUCAUUUUAUCGGCACAUCGUUUAUUUUCCCUGAUCGAUCUAUCUAACAGCCAAACAGCUAAGAUAACAGUAUGAAUGCAUGGAUCUUGAUUUUUAUUGAGGCAAGACGAGCCCUUGGGAGGCUUCCAAGACAGAUCGGUGGCUGAAGCCAAGGCGAGGUCCAAGGUGCUCCCCGAGCCAUCAGCCUCCUCCUCGGCGCUGUCCGCCGGCUGCACACUGCUGCUGGACGAAUCCCACUGCCCCAGAAAGUCUAUCUCGGCUGGGGGGUCCCCUUCACUGCGGUACUCCUUCCAAAACUCAGAGUUGGCUGCAACCAUGCUACCGGUGCCGCCAUUCCCACCUCGAACUGGCACAAGUGCUGGCGCCACAUUCGGGGCUCGGGGGCACCACCAUGACAAGCGGUGCAGCAGGGGCUGGCUGCACUGCAGCCGGGACUUUGCGAGAGGUCUGGGUGCCGCAGCUGGGAGCGGCACCAUGGGCAGAUGCGCAAUAAGGUUUGCCGUCCCAGCAAGGGUCUGCGGCCCUACAGGUAGCAUCCUCCGAGGGGUGAUGUGCCACUGUAUGUGGACAGCAAGGACGUUGUGCGAUACACACUGCACGUUGCAAAACGGGCACGGAGGUGGCAGUGGCCGUUUGGGUUCCAAGCCAUCUCGGGUGGAUUUUGGGUGAAGAGGGGUUUGAUGGCAAGGUGUUGGAAGAGCUGGCUUGCUUGGGGAAAUGGCCUGGGAUGGUUACAUUUAUAUAGGAUGCGGCUGAAUCACCCAACGGUCAAAAUGGAGUAACAACGCGUCAUCUCCAUGCGGAAACUUAUGAUUCGUGCUUUUUUUCAAUAAGAAACGUGUGCCACAAUGGAUGUACUUACAACUUUUGUGCUAUUUUAGUAAGAGACAACGGACGUACACACUAGCUUCCCGGUUUAUAUCGCAAACACCGUCAAAGCAAUAAUUAUAUGAGUCAGGGACACCACUUUUAAAUUUUUGUAAUUUCUAAAAUAUUUCAGGCGCCCAUAAUUUUUGUUUUCACUUCUGUUCGGCCAAGUGACCAAGUGAUUCUGCGUACUUUACUCGUAAAUCAAUCCCAAGAAAUUUUUACAACUUAUUGAUUUAUCGCACAAAUACAUGCAUGGCUCAUCGAGGUAUUGUCUUAGAUUUUGGACAUCAAUAACUGCCACACGUCUCUUUAGUAAAACAGAUUGCCAUGUCACCGCAUGCAUGCAUGUGCGAAUCUCACUACUGCAGGAAUGUCUAGUAGUGGCCGGCGCAAAAAGAACAGUUAUGGCGGGCCAGACUCCUAGGCUCGCCCGCCACUGCUAGUACCCCAUCAGUGGCGGGCAUGUCCACCCGCCCGCCACACCUAGAUGCUAUAGUUAUGACGGUCAAAUUCCGCCUCCCGCCGAACGUACAUCCACCAUGACUAAAAGUACAACCAGCAGCAAGAAUUUACAUAUUCGAUCAUAUGCAUUACGAUGUAUCAUAAUUUGUAGCACAUUUUAUCAUAGUCAAUAAACAAGCUAACAAUAGGUUGCCCAAGUACAUAUAGCAAAGUCUACAGGAACUAUGGAGACCACAUUAUGGAAACCAUAUUACCGCGUUCGUAGACGCAGAGAAAGUACGUUCAAGCAUCGAUCAUGGGGACCACAUUAUGGCAGUGCACAAAUAGUUAGCAAAUAAAAGUUCAGCUCCAUCAAUGCAACUUGCAAUUAAGCUCAGCUCUGUGAAGAGAUGUCCUCGUCUCCAAUCAUCUUCUCAACCUCGGCUAGGACGGACUUGGCAGUUUCAAAAACUUUCUCGGCACACUCAACGGCUCCUAACACCCUAUAGCAGCUUUGCAGCUUCUAGCGGCUGCACACGCAAGAUCGGGAGAUAAUUCAUCGCUCUUGGCAUAUUGUAGAGCCUUCUGGGUGUCUACUAGGGUCCUCUCGGCAUAGGGUUGUAGGAGUCGUAAAUAGGCCUGUCGGCUCCUCCAUCUAAAUCGCAAAAGUUGACAGUUAGAUAAACUACAUUUAUACGAAAGCAGGUAUAUAAUAAGAUAACUUAAACUGUAGGUGAAGGUGGUCCUUCACCUUGUCCUCCUGCUUUACCAAGUUCUUAGAGGAGGAGAAGAGAAAGGACAACCCCUACGACAACAGUUGGUAUCCUCCUCCGAAAACAACCCUUAUCUCAGUAUGUGGAUUUAAAGUGAGAAUUGCGUCGCCGAACAAAAAAUGUAGCUAACAAUAUCAGUAGACUAAUUAAAUAUUACAUGUAGAAAAAUAUUAAAUAGCUACGAACAAAGAAUGAAAAUAACAAUAUCAAACCACUACAUUAACUAUUAUUAUGAACGCCUGCAAAGAAAGUUCAUACCAUCUACGGUCUAUGAUAUACGAAUAUGAAUAAGAAAGUUCCUAUAAUCUACAAACAAAUAAUGUAACUAACAAUACCAACACCACUACAUUUAAAUUUGGGCAUGAACUGUGCUUUAAAAUGGACACAUUAAUUGCUAGAAAUUUGAAAAAACGGAAAUAAAUCGUUUCGCCAAAACAUUUGCUCUUAUUAUGAAUCCCUGCAAAGAAAGUUCAUAUAGUCUACAGUCUACGAUAUACGAAUAUGAAUAAGAAUGUUCCUAUAAUCUAUGAACAAACAAUGUAACUAAUAAUACCAACACAACUAUAUUAAAAUUUGGGCAUGAACUCUGCUUUAAAAUGGACAUAUUAAAUGCUAGAAAUUUGGCGAAACGGAAAUAAAUCAACGGUUUGCCGAAAACAUUAGCUCUUAUUAUGAAUCCCCGAAUCAACAUUUCGCCAAAACAUUAGUUUCUAUAAUCUACGAUCUAAGAUCUAUGAAUAUAAAUAAGAAACUUCGUAUAAUCAACGAACAAAGAAUGUAACUACAAUCUACAGUCUAGAAACCCUAGCCGUAACCCCAUAACUCACGUACUCCUAACUCUAACCCUAGUUGCCCUACCAAUGUGGGGGCGGCCACAGGCCAUUGGUGUUGGUGGCGGCCACGGCUGCGUUUGUAUUGGUGUUGGUGGCGGCCAAGGCCGCGUUGGCCCCAUCGGCCGAGUUGGUGUUGGUGUUGGUGUUGGUGGAAGCCACACGGCCACUUUGGUGUUGGUGUUGGUGGCCCCGACCGUUGGUGCGGGUGACGGCGGGGACGACGAGACCGUACCGGAUCCCAUGGCGACGGCGACGGUAGGGCCGACGGGGGCGACGAGGAGGACGGCUGGAACGACGGGGGCAAUGAAGAGGAUGGUGUGGCCGACGGGGCCGGUGGCUAGGAGGACGGCGGGCCUGACGGGGCCGGCGAAGAGGACGGCGAGGCAGAGGCGAUGGGGGUGCGCGUGGGUUGAUAAACUGUGUUCUUGCUACGGCGGGCGGCAACGAGCGACCGCCACAGCUACUUUCUGACAGAAGUGAACAUGUGGCAUGUAUAACUAGUGGCGGUUGCAUGGAGCUACCCGCCAGUGCUUACUCACAUACCUGUGGCAGGCACUUGGACGCGCCCAUCACUGCUGAGUUACGCAGACAAGGGAUCCCACUAGUAGAAAACAGGGCUUUGGUUCAGCCCUGGCCAGCCCAUUAGUCCCGGUUCAGUCACAAACCGGGACCAAUGGAGGCAUACGUCCCGCUUCGUGAGCCCGGGGGGCCGGCCGGGCCUCGUGGGGCAUUCAUCCCGGUUCGUAUGGACCCAUUUGUCCCGGUUCUAGGCACGAACCGGGACCAAUGGGCCUCUCUCCUGGCCCACAUCCAUUGGUCCCGGUUCGUGCCUGGAACCGGGACACAAGGGGGGCCUUUAGUCCCGGUUCCAGCCACGAACCGGGACCAAUGAGGUGCCUAUAAUACCCGUGAGCAGAGCACUCCACUACUCUGUUUUUCUGGCCGGCGAGGGGAGGGCAUUUUGGUGCUCUAGCUCACCUCCUAUGUACAUGAGGUGUUGGAUGAAAUGCCCAAGCCACACUAGUUAAGCUUUCUCCUCUCCAAACUCGACCUCCAAGCUCCAUUUUCUUCAAGAUUUGUCUAGGUUUAGCGGUCCGUCACGUCUCGUCCCCGUCUGCACCGCCGUUGAUCGCCCGCGCCGAUCUCGUUGUCGGCACCACCGUGGUGAGCCUCUUGUUCUUAUCUUCUUUCUCAAAGGAAAAAAAAUUCUUACUUGUAUGAUUAGAUAGAUACUUGUCUAAUUUUCUUACUUUUAUUAUUGCUUGUUAUUAUAUAGUGCGAAGGUUUUGGUAUCCACCCCCGUCGGCCCUUGUCCUGUCUAUGUUUCGGAUGUGGUAUAUAUUAUCUUUUGUAACUAUUAGGUUCAUUUCUUGUUUAUGACAAUUAUGCCGACCAACGUGACAUAGAUUUUAUUUAUCUAGGAUGUAUGUGAACCGGAAAUUCCAACCGACCCUAUUGUCGAGAGGUUAAAUUUAGUUGAAGAAGAAAACAAUUACUUGAAAGAAAAAAUAAAAAAAUUGAGGAGGAGAAGAUGAUAUUGGAGUUGCAUGUUGCGGAUGUCGUCGAUGAUCACAAGAUCAAGAUGGACGCAAUGCCUUUGAAGAUUAGAAAGAUUAGAAAAUAUGGCAUUCAUACCGAGGCUUGGUAUCAUUAUGCCGUUGGAUCAAUUGUUACCUUGGUUGCGAUUAUGAUCGCAUUUGUUGUUGCAUUGAAAUGUUUUACAUAGUUUCAAUGUAUGGUUUAAUUAGAUGCUCUGGAGAGCUAUAUGUUGUUCAAUGAGAACUAUGUAUGUACUUUGGUUUUAAUGUGAUGAUGAACUUCUAUUAAUUUGGUCACUUAUCUAUCCAUGAUGUGCUGUAAUGGUUUUUGACACACUUAAUUAUAUAUAAUGCAUGCAGAUGAACCGGCAAUGGAUGUACGGUGACAGACAAACCUCCGAGUAUGUUAAGGGCGUGCAUAAUUUUCUCGAAGUGGCUGAGGCAAACAAGCAGAAUGGUUUUAUGUGUUGUCCAUGCCCUAUAUGUGGGAAUAUGAAGUCUUACUCUGACUGGAAAAUCCUUCACAGCCACCUGCUUUAUAAGGGUUUCAUGCCACACUAUAAUUUUUGGACCAGGCACGGAGAAAUAGGGGUUAUGAUGGAAGACAGCGAAGAAGAAGAGGACGAUGACAACUAUGUGCCCCCGGAAUACGGUGAUGCUGCAAGGGGGAAGCUGCUGAAGAUCAAGAGGAAGCAGACGAUAUUGUGCCCGAUGAUGAUCUCCGUCGGGUCAUUGUUGAUGCAAGGAGACAGUGCGAAAGUCAAAAGGAGAAGCUGAAGUUCGAUCGCAUGUUAGAGGAUCACAAAAAAGGGUUGUACCCCAAUUGCGAAGAUGCCAACACAAAGCUCGGUACCGUACUGGAACUGCUGCAAUGGAAGGCAGAGAAUGAUGUGCCUGACAAAGGAUUUGAGAAGCUACUGAAAAUAUUGAAGAAGAAGCUUCCAAAUGAUAACGAAUUGCCCGACAGUAUGUACGCAACAAAGAAGGUCGUAUGCCCUCUAGGAUUGGAGGUGCAGAAGAUACAUGCAUGCCCUAAUGACUGCAUCCUCUACUGCGGUGCGUACGAGGAUUUGAACGCAUGCCCGGUAUGCGGUGCAUUGCGGUAUAAGAUUAGACGAGAUGACCCUGGUGAUGUUGACGGCGAGCCAUCCAGGAAGAGGGUUCCUGCGAAGGUGAUGUGGUAUGCUCCUAUAAUACCACGGUUGAAACGACUGUUCAGAAACAAAGAGAAUGCCAAGUUGAUGCGAUGGCACAGUGAGGACCGCAAGAAAGACGGGAAGUUGAGAGCACCCGCUGACGGGUCGCAGUGGAGAAAAUCGAGAGGAAGUACCAGGCUGAGUUUACAGGUGACCCAAGGAACGUAUGGUUUAGUUUAAGCGCGGAUGGCAUUAAUCCUUUUGGGGAGCAGAGCAGCAAUCACAGCACCUGGCCCGUGACUCUAUGUAUGUACAACCUUCCUCCUUGGAUGUGCAUGAAGCGGAAGUUCAUUAUGAUGCCAGUGCUCAUCCAAUUCCUUAAGCAAGCCGGCAACGACAUUGAUGUGUACUUAAGGACAUUAGUUGAAGAACUUUUACAGUUGUGGAUUGGAAUAGGUGUACGUGUGUGGGAUGAGCACAAACAGGAGGAAUUUGACCUGCAUGAGUUGCUGUUUUUAACCAUCAACGAUUGGCCUGCUCUCAGUAACCUUUCAGGACAGAGAAACAAGGGAUACCAUGCAUGCACACACUGUUUAGCUGACACCGAAAGUAUAUACCUGGACAAAUGUAGGAAGAAUGUGUACCUGGGCCAUCGUCGAUUUCUUCCGACCAACCAUCAAUGUCGAAAGAAAGGCAAGCAUUUCAAAGGCGAGACAGAUCACGGGAAGAAGCCCGCCAUGCGUACCGGUGAUCACGUACUUGCUAUGGUCACUGAUUUACACGUAAUCUUUGGAAAGGGUCCCAGCGGACUAUCUGUUCCGAAUGACGCUGAGGGACGCGCACCCAUGUGGUAGAAGAAAUCUAUAUUUUGGGACCUACCCUACUGGAAAGACCUAGAGGUCCGCUCUUCAAUCGACGUGAUGCACGUGAUGAAGAACCUUUGCGUGAACCUGCUAGGCUUCUUGGGCGUGUAUGGGAAGAUGAAAGAUACACCGGAGGCACGGGAGGACCUGCAAUGUUUGCACGAAAAAGACGGCAUGCCUCCAAAGAAGUAUGAAGGACCUGCCAGCUACGCUCUUACCAAAGAAGAGAAGGAAAUUUUCUUUGAAUGCCUGCUCAGUAUGAAUGUCCCGUCUGGCUUCUCGUCGAAUAUAAAGGGAAUAAUAAAUAUGCCACAAAAAAAGUUCCAGAACCUAAAGUCUCAUGACUGGCACGUGAUUAUGACGCAACUGCUUCCGGUUGCAUUGAGGGGGCUUCUACCGGAAAACGUCCGAUUAGCCAUUGUGAAGCUAUGUGCUUUCCUCAAUGCAAUCUCUCAGAAGGUGAUCGAUCCAGAAAUCAUACCAAGGCUAAGGAGUGAUGUGGUGCAAUGUCUUGUCAGUUUUGAGCUGGUGUUCCCACCAUCGUUCUUCAAUAUCAUGACGCACAUCCUAGUUCAUCUAGUCAACGACAUUGUCAUUCUGGGCCCCGUAUUUCUAGACAAUAAGUUCCCCUUUGAGAGGUUCAUGGGAGUCCUAAAAAAUAUGUCUGUAACCGUGCUAGGACAGAACGAAGCAUCUCCAUGGGCCAUCAAAUAGAGGAUGUCAUUGGAUUUUGUGUUGACUUCAUUCCUGGCCUUAAUAAGAUUAGUCUCCCUAAAAUCGCGGUAUGAGGGGAGACUGACUGGAAAAGGCACGCUUCGAGGGGACUCUAUAAUAUGCAGGGACGGACAUUCUUGGUCUCAAGUGUUGGAAAUAUGCCCUAGAGGCAAUAAUAAAUUGGUUAUUAUUAUAUUUCCUUGUUCAUGAUAAUCGUUUAUUAUCCAUGCUAGAAUUGUAUUGAUAGGAAUCUCAGAUACAUGUGUGGAUACAUAGACAACACCAUGUCCCUAGUAAGCCUCUAGUUGACUAGCUCAUUGAUCAAUAGAUGGUUACUGUUUCCUAACCAUGGACAUUGGAUGUCGUUGAUAACGGGAUCACAUCAUUAGGAGAAUGAUGUGAUGGACAAGACCCAAUCCUAAGCCUAGCACAAGAUCGUGUAGUUCGUUUGCUAAGAGCUUUUCUAAUGUCAAGUAUCAUUUCCUUAGACCAUGAGAUUGUGCAACUCCCGGAUACCGUAGGAAUGCUUUGGGUGUACCAAACGUCACAACGUAACUGGGUGGCUAUAAAGGUGCACUACAAGUAUCUCCGAAAGUGUCUGUUGGGUUGGCACGAAUCGAGACUGGGAUUUGUCACUCCGUGUAAACGGAGAGGUAUCUUUGGGCCCACUCGGUAGGACAUCAUCAUAAUGUGCACAAUGUGACCAAGGAGUUGAUCACGGGAUGAUGUGUUACGGAACGAGUAAAGAGACUUGCCGGUAACGAGAUUGAACAAGGUAUCGGGAUACCGACGAUCGAAUCUCGGGCAAGUAACAUACCGAUUGACAAAGGGAAUUGUAUACGGGAUUGAUUGAAUCCCCGACAUCGUAGUUCAUCCGAUGAGAUCAUCGUGGAACAUGUGGGAGCCAACAUGGGUAUCCAGAUCCCGCUGUUGGUUAUUGGCCGGAGAACGUCUCGGUCAUGUCUGCAUGGUUCCCGAACCCGUAGGGUCUACACACAAGAGGCCCAAGGCGCAGGGAAGGGGGGAAGGGGGAAACCCUAGGCUCAGAUGGGCCUAAGGCCCACCUAGUGGUGCGCCCCCCUCUCUCCCCCCUUGGCCGCCCCUCCAAGUCCCAUCUAGGGCUGGCCGCACCCCUUGGGGGGGGAACCCUAGAUGGGGGCGCAGCCUCUCCCCCUCCCCUAUAUAUAGUGGGGGGUUUGGGGCUGCCAGAGACAUGAGAACACCUCCCUCAUAGCGCAGCCCUACCCCUCUCCCUCCUCGUCUCUUGCGGUGCUUGGCGAAGCCCUGCUGGAGUGCCACGCUCCUCCACCACCACCACGCCGUUGUGCUGCUGCUGGACGGAGUCUUCCCCAACCUCUCCCUCUCUCCUUGCUGGAUCAAGGCGUGGGAGACGUCACCGGGCUGCACGUGUGUUGAACGCGGAGGCGCCGUGGUUCGGCGCUUAGAUCGGAAUCAACCGCGAUCUGAAUCACUACGAGUACGACUCCUUCAUCCGCGUUCUUGCAAUGCUUCCGUAUCGCGAUCUACAAGGGUAUGUAGAUGCACUUCCCUUCCCCUCGUUGCUAGAUUACUCCAUAGAUUGAUCUUGGUGAUGCGUAGAAAAUUUUGAAUUUCUGCUACGUUCCCCAACAGUGGCAUCAUGAGCUAGGUCUAUGUGUAGUUUCUAUGCACGAGUAGAACACAAAGUAGUUGUGGGCGUCGAUUUUGUCAAUUUACUUGCCGUUACUAGUCUUAUCUUGAUUCGGCGGCAUCGUGGGAUGAAGCGGCCCGGACCGACCUUACACGUACACUUACGUGAGACAGGUUCCACCGACUGACAUGCACUAGUUUCAUAAGGUGGCUAGCGGGUGUCUGUCUCUCCCACUUUAGUCGGAUCGGAUUCGAUGAAAAGGGUCCUUAUGAAGGGUAAAUAGAAAUUGGCAUAUCACGUUGUGGCUUUUUGCGUAGGUAAGAAACGUUCUUGCUAGAUUCCCAUAGCAGCCACGUAAAACAUGCAACAACAAUUAGAGGACGUCUAACUUGUUUUUGCAGGGUAUGCUAUGUGAUGUGAUAUGGCCAAAAGGAUGUGAUGAAUGAUAUAUGUGAUGUAUGAGAUUGAUCAUGUUCUUGUAAUAGGAAUCACGACUUGCAUGUCAAUGAGUAUGACAACCGGCAGGAGCCAUAGGAGUUGUCUUAAUUUAUUGUAUGACCUGCGUGUCAAUGAAAACGCCAUGUAAUUACUUUACUUUAUUGCUAACCGUUAGCCAUAGUAGUAGAAGUAAUAGUUGGCGAGACAACUUCAUGAAGACACAAUGAUGGAGAUCAUGAUGAUGGAGAUCAUGGUGUCAUGCCGGUGACGAAGGUGAUCAUGCCGCGCCUCGAUGAUCGAGAUCAAAGGCGCAGGAUGAUAUUGGCCAUAUCACAUCACUUUAUGAUUUGCAUGUGAUGUUUAUCAUGUUUACAUCUUAUUUGCUUAGAACGACGGUAGCAUAAAUAAGAUGAUCCCUCACUAAAAUUUCAAGAGACGUGUUCCCCCUAACUGUGCACCGUUGUGAAGGUUCGUUGUUUCGAAGCACCACGUGAUGAUCGGGUGUGAUAGAUUCUAAAGUUCGAAUACAACGGGUGUUGACGAGCCUAGCAUGUACAGACAUGGCCUCGGAACACAUGCGAAACACUUAGGUUGACUUGACGAGCCUAGCAUGUACAGACAUGGCCUCGGAACACAAGAGAUCGAAAGGUCGAACAUGAGUCGUAUAGUAGAUGCGAUCAACAUGGAGAUGUUCACCGAUGAUGACUAGUCCGUCUCACGUGAUGAUCGGACACGGCCUAGUUUGACUCGGAUCAUGUAUCACUUAGAUGACUAGAGGGAUGUCUAUCUAAGUGGGAGUUCAUUAAAUAAUCAGAUGAACUUCAUUAUCAUGAACAUAGUCAAAAGGUCUUUGCAAAUUAUGUCAUAGCUUACACUUUAGCUCUACUGUUUAAGAUAUGUUCCUAGAGAAAAUUUAGUUGAAAGUUGGUAGUAGCAAUUAUGCGGACUGGGUCCGUAAACUAAGGAUUGUCCUCAUUGCUGCACAAAAGGCUUACGUCCUUAAUGCACCGCUCGGUGUGCUGAACCUCAGCGUCGUCUGUAGAUGUUGCGAAACAUCUGGACAUACACGUUUUGAUGACUAUGUGAUAGUUCAGUGCGUAAUGCUAACGGUUUAGAAUUGUGGCACCAAAGACGUUUUUUUUAAACGUCGCAGAACAUGUGAGAUGUUCCGAAGACUGAAAUUGGGAUUUCAGACUAAUGCCCACGUCAAGAGGUAUGAGACCUCUGACAAGUUUCUUAAGCCUGCAAACUAAGGGAGAAAAACUCAAUCGUUGAGCAUGUGCUCAGAUUGUCUGAGUACUACAAUCACUUGAAUCGAGUGGGAGUUAAUCUUCCAGAUGAGAUAGUAAUGGUUCUCCAUAGUCACUGCCACCAAGCUAUUAGAGCUUCGUGAUGAACUAUAACAUAUCAAGGAUAGAUAUGAUGAUCCUUGAGCUAUUCGCGAUGUUUGACACCGCGAAAGUAGAAAUCAAGUAGGAGCAUCAAUUGUUGAUGGUUAGUAAAACCACUAGUUUCUAGAAGGGCAAGGGCAAAAGGGAUACUUCAUGAAACAGCAAAUCAUUUGCUGCUCUAGUGAAGAAUCCCAAGGUUGAACCCAAAUCCGAGACUAAGUGCUUCUGUAAUGAGGGGAACGGUCACUAAAGUAGAACUACCCUAGAUACUUGGUAGAUGAGAAGGCAGGCAAGGUCGACAGAAGUAUAUUGGAUAUACAUUAUAUGAAUGUGUACUUUACUAGUACUCCUAGCAGCACCAGGGUAUUAGAUACCGGUUCGGUUGCUAAGUGUUAGUAACUCGAAAUAAAAGCUGCAGAAUAAACGGAGACUAGCUAAAGGUGAGAUGACGAUAUGUGUUGGAAGUGUUUCCAAGGUUGAUGUGAUCAAGCAUCGCAUGCUCCCUCUACCAUCGAGAUUGGUGUUAAACCUAAAUAAUUGUUAUUUGGUGUUUGCGUUGAGCACAAACAUGAUUGGAUUAUGUUUAUCGCAAUACGGUUAUUCAUUUAAGGAGAAUAAUGGUUAUUUUGUUUAUUUGAAUAAUACCUUCAAUGGUCUUGCACCUAAAAUGAAUCUCGAUCGCAGUGAUACACAUGUUCGUGCCAAAAAGAUAUAAAAUAGUAAUGAUAGUACCACAUACUUGUGGCACUGCCAUUUGAGUCAUAUUGGUAUAGAACGCAUGAAAAAGCUCCAUGUAGAUGGAUCUUUGGACUCACUCGUUUUUGAAAGGAUUGAGACAUGCGAACCAUGUCUAUUGGUAUAUAUGCACGAAGAAACUCCAUGCAGAUGGAUUGUUUGGACUCACUUGAUUUUGAAUCACUUGAGACCUGCAAAUCAUACCACAUGGGCAAGAUGACUGAAAGGCCUCGUUUUCAGUAAGAUGGAACAAGAGAGCAACUUGUUGGAAGUAAUACAUUUGAUGUGUGCAGUCCAAUAAGUGCUGAGGCACGCAGUGGAUAUCGUUAUGUUCUUACUUCACAGAUGAUUUGAGUAGAUGCUGAGUGUAUUUACUUGAUGAAACACAAGUCUGAAUUAUUGAAAGGUUCAAGUAAUUUCAGAGUGAAGUUGAAGAUCGUCGUGACAAGAGGAUAAAAUGUCUGUGAUAUGAUCAUAGAGAUGAGUAUCUGAGUUACGAGUUUGGCACACAAUUAAGACAUUGUGGAAAGUGUUUCACAAUUAAUACCGCCUGGAACACCACAGUGUGAUGGUGUGUCCGAACAUCAUAACUGCACCCUAUUGGAUAUGGUGCAUACCAUGAUGUCUCUUUACCACUAUCGUUUAUGGGUUAGGCAUUAGAGACAACCGCAUUCACUUUAAUAGGGCACCACGCAAUUCCGUUGAGACGACACCGUUUAGAGAAACCUAAGUUGUCGUUUCUUAAAAUUUUGGGGCUGCGAUGCUUAUGUGAAAAAGUUUCAGACUGAUAAGCUCGAACCCAAAGCAGAUAAAUGCAUCUUCAUAAGAAUACCCAAAACAGUUGGGUAUACCUCCUAUUUCAGAUCUGGAAGCAAAAGUAAUUGCUUCUAGAAACAAUUCCUUUCUCGAGGAAAAGUUUCUCUCGAAAGAAUUGAGUGGGAGGAUGGUAGAGACUUGAUGAGGUUAUUGAACCGUCACUUCAACUAGUGUGUAGCAGGGCACAAGAAGUUGUUCCUGUGGCACCUACACCAAUUGAAGUGGAAGCUUAUGAUAGUGGUCAUGAAACUUCGGAUCAAGUCACUACCAAACCUCGUAGGUCGACAAGGAUAUGUACUACUCCUGAGUGGUACGGUAAUCCUGUCUUAGAUAUCAUGUUGUUAGACAAUACUGAACCUACGAGCUAUGGAGAAGCGAUGGUGGGCCCAUAUUCCGACAAAUGGUUAGAAGCCAUGAAAUCCAAGAUAGGAUCCAUGUAUCAGAACAAAGCAUGGACUUUGGUCACUAGUAGAAAAGGGGGCUUUUGUCCCGGUUGGUAAGGGCCUUUAGUCCCGGUUUUUGAACCGGGACUGAAGGGUCGUUACUAAUGCCUCCCCCCUUUAGUCCCGGUUCUUACACGAACCGGGACUAAAGGCCGUCCACGUGGACGCAGCCUGGAGCUCCACCUUUAGUCCCGGUUGGUGUUACCAACCGGGACUAAAGGAAAUUUUAUGAUUUUUUUUCUUGAAAAAUUAUUUUGCGGAUUUUUUUUAUUUUUUUAUUUUCAAAUUUCUGAAUUAUUUUAACCUCUAAUCUCUAAUCACCACCCCUCAUCACUGCUCAAUUUAUCCUCUAAUCUCUAAUCACCCCUCAUCAUUCCAAAUCAUCUAACUUCCCGGACGGUCACCCAUCCUCUCACUACUCCAGCCUGAGCACGCUUAACUUCCGGGUUCUAUUCUCCCUCGUUUCCAAGUCUGCACUUGUUGUUUUCCUGACAAUAGUAAGAUGUCAAUUCUAUUAACCCUCAGGAAUUUAGCUUGAGCAUGAAGUGACACAUUUCACUUUUGAGUUUGAAACUAUUGUUUUAAAAAACAAUAAUUAUUUAGUAACACUAAUAUUUCUGGAAUAAUUAGUUUGACCAUUGUUUGACCACAGUUUGACCACAGUUUCACCAGAUUUGACCAAAAUUCAAAAAAACUGAAAUAAUUAUUUAGUAACACUAAUAUUCUAGAAUAAUUAGUUUGACCAUUGUUUGACCACAGUUUGACCACAAUUUGAAUUUUUUUGCCUCUCCAGAUCUUAAAAGCCCCGUAUCUUUUUUCUGUUAGGUUUUUGAGGAUUUUGAAAAUGUUUAUCGGGGUUGCCCCGGUUAAAUUCGGAUGUAACUUUUCGAGUAGAUGAUUUUUCAUAUAAAAAACUUUUUCAUCCGAGUUCGUAUGCAAAAGUUAUGCCCAUUUUAAGAAAUUCCAGAGAGAUUUUGCAAAUAAAGUCGAAAUUCAUAUUUGUUAAUUUUCCCGACAACUAGACCACAUAUCACAUGGGAAACUUAUUUUAUUUUAUUUUUUUGACAUUUCCAUCAUUUUCUUUUGUUUUUCUAAAACUGAAAAGGAGGUCCACGGGGGGAGGGGGGUAGAGUUUGAUGGGCCCUUUAGUACCGGUUCGUGACAUGAACCGGUACUAAUGCCUCCAAGCCCAUUAGUACCGGUUGGUGGCACCAACCGGUACUAAUGGGCAUCGCACCCUUUAGUCCCGGUUCGUGGCACCAACCGGGACUAAAGGGCCCAGGUGAACCGGGACUAAUGCCUUAGCCGCACGAACCGGGACCAAUGCUCACAUUAGUCCCGGUUCGUUACUGAACCGGGACUAAUGUGAAUAUUGCCCUGUGACGAAAUCCCUGUUUUGUACUAGUGGGUGAACUUGCCCGAUGACCGGCAAGCCAUUGAGAUAAAUGGAUCUUUAAGAAGAAGACGGACAUGGACGGUAAUGUUACCGUCUAUGAAGCUCGACUUGUGGCAAAUAGUAUUUUCACAAGUUCAAGGAGUUGACUACGAUGAGAUUUUCUCAUCCGUAGCGAUGCUUAAGUCCGUCGGAAUCAUGUUAGCAUUAGCUGCAUUUAUGAAAUCUGGAAGAUGGAUGUCAAAACAAGUUUCCUUACUAGUUUUCGUAAGGAAAGGUUGUAUGUGAUACAAUCAGAAAGGUUUUGUCGAUCCUAAGGAUGCUAAAAGGUAUGCUAGCUCCAGCGAUCCUUCCAUGGACUAGAGCAAGCAUCUCGGAGUCAGAAUAUACGCUUUGAUGGAGUGAUCAAAGUUUUUGGGUUUAUACAAAGUUUGUUAGAAACUUGUAUUUACAAUAAAGUGAGUGGGAGCGCUACAACAUUUCUGAUAAGUAUAUGUGAAUGACAUAUUGUUGAUCCGAAAUGAUGUAAAAUUUCUGGAAAGCAUAAAGGGUUGUUUGAAAGGAGUUUUUCAAAGGAAGACCUGGAUAAAGCUGCUUACAUAUUGGGCAUCAAGAUCUAUAGAGAUAGAUCAAGAUGCCUGAUGAUACUUUCAAAGAACGCACACCUUGACAUGAUUUUGAAAGAGUUCAAAAUAGAUCAGCAAAGAAGGAGUUCUUGGCUGUGUUACAAGGUGUGAGUAUUGAGUAAGACUCAAGACCUGACCACAGCAAAAGAGAGAGAAAGGACGAAGGUCGUCCCCUAUGCUUUAGACGUAGGCUCUAAAGUAUGCUAUGCUGUGUACCGCACAUGAAGUGUGCCUUGCCAUGAGUUGGUCAAGGGGUACAAUAGUGAUCCGGGAAUGGAUCACAUGACAGCGGUCGAACUUAUCCUUAGUAUCUAGUGGACUAAGGAAUUUUCUCAAUUAUGGAGGUGAAAAGGAGUUCGUCAUAAAGGGUUACGACGAUGCGUACUUUGACACUGAUCAGGAUGACUCUGAGUAGUAAACCGGAUUCGUAUAGUAGAGCAGUUAUUUGAAAUGGCUCCAAGUAGCGCGUGGUAGCAUCAACAAGAUGACAUAGAUAUUCGUAAAGCACACACGGAUCUGAAAGGUUCAGACCCGUUGACUAAUAACCUCUCUCACAAGCAUAACAUGAUCAAACCAGAACUCAUUGAGUGUUAAUCACAUAGUGAUGUGAACUAGAUUGUUGACUCUAGUAAACUCUUUGGAUGUUGGUCACAUGGUGAUGUGACCUGUGAGUGUUAAUCACAUGGUGAUGUGAACAAGAUUAUUGACUCUAGUGCAAGUGGGAGACUGUUGGAAAUAUGCCCUAGAGGCAAUAAUAAAUUGGUUAUUAUUAUAUUUCCUUAUUCAUCAUAAUCGUUUAUUAUCCAUGCUAGAAUUGUAUUGAUAGGAAACUCAGAUACAUGUGUGGAUACAUAGACAACACCAUGUCCCUAGUAAGCCUCUAGUUGACUAGCUCGUUGAUCAAUAGAUGGUUACGGUUUCCUGACCAUGGACAUUGGAUGUCGUUGAUAACGGGAUCACAUCAUUAGGAGAAUGAUGUGAUGGACAAGACCCAAUCCUAAGCCUAGCACAAGAUCGUGUAGUUCGUUUGCUAAGAGCUUUUCCAAUGUCAAGUAUCAUUUCCUUAGACCAUGAGAUUGUGCAACUCCCGGAUACCGUAGGAAUGCUUUGGUGUACCAAACGUCACAACGUAACUGGGUGGCUAUAAAGGUGCACUACAGGUAUCUCCGAAAGUGUCUGUUGGGUUGGCACGAAUCGAGACUGGGAUUUGACACUCCGUGUAAACGGAGAGGUAUCUCUGGGCCCACUCGGUAGGACAUCAUCUUAAUGUGCACAAUGUGACCAAGGAGAUGAUCACGGGAUGAUCUGUUACGGAACGAGUAAAGAGACUUGCCGGUAACAAGAUUGAACAAGGUAUCGGGAUACCGACGAUCGAAUCUCGGGCAAGUAACAUACCGAUUGACAAAGGGAAUUGUAUACGGGAUUGAUUGAAUCCCCGACAUCGUGGUUCAUCCGAUGAGAUCAUCGUGGAACAUGUGGGAGCCAACAUGGGUAUCCAGAUCCCGCUGUUGGUUAUUGGCCGGAGAACGUCUCGGUCAUGUCUGCAUGGUUCCCGAACCCGUAGGGUCUACACACAAGAGGCCCAAGGCGCAGGGAAGGGGGGAAGGGGGAAACCCUAGGCUCAGAUGGGCCUAAGGCCCACCUAGUGGUGCGCCCCCCUCUCUCCCCCCUUGGCCGCCCCUCCAAGUCCCAUCUAGGGCUGGCCGCACCCCUUGGGGGGGAACCCUAGAUGGGGGCGCAUGUAGGAGAUAUGCCCUAGAGGCAAUAAUAAAUGUUAUUGAUUAUCUCCCUGUUCAUAAUUAUGUUUAUGUUCCAUGCUAUAACUGUUGUGGUUCCCGAGCCCGCAUAUCCAUAAAGGCUCUGGGGAGAACCCAUCUGCACGUGUGGAAUAAUAAACGGUAAAAUGUAUUCCUAGUCGUGCCUCUAAGACUAGCUCAAGUAUUGCAUGAUGAUUAUGUUUUCCCAAUCAUGGGCAUGUCUAUGCCAAGCAACUUUGAGGGCACAAUGUCAGGAAGGACAUUUGUGUUGAAUCGACCCGAAUUGAUGUUACGCUAUGAGAUACAUUCGUCAAAAUUUAAUGGUUUAUAACACAGAGAUAGUUAAUGUUUGCACAAUUCCUUAGACCAUGAGAGUAUCGAGUUUCUUCAUGCUUGCUUCAUGAACUUUGGGGUUUGUUAAACGUCAUCCGUAACUGGAUGGCUAUUACGGCGGCUUACGGGUUCAUGGGAAAGUAUGUUAAGUAACUUGAUAGCUCGAGAUUGGGAUUUGCUCCUCCGACGAUGGAGAGAUAUACUCGGGCCCUCUCGGUGUUACGGUGUCCAUCAUCGUCUGGCCAGACACUUUGUGAUUUGAUCACGGGGAUGCCGGAACACGAAACGAGAAAAGAGAACAAAACCGGUAACGAGGUAACUUGCAUAGUGGACAAAGUGUUGGCCCACGGGGAUGCAAUAAAUCUCACCUCAGGUGUUUGUGAUAUAUCGUGAAGCAACAGGAAUAGCUCACUGCAAUUGGAGGUUCACUCGAAUAUUCAUUCAUGUGGGUAUAGGGGUCAAUAUGGGUGUCCACGGCUCCGAUGUUGAUCAUUGAUCGGAAGGGGUUCUGGGUCAUGUCUAUACUUCACCGAACCUAUAGGGUCACACGCUUAAGGGUCAUCUAUCUGCUGAAUACUAGAUAGGGAGUCUGAGAGAAAAUCACCGAAAAAGUUUCGGACACCGAAAAGUUUCGGACAGCGGAAAAGUUCCGCAGAGAGAGGUCACCGGAUGAGUUUCGGUGAAACCGAAAAAGUUGUUUCGGGGUAUGCCAUUAAGUCAAAAUGGUUUCGGCACAUGCCUGAUAAUUCUUGGAGGGUGCCAGAAUCAUUCUGGAAACUUUUUGGAAUUUUCAGAAAUAAAAACCGAAAGUGUUUCGGAGCUGCCGGUACCGCUUUGGCUGUUUUUCGCAGAUGAAAUUCACUAAUCUGAAAUUGUUUCAGAACGAAUCCAAAAUCAUUUUAGUGGGUACUAGAAUUAUUCUAAGACCCACAGAAAUAUUUUCGGAUUUAGUGGACGCGAAAAAUUGUCUUCAUGAAUAGUGAAAACGCAUUCUUGUUUGCUUUUCGCAGAUGAAAAUCACUAAACCGAAAUUGUUUCGGAACGCGUUGAAAAUUAUUUUAGUGGGUACUGGAAAUGUUCUGAGCCCACAUAAAUAUUUUCAGUUCGAACGGACGCUGAAAAAUGUCGUCAUGAAUAGUGAAAGUGCUUUUUGCUUGGCUUCUUGGAGAAGCCACCUUGAGGGCCUUUUUGGUAUUUCCCCCCUUGGCUUCUUGGAGAAGCCACCCUUGGGCUUGGCCUAUAAAUAGGGGUGAAGGGGGCUGCCUAAAGGAUCAUCCCUUCUCACAUACAAGUGCCAUGCAUGAUCUGGCUUUUCUCUCCCUCCCAGCGAAAUAGUUUCGUAGAGCCGAAAGGCAGUCUGGGUUCCGGUGGGAACUAGUUCUGGACGGCGAAGCCCUGCCGGAUAGAUGACACCGUAUGUGUGCAACUCUGUAGAGAGAUCGUAGUUUCGGUCUUAGUUCGUGAGUGCCUCCCGAAGGGCUGUCUGUGUGACCGUCCGAGUUUCGAAGGUCCUCCCGAAGGGCUGUCCGAGUGACCGUUCGAGUUUCGAAGGUCCUCCCGAAGGGCUGUCCGCGACACUGUCCGGGGGACUGUUCGACCACCUCCCGGAGGGCUGUCUGAGGAGCAGAUGAGGGUAUACAUCCUCGCGGUUGGGAGGUUGUAAAUCCUAGCUGCGGGGAUCUGCACCGCUGAUCGUCAUCGACUCUACUUCCCGCUGCGCUACGAGUCGGUAACGAAAAAGAUCAAACCUUGUAUGCAGUCUCCAUAGUGGUCCUGGGCUGGUGCGUAGGUCGGAAAUUUUUUGUUUUCUGUUGCGUUACCCUUCAGGUGCAUCAAGAGCCGUGCUAUGCGUAGAUGCAGGUUAUGAUCUAGAAUACAUGGAGAUGUAUGGGUAUUGCAUAAUAUAAUUUUGGAGUGGAUGAGAUCUAUUGCUGAAAAUUAUUUAUGCGGGUGACAGAUGAAAUCUGUUACCUGACGUUCUUGUUGCUUCCCUAGAAUUUGCGUUUGCUCAAUCUCGAGACAGCAUGGUGGAAUUUGACAAAGUUCUGGCAAUCCGUGAUCCUGAUUGAUCAUGGAAGUGCUAUCAGUUCUUUGGGUUCUGCCAUAGUCAAAAGAAAGAUGAAAUUCGUAGAUGAAAGGGCAUUGCAGAUAUGAUCUGCACGGGGGUCAUGCGUAUGACGAAGUUUAAUAUGGGGCUCGGGAUUUAAUUAUCCCGUGUUUCAUACACCCCGAGAUCUUAAUCUAGCAACAUGAACUAUCAUACUUGAUGAUGAACGUUGGUCGCUGCAGUUUAAGUCAAAACCUUAGAAGCCACGUAAAAUAAAUUUUGCAUAAACCGAUUAGAGGCGUCUAACUUAGUUUUGCAGGAUGUGCAUGUGAUGUGGUAUAGCAGUGCUCAUACUAAUUCGAUUAUGUAUGAGAUGACUAUAUGAUGUAAUUUGAUUAACAUGACCUGCGUGUCAUGGUUCGGCAUGAUGGCUGGAGCCAUAUGAUUGCACUUUAAUGACCUGCGUGUCAACCUUAAGUAAUGCAUUAAUUUUAUACGCUAUGGAGAUAGCAAUAUUAUCUGGUGCAUCGACAAGGUGGUGGCAAUCUUCGCGAAGGUGAACACCAACACGAAUGCCGAAGACGAAGAAAUGAAAUACUUCUCCGCCAGAAAGGGCUAUACCAUAUCAUGCUAUUAUGAAUUGCCUGAGAUGUUUAUCCCUUAUGUUGCACCCUUCUUGAUUGCACGGUAGUCGCUUUUUAUUAGGGUGAUCUCUCACAGAAAUACCAAGUAGUUAGUGUUCUCCCAAGUGUAGCACCGUCACGGCACCUAUCUUUUCGGGGUGCGCCGUGUCACACGGGUACGAACGAUUAGAGAAGCGUGAGGCGGGUGAGUUGAGACCUCGCAGCGAGAUCACUUGGUUGUCUUGACGUUCAGGCAUGACCGUCAUGAGCUCGGAACACAUGCAUCAAAAGAUGAACAAGAGUCACAUAGAGAUGUGAUUGGCAAGUUGGCCUACCGGUUGAGAUUUUUCGUCAUCAGUGGUGUUACACCAAUGACGAACAAUUGAAAUGUGGGUCUUGUAACACUCACAAUCAAUUUUGAGAGAUAUUGAUUUGAGUGGGAGCGCACUGUUGAAUUAACAUGUUUAAUUCUCAAUGCAAUUAAUUUUGUACACUGUCUAAGUGUGGUUUGCAUAAUAGUUAUAGAAUAAUGGCUCGCAUUUCCACCUUCCUUAUUAAAAUUGAAUAGCUGUUAAAUAUCUGGUUAAAACUUUACGAUUGGUAACAUAAUAUGAGGAUUGUCCUCAAAAGUGCUGAGAAGGACUUUGUCCUAUCGCAUGCUUUCCGUAUCCUCCCGCUAAUGCUAUGGAUCAUGUGACUCUCGUCCUUCGAUCCAAAAGCUAGAAUUCUGUUACGGUCAAGUGGAAUAUGUUUGCUUCCAUGAAACCCAAACUUCGAAAGUUGGGAUAGUUAUAUGAUAUUCAUGGAACUGAAAAUUAUUUUCAGAUACAAACAAGCAAUGUUUGUUUGCAAGUAUUAGUAAAAGUGUUUACUAUGCAUUUGACUGUUGGGAAAGGGAUCCAGAAGAACGCCUGUCAUAUAAUGAAAGGUGAAUAAAACAACAACUUAAAGAGAAAGGAAGUGUCCAAAGGGUGUUAGUAUGACUUACACGCCUAGGAAGUCCGGGGCUAACGCCACUCUUAAGUUGGGUGCUUCUUUUGCGAGUAGGAGAAAUACUAAAAGUUAAACUGCUAGAAGUAUAAAGGUAGAAAGAAAGAUGACUGGAAUAUCCAGCUCAUGUAUGAAUGUCAUACAAGUUUUUGAUGUAUAGUAGGCUGGUCAAAGAUAUAGUUCUUGGGAAUUAUGGUUAAACAUGUUAAUCACUAAUUCUUGGGUAUUGUGAGUUAAUCACAAAGAUACCCACUCGAUUGCAUUCUGUUACGAAUCAAUGUAAGAGCUACUAUGGCCUAAAAGGCUAGCCAGAAAUGAGGUUAAGGUAUACACAGGGAACAUAGUAAAUGUUACUAUACCUUCCAUCGGUGUAUUGCCGUUUGUAUUUAUUUUCAUAAUUCAUUUAGAGUUUUACAAACUCUAUCCCAUUGCAUAAGGUAUCUUGCAAGAACGUUGUUCAUAAGAGAACUUUUUAUGUUCAAUGUUAUGAAUAACACAAGGGCCAUACUUUCAUUAUGAAUGAGAUGUAUGUUAUGAAUAUUGAUAAUAAUAUAAUACCUCUGGGUUUACUUUCAUAAUUCAUUUUAGAGUUUCAUAAACUCUAGCCCAUUGCACAAUGUUUGUUGCAAAAGAGUUGUUCAUAAAAACAACAAUUGUUGUUAAGUAUUAUGAAUAACAUGAAGGGCCAUGCUUCCAUCCAAGAUGGAUGUAUGUUAUGAAUAUUGAUGGUAAUAUAAUACAUCCAUAACACUGACGCUAAAUGUCGCAAGACUAUGAGAAUACCACACAUGUGUGGCCUGUAUUUGGUCACAUUGGAGAAAUCCGCAUGGAAAAAUUCCAUUAUGAUGGGUUUUGAAGUCGUUUGAUUUUGAAUCAUCUGGCACUUGCAACUUUUCUCCGAAAAGUGAAGUGACUGAAAUACCGUUCACAGGCCAUAAGGAACGAGCAACAAACUUAUUGGUGAACAUACAUUUUGAUGUGUGUAGUUCAAUAAAUGUUGUUGCGAGUAGUGGCUUUAUAUAUCUUCAUAAAUGACUCAAGUAGAUAUAUGGAUAUUUGCUUGAUGAGACAUAAGUCUGGAUCUUUUGAACUCAUUCGAAAGGUUUUCAAAAAUGAAGUAGAAGUUAUUGUAACAAGAAAAUUAUGUUUCUGCAAUUUGAUUGCACAAAGGAAUAUUUGAGUUACAUGUUUAGCAAAUAUCUGAUGAGUUGUGAAAGGGGUUUCAUAACUUGCACCUCCCGGAACACCACUGCAAGUGAAAAGUCCGUGGAGAUGUAAUCUAACCAUUUAUGACAUGGUAAGGUCAAAGAUGACAUAAAUAAAUUUGCCAUUAUCCCUUUUAAAGUGAUGCUUUAGAGACUGCGGCUUUUACACUGAAAAGAGCUACAUCGGGUCUGUUGAAAUGAAGCCAUGGUAUGGUACGCCCAACCAUGUUAUAUCUUUUCUUAACAUUUGGAAUAUGGGGCUUGUGUAAAAGGUUACAAACCUAUUCCAAAUCAGACAAGUGCUACUUUGUAGGUUAUACCAGAAUGUUGGGUAUUCCUCCCUCACUAUACCGAGGCAAAUAGUUUUGCCGCGAAACGGUGUGCUUUUAAAGAGAAUGGUUCUUUCAAAAAGGUGAGUGGGAGAAUAGUGCAAAUCGACGAGAUAAACAGUAUCUACGUCAUCAGAUCAAACGAAAGAGACCUUGGAAGUAAUUCCAGAGUUUCCUACUGUGACUGAUACGGAAGUCUCUACAAUAAAAUGUAUGAACUUCGGUCGAACUUGCAGCUGAAACACGUAGGCAAGGCUCGUGCAAACCUCUCAGGUGCGCAAACGAGAUAUUGUUGUUAGACAACAUUAUACCUACGAUACACAAGGAAGCGUUGAUGGGCCCUGACUCCGGAAUUGGCUAAAUGCCAAUACAACCCGAGUUAGUUUCCAUAUAAGUGAUUCAAGACUUAAACCUUGAUACACCUUUCGGAAGACUUAGAGUCUAAUGAAUAUUUAUGGAACCUAAAACUGAUAUGGAUAAAAUGUUUUAUGCAUAAAGCUCGACUUGUUGAAACAACAAGUUCAAGAGUUGACUAUGAUGAUGUUGUUUUCAUCGUAGCGAUGCUUAAAGUCGGUUCGGGUUGAACUAGCAAUUAAUACAUAUUUCAAUCAUGAGAUAUGAAACAUGGAUGACAGUAGGAUUUCCAUAUGAUGGAAAUGAAACCAAGGACUUGCAUGUGUUACAGUCCAAGGCAUUUUGUCUGUCCAGAGGAUGCUAGUAAGGGUGCAAACUUCAGAGUUCCAGCGAUGGACAGAAGAGAGCAAAAUGAAGUUGGAAUCUUCGUGCUUUGAUGAAAUGGUCAAAGGGGUUUGACUUCAUCAAUGGGUAACGAAGAUGCUUGUAAUUCAAGAAAGUAAGUGGGAGCGUAAUAAUAUUUCUAAAAACCUUAUGUGCUUGGCACAUUGGUAAUUGGAAAUAAAUUUCUUGACACGAAUUAGGACUUCAUUUGAAAAUAGUUUUUUGAUGAAGUGCUUAGGCUAAAUAGCCUCAAUAUUAGGCAUGAUGAUCUAUGGAGAUAGAUUUACCUAAUGGGCUAAGCAAUGAAUACAUAUUGACAAGAUGCUAAAACUUUUUAGCAUUUAAAACGCCAAGGAGUGAUUCUUGCCGAAGUCACAUGGAAAGAGUUUUUGCAAGACUCGGUGUCCCAAAACACUGAUGAGUAAAAUACAUGAUGGAGAUUCCACACACUCUUGUGUUUGGAUUAAUCAUGUAUUCCAUGGUAUGUAAAACAACCAGAUAUGUCCGAUACUCCCAAGGUGUUGCGAGUAUGGAUACCAAAGUGAUCAAAUUACUGAUCAUGGGACAACAGUGAAAGAUGUCACAGAGUACUAGAGUAAGUACUGAUGACAUGGUUUUCUCGCAAGCAGAGAUCAUGAAGAGUUCGUUGUGAAAUGUUACAUCGAUACAUUCUUCAUCUUUUCUCCAUGCGAUUUUCCAUUUAAAUUAAGGGUUUUGUGUAACACACAAUGUGGUGGCACAGUUAGUUGGAAUUUGUUCAAACUAGUUACUGUGGCGAAUUCUAUAACAAGGGCUAAGUAUGUUGACGCUUUAGAAGUGACAAAGAAGAUGUUGAAUCAUAUAGUUCAUUCAUGAACUUAGUAUGGUUCCAAGAUGGCUUUUGACAAUGGGACACUACUGCAGAUAGUUGCUCCAUAACUCAGUCUGAGGAAUCCAGGUUCGACCUGUGAUUCACAUACAUACAAAGCCAAGUCCACACAAAAUAUGAAUUUUGUGAAAACAUGAAAACGCGAGGACAUGCAAAGAUACACACGGAGUUGAAGUCGUCAGAUCCGUUGGACAUCAGGCUAUACCACAAGCGAAGCAUAUUUACACCGGUGUGCCACAGGUGUGAAGUGCAUUAGCAUAAGCUAGAUUAUUGUCUCUAGUGCAAGUGGGAGUCUGUAGGAGAUAUGCCCUAGAGGCAAUAAUAAAUGUUAUUGAUUAUCUCCCUGUUCAUAAUUAUGUUUAUGUUCCAUGCUAUAACUGCUGUGGUUCCCGAGCCCGUAUAUCCAUAAAGGCUAUGGGGAGAACCCAUAUGCACGUGUGGAAUAAUAAACGGUAAAAUGUAUUCCUAGUCGUGCCUCUAAGACUAGCUCAAGUGUUGCAUGAUGAUUAUGUUUUCCCAAUCAUGGGCAUGUCUAUGCCAAGCAACUUUGAGGGCACAAUGUCAAGAAGGACAUUUGUGCUGAAUCGACCCGAAUUGAUGUUACGCUAUGAGAUACAUUCGUCACAAGUUAAUGGUUUACAACACAGAGAUAGUUAAUGUUUGCAUAAUUCCUUAGACCAUGAGAGUAUCGAGUUUCUUCAUGCUUGCUUCAUGAACUUUGGGGUUUGUUAAACGUCAUGCGUAACUAGAUGGCUAUUACGGCGGCUUACGGGUUCAUGGGAAAGUAUGUUAAGUAACUUGAUAGCUCGAGAUUGGGAUUUGCUCCUCCGACGAUGGAGAUAUACUCGGGCCCUCUCAGUGUUACGGUGUCCAUCAUCGUCUGGCCAGACACUUUGUGAUUUGAUCACGGGGAUGCCGGAACACGAAACGAGAAAAGAGAACAAAACCGGUAACGAGGUAACUUGCAUAGUGGACAAAGUGUUGGCCCAUGGGGAUGCAAUAAAUCUCACCUCAGGUGUUUGUGAUAUAUCGUGAAGCAACAGGAAUAGCUCGCUGCAACUGGAGGUUCACUCGAAUAUUCAUUCGUGUGGGUAUAGGGGUCAAUAUGGGUGUCCACGGCUCCGAUGUUGAUCAUUGAUCGGAAGGGGUUCCGGGUCAUGUCUAUACUUCACCGAACCUAUAGGGUCACACGCUUAAGGGUCAUCUAUCUGCUGAAUACUAGAUAGGGAGUCUGAGAGAAAAUCACCGAAAAAGUUUCGGACAGCGGAAAAGUUCCGCAGAGAGAGGUCACCGGAUGAGUUUCGGUGAAACCGAAAAAGUUGUUUCGGGGUAUGACAUUAAGUCAAAAUGGUUUCGGCACAUGCCUGAUAAUUCUUGGAGGGUGCCAGAAUCAUUCUGGAAACUUUUUGGAAUUUUCAGAAAUAAAAACCGAAAAUGUUUCGGAUCUGCCGGUACCGCUUUGGCUGUUUUUCGCAGAUGAAAUUCACUAAUCUGAAAUUGUUUCAGAACGAAUCCGAAAUCAUUUUAGUGGGUAUUGGAAUUAUUCUAAGACCCACAGAAAUAUUUUCGGAUUUAGUGGACGCGAAAAAUUGUCUUCAUGAAUAGUGAAAACGCAUUCUUGUUUGCUUUUCGCAGAUGAAAAUCACUAAACCGAAAUUGUUUCGGAACGCGUUGAAAAUUAUUUUAGUGGGUACUGGAAAUGUUCUGAGCCCACAUAAAUAUUUUCAGUUCGAACGGACGCUGAAAAAUGUCGUCAUGAAUAGUGAAAGUGCUUUUUGCUUGGCUUCUUGGAGAAGCCGCCUUGAGGGCCUUUUUGGUAUUUCCCCCCUUGGCUUCUUGGAGAAGCCACCCUUGGGCUUGGCCUAUAAAUAGGGGUGGAGGGGGCUGCCUAAAGGAUCAUCCCUUCUCACAUACAAGUGCCAUGCAUGAUCUGGCUUCUCUCUCCCUCCCAGCGAAAUAGUUUCGUAGAGCCGAAAGGCAGUCUGGGUUCCGGUGGGAACUAGUUCUGGACGGCGAAGCCCUGCCGGAUAGAUGACACCGUAUGUGUGCAACUCUGUAGAGAGAUCGUAGUUUCGGUCUUAGUUAGUGAGUGCCUCCCGAAGGGCUGUCCGUGUGACCGUCCGAGUUUCGAAGGUCCUCCCGAAGGGCUGUCAGAGUGACCGUUCGAGUUUCGAAGGUCCUCCCGAAGGGCUGUCCGCGACACCGUCCGGGGGACUGUUCGACCGCCUCCUGGAGGGCUGUCUAAGGAGCAGAUGAGGGUAUACAUCCUCGCGGUUGGGAGGUUGUAAAUCCUAGCUGCGGGGAUCUGCACCGCCGAUCGUCAUCGACUCUACUUCCCGCUGCGCUACGAGUCGGUAAUGAAAAAGAUCAAACGUUGUAUGCAGUCUCCAUAGUGGUCCUGGGCUGGUGCGUAGGUCGGAAUUUUUUUUUUCUGCUGCGUUACCCUUCAGCGCAGCCUCUCCCCCUCCCCUAUAUAUAGUGGGGGUUUUGGGGCUGCCAGAGACAUGAGAACAUCUCCCUCAUAGCGCAGCCCUACCCCUCUCCCUCCUCGUCUCUUGCGGUGCUUGGCGAAGCCCUGCUGGAGUGCCACGCUCCUCCACCACCACCACGCCGUUGUGCUGCUGCUGGACGGAGUCUUCCCCAACCUCUCCCUCUCUCCUUGCUGGAUCAAGGCGUGGGAGACGUCACCGGGCUGCACGUGUGUUGAACGCGGAGGCGCCGUGGUUCGGCGCUUAGAUCGGAAUCAACCGUGAUCUGAAUCGCUACGAGUACGACUCCUUCAUCCGCAUUCUUGCAACGCUUCCGCAUCGCGAUCUACAAGGGUAUGUAGAUGCACCCCCCUUCCCCUCGUUGCUAGAUUACUCCAAAUAUUGAUCUUGGUGAUGCGUAGAAAAUUUUGAAUUUCUGCUACGUUCCCCAACAUCAAGCACACUACCUUGGCGACCCCGUAUGUCGAUGAACACAAGAACAGUCUGCGCUCCGAACAGUAGGAGCAGUGUGACGACUGGAUUACAUGUGAACACAUCAGGACUUUCGGCAGUUGGUUGGAAACACGUCUCAGAGGUGACAACAUUGUUUGUGAUGAGCUGUACUCGUUGUCCAGGGGACCAUCUUCGACUGUAUUGACUUACAAAGGAUACGACAUAAAUGGGAAUACAUUUAACACGAUCGCCCAAUAUAAGAAUAGCACCAACCAAAACAGCGGUGUUCGCUUUGAUGCAUUAACCAAGAGGGGAAAGGACACAUAUUAUGGUUACAUAGUGGACAUAUCGGAACUUGACUACGGAGAUGAUUUUAAGGUCCCUUUGCUUAAGUGCAAAUGGGUCAAUCUGUCAGGAGGCGGGGUACAGGUAGACCCACAGUACGGAAUGACAACAGUGGAUCUGAACAAUCUUGGGUACACAGACGAACCGUUCGUCCUAGCCAAUGAUAUGGCGCAGGUUUUCUAUGUGAAGGACAUGUCUACCAAACCGAGAAAAAGAAAAGAUAAGGAAGGGAACACAUCAUACAAUGAGCCAAAGAGCCGCAUAGUUCUUUCUGGAAAAAGAGACAUCGCGGGAGUGGAGGGCAAGACAGACAUGUCCGAAGAUUAUGAAAAGAUUCAUGAAAUUCCUCCCUUCAAAGUCAAGGCUGACCCAAGCACCCUGUUAAACAAUGAAGAUUAUCCAUGGUUACGGUGCAAUAAGCAAAGGACAGAAGCGAAGAAAAGGUGAAGACUUUCUCUCCACGACUAUUAUGAUGAUGCCUUUGAUCUAGAAUAUCCAUGUAACAGACGAGUUUCCGUAUGAAACCCUGAUACUUCGAAAGAGAUUGUCCGUUUUGUACACGAAGUGCAUCCAGUUUUUACCAUAACCCUCUCAACUUUUUAGCACAUGCUAUUUGGGUGAAAUGAUGAUACCAUGCCAACUUUCAACCUUUUCAGAGUCCAUUUGUAAUUCUUUUCAAUUUCAGGGUCAUUUAGCUCAAAAAAAUCAGUAAAUGCAUGAAAAAUAACAAAUGAAGUCAGAAAGGGUUGAAAAUUGAUGAUAUUGGUUUGAAUGGUGCAUAUUGAACACACAAAAAGUCUGGAGUUCAAAUAAGUUCAAAAAAAUGAAAUCCCUUUGUAAUAGAUGAGUUUUCGUCCGAAACCCUCAUACUUCGAAAGAGAUUGUCCAUUUUCUACACGAAGUGCAUCCAGUUUUUCCCGUAACCCUCUCAACUUUUUAGCACAUGCUAUGUGGGUGAAAUGAUUAUACCAUGCCAACUUUCAACCUUUUAAGGGUUCAUUUGUAGUGCUUUUCAAUUUCAGGGUGAUUUAGCUCAAAGAAUGAACUAAUAUAAAAAAAGAAUGAACUAAUAGCAAAAAAAGAACUAAUAGCUAAAAGAAUGAACUAAAAAUAAUCAAUUAAAAUAUUCUGUUAUGAUCAACUAAAACAAAACUAUAAUAUUCUUCAAUAGCAAAAAGAAAAUCAACUAAAAAGCUUUUAUAAAACUCUAAUAGCAAAAGGAAUCAACUAAAAAGCUUUUAUACACCUCUUGUAUUUUUUAAACUAUAAUUAUACAAAAUUUCUGCAACUAAAAUUAUCAAAGUAUUUUCUGUUCAAAACAUGAAAAGCAAAAAGAAUUAUCAUAAAGAAUUUUUUGUUAGAAACUUUAGUAGCAAAAAGAAUUUUCAUAAAGAAUUUUUCUGAUAGAAACUAAAAUAACAAAAUCUGUUUUUGAAUAUAAUGAUAAAAUGCGGUAAUAUUAAAUAGCAGAAAAAAGAAUCACUCAAAAUAUAUUUUUGUAGUGAAGUUACUCACAAACUAGUGAUUCACAAAAAUUUCAAAGAAUUCAAAUUUAAACUAUUCAAAUUUGGAAACUAAUGGCACUAACAGAAAGUUUAUAAUUAUUCUGACCUAAAAGCAACAAGAAUUAAAAAAUAUAGCAAAAAACAAAAGAAAAUAAAUAAUUCAAAAAACAAAACAAAGAAUGUAACUAACAAUACCAACACCACUACAUUUAAAUUUGGGCAUGAACUGUGCUUUAAAAUGGACAUAUUAAGUGCUAGAAAUUUGGAAAAACAGAAAUAAAUCAACAUUUCGCCAAAACAUUAGCUCUUAUUAUGAAUCCCUGCAUAGAAAGUUCAUAUAGUCUACAGUCUACGAUAUACGAAUAUGAAUAAGAAUGUUCCUAUAAUCUAUGAACAAACAAUGUAACUAAUAAUACCAACACAACAAUAUUAAAAUUUGGGCAUGAACUCUGCUUUAAAAUGGACAUAUUAAAUGCUAGAAAUUUGGCGAAACGGAAAUAAAUCAACGGUUUGCCGAAAACAUUAGCUCUUAUUAUGAAUCCCCGAAUCAACAUUUCGCCAAAACAUUAGUUUCUAUAAUCUAUGAUCUAAGAUCUAUGAAUAUAAAUAAGAAACUUCGUAUAAUCUAUGAACAAAGAAUGUAACUACAAUCUACGGUCUAGAAACCCUAGCCGUAACCCCAUAACUCACGUACUCCCAACUCCAACCCUAGCUGCCCUACCAAUGUGGGGGCGGCCACAGGCCAUUGGUUUGGUGGCGGCCACGACAGCGUUUGUAUUGGUGUUGGUGGCGGCCAAGGCCGCGUUGGCCCCAUCGAUCGACUUGGUGUUGGUGUUGGUGUUGGUGUUGGUGGCCACGACCGUUGGUGCGGGUGACGGCGGGGACGACGAGAUCGUACCAGAUCCCAUGGCGACGGCGACGAUAGUGCCGACGGGGGCGACGAAGAGGACGGCUGGAACGACAGGGGCAAGGAAGAGGAUGGUGUGGCCAACGGGGCCGGUGGCCAGGAGGACGGCGGGCCUGACGGGGCCGGCGAAGAGGACGGUGAGGCAGUGGCGACGGGGGUGCGCGUGGGUUGAUAAACUGUGUUCUUGCUACGGCGGGCGGCAACGAGCGACCGCCACAGCUACUUUCUGACAUAAGUGAACAUGUGGCAUGUAUAACUAGUGGCGGUUGCAUGGAGCUACCCGCCAGUGCUUACUCACAUACUUGUGGCAGGCACUAGGAUGCGCCCAUCACUGCUGAGUUACGCAAACAAGGGCUCCCACUAGUAGAAAACAGUGCUUUGGUUCAGCCCUGGCCAACCCAUUAGUCCCGGUUCAGUCACGAACCGGGACCAAUGGAGGCAUACGUCCCGGUUCAUAAGCCCGGGGGGCCGGCCGGGCCUCAUGGGGCAUUCGUCCCGGUCCGUAUGGACCCAUUUGUCCCGUUUCUAGGCACGAACCGGGACCAAUGGGCCUCUCUCCUGGCCCACAGCCAUUGGUCCUGGUUCGUGCCUGGAACCGGGACAGAAGGGGGGCCUUUAGUCCCGGUUCCAGCCACGAACCAGGACCAAUGAGGUGCCUAUAAUACCCGUGAGAAGAGCACUCCACUACUCUGUUUUUCUGGCCGGCGAGGGGAGGGCAUUUUGGUGCUCUAGCUCACCUCCUAUGUACAUGAGGUGUUGGAUGAAGUGCCCAAGCCACACUAGUUAAGCUUUCUCCUCUCCAAACUCGACCUCCAAGCUCCAUUUUCCUCAAGAUUUGUCUAGGUUUAGCGGACCAUCACGUCUCGUCCCCGUCUUCACCGCAGUUGAUUGCCCGCGCCGUUCUCGUUGCCGGCACCACCGUGGUGAGCCUCUUGUUCUUAUCUUCUUUCUCAAAGGAAAAAAUUCUUAAUUGUAUGAUUAGAUAGAUACUUGUCUAAUUUUCUUACUUCUAUUAUUGCUUGUUAUUAUAUAGUGCGAUGGUUUUGGUAUCCGGCCCCGUCGGCCCUUGUCCUGUCUAUGUUUCGGAUGUGGUAUAUAUUAUCUUUUGUAACUAUUAGGUUCAUUUAUUGUUCAUGACAAUUAUGCCGACCAACGUGACAUAGAUUUUAUUUAUCUAGGAUGUAUGUGAACCAGAAAUUCCAACCGACCCUAUUGUCGAGAGGUCAAAUUUAGUUGAAGAAGAAAACAAUUACUUGAAAGAAAAAAUAAAAAAAAUUGAGGAGGAGAAGAUGAUAUUGGAGUUGCAUGUUGCGGAUGUCCUCGAUGGUCACAUGAUCAAGAUGGACGCAAUGCCCUUGAAGAUAAGAAAGAUUAGAAAAUAUGCCAUUCAUACCGAGGCUUGGUAUCAUUGUGCCAUUGGAUCAUUUGUUACCUUGGUUGCGAUUAUGAUCGCAUUUGGUGUUGCAUUAAAAUGUUUUACAUAGUUUCAAUGUAUGGUUUAAUUAGAUGCUCUGGCGAGAAUGAGAACUAUGUAUGUACUUUGGUUUUAAUGUGAUGAUGAACUUCUAUUAAUUUGGUCACUUAUCUAUCCAUGAUGUGCUGUAAUGGUUUUUGACACACUUAAUUAUAUAUAAUGCACGCAGAUGAACCGGCAAUGGAUGUACGGUGACAGCCAAACGUCCCAGUAUGUUAAGGGCGUGCAUAAUUUUCUCGAAGUGGCUGAGGCAAACAAUCAGAAUGGUUUUAUGUGUUGUCCAUGCCCUAUAUGUGGGAAUACGAGGUCUUACUCUGACCGGAAAAUCCUUCAGAGCCACCUGCUUUAUAAGGGUUUCAUGCCACACUAUAAUUUUUGGACCAGGCACGGAGAAAUAGGGGUUAUGAUGGAAGACAGCGAAGAAGAAGAGGACAAUGACAACUAUGUGCCCCCGGAAUACGGUGAUGCUGCAAGGGGGAAGCUGCUGAAGAUCUAGAGGAAGCAGACGAUAUUGUGCCCGAUGAUGAUCUCCGCCGGGUCAUUGUUGAUGCAAGGAGACAAUGAGAAAGUCAAAAGGAGAAGCUGAAGUUCGAUCGCAUGUUAGAGGAUCACAAAAAGGGUUGUACCCCAAUUGCGCAGAUGGCAACACAAAGCUCGGUACCGUACUGGAAUUGCUGUAGUGGAAGGCAGAGAAUGAUGUGCCUGACAAAGGAUUUGAGAAGCUCCUGAAAAUAUUGAAGAAGAAGCUUCCAAAGGAUAACGAAUUGCCCGACAGUACGUACGCAGCAAAGAAGGUCGUAUGCCCUCUAGAAUUGGAGGUGCAGAAGAUACAUGCAUGACCUAAUGACUGCAUCCUCUACCGCGGUGCGUAAGAGGAUUUGAAGGUAUGCCCGGUAUGCGGUGCAUUGCGGUAUAAGAUUAGACGAGAUGACCCUGGUGAUGUUGAUGGCGAGCCACCCAGGAAGAGGGUUCCUGCGAAGGUGAUGUGGUAUGCUCCUAUAAUACCACGGUUGAAACGACUGUUUAGAAACAAAGAGCAUGCCAAGUUCAUGCGAUGGCACAGUGAGGACCGCAAGAAAGACGGGAAGUUGAGAGCACCCACUCACGGGUCGCAGUGGAGAAAAUCGAGAGAAAGUACCAGGCUGAGUUUACAGGUGACCCGAGGAACGUAUGGUUUGGUUUAAGCGCGGAUGGCAUUGAUCCUUUCGGGGAGCAGAGCAGCAAUCACAGCACCUGGCCCGUGACUCUAUGUAUGUACAACCUUCCUCCUUGGAUGUGCAUGAAGCGGAAGUUCAUUAUGAUGCCAGUGCUCAUCCAAUGCCUUAAGCAAGCCGGCAACGACAUUGAUGUGUACCUAAGGCCAUUAGUUGAGGAACUUCUACAGUUGUGGAUUGGAAAAGGUGUACGUGUGUGGGAUGAGCACAAAUAGGAGGAAUUUGACCUGCAUGAGUUGCUGUUUGUAACCAUCAACGAUUGGCCUGCUCUCAGUAACCUUUCAGGACAGAUAAACAACGGAUACCAUGCAUGCACACACUGUUUAGCUGAUGCCGAAAGUAUAUACCUGGACAAAUGUACGAAGAAUGUGUACCUGGGCCAUCGUCGAUUUCUUCCGACCAACCAUCAAUGUCGAAAGAAAGGCAAGCAUUUCAAAGGCGAGGCAAAUCACGGGAAGAAGCCCGCCAUGCGUACUGGUGAUCACGUACUUGCUAUGGUCAAUGAUUUACACGUAAUCUUCGAAAAGGGUCCCGGCGGACUAUCUCUUCCGAAUGACGAUGAGGGACGCGCACCCAUGUGGUAGAAGAAAUCUAUAUUAUGGGACCUACCCUACUGGAAAGACCUAGAGGUCCGCUCUUCAAUCGACGUGAUGCACGUGAUGAAGAACCUUUGCGUGAACCUGCUAGGCUUCUUGCGUGUGUAUGGGAAGACGAAAGAUACACCGGAGGCACGGGAGGACCUGCAACGUUUGCACGAAAAAGACGGCAUGCCUCCAAAGAAGUAUGAAGGUCCUGCCAGCUAAGCUCUUACCAAAGAAGAGAAGGAAAUCUUCUUUGAAUGCCUGCUCAGUAUGAAGGUCCCGUCUGGCUUCUCGUCGAAUAUAAAGGGAAUAAUAAAUAUGCCAGAAAAAAAGUUCCAGAACCUAAUGUCUCAUGACUGGCACGUGAUUAUGACGCAACUGCUUCCGAUUGCAUUGAGGGGGCUUCUACCGGAAAACGUCUGAUUAGCCAUUGUGAAGCUAUGUGCAUUCCUCAAUGCAAUCUCUCAGAAGGUGAUCGAUCCAGAAAUCAUACCAAGGCUAAGGAGUGACGUGGCCCAAUGUCUUGUCAGUUUCGAGCAGGUGUUCCCACCAUCCUUCUUCAAUAUCAUGACGCACAUCCUAGUUCAUCUAGUCAACGAGAUUGUCAUUCUGGGCCCCGUAUUUCUACACAAUAAGUUCCCCUUUGAGAGGUUCAUGGGAGUCCUAAAAAAUAUGUCUGUAACCGUGCUAGGACAGAAGGAAGCAUCUCCAUGGGCCAUCAAAUAUAGGAUGUCAUUGGAUUUUGGGUUGACUUCAUUCCUGGCCUUAAUAAGAUUGGUCUCCCUAAAAUCGCGGUAUGAGGGGAGACUAACUGGAAAAGGCACGCUUCGAGGCGACUCAAUAAUUUGCAGGGACGUACAUUCUUGGUCUCAAGCACACUACACAGUUCUACAGAACUCUACCUUGGUGACCCCGUAUGUCGAUGAACACAAGAACAGUCUGCGCUCCAAACACCCGGAGCAGUGUGACGACUGGAUUACAUGUGAACACAUCAGGACUUUCGGCAGUUGGUUGGAAACACGUCUCAGAGGUGACAGCGUUGUUUGUGAUGAGCUGUACUCGUUGUCCAGGGGACCAUCUUCAACUGUAUUGACUUAUAAAGGAUACGACAUAAAUGGGAAUACAUUUUACACGAUCGCCCAAGAUAAAAAUAGCACCAACCAAACCAGCGGUGUUCGCUUUGAUGCAUUAACCAAGAGGGGAAAGGACACAUAUUAUGGUUACAUAGUGGACAUAUCGGAACUUGACUACGGAGAUGAUUUUAAGGUCCCUUUGCUUAAGUGCAAAUGGGUCAAUCUAUCAGGAGGCGGGGUACAGGUAGACCCACAGUACGGAAUGACAACAGUGGAUCUGAACAAUCUUGGGUACACAGACGAACCGUUCGUCCUAGCCAAUGAUGUGGCGCAGGUUUUCUAUGUGAAAGACAUGUCUACCAAACCGAGAAAAAGAAAAGAUAAGGAAGCGAACACAUCAUACGAUGAGCCAAAGCGCCGCAUAGUUCUUUCUGGAAAAAGAGACAUCGCGGGAGUGGAGGGCAAGACAGACAUGUCCGAAGAUUAUGAAAAGUUUCAUGAAAUUCCUCCCUUCAAAGUCAAGGCUGACCCAAGCACCCUGUUAAACGAUGAAGAUUAUCCAUGGUUACGGUGCAAUAAGCAAAGGACAGAACCGAAGAAAAGGUGAAGACUUUCUCUCCACGACUAUUAUGAUGAUGCCUUUGAUCUAGAAUAUCCAUGUAACAGACGAGUUUCCGUAUGAAACCCUGAUACUUCGAAAGAGAUUGUCCGUUUUGUACACGAAGUGCAUCCAGUUUUUGCCAUAACCCUCUCAACUUUUUAGCACAUGCUAUUUGGGUGAAAUGAUGAUACCAUGCCAACUUUUAACCUUUUCAGAGUUCAUUUGUAAUUCUUUUCAAUUUCAGGGUCAUUUAGCUCAAAAAAAUCAGUAAAUGCAUGAAAAAUAACAAAUGAAGUCAGAAAGGGUUGAAAAUUGAUGAUAUGGCUUUGAAUGGUGCAUUUUGAACACACAAAAAGUCUGGAGUUCAAAUAAGUUCAAAAAAAUGAAAUCCCUUUGUAAUAGAUGAGUUUUCGUCCGGAACCCUCAUACUUCGAAAGAGAUUAUCCAUUUUCUACACGAAGUGCAUCCAGUUUUUCCGGUAACCCUCUCAACUUUUGAGCACAUGCUAUGUGGGUGAAAUGAUGAUACCAUGCCAACUUUCAACCUUUUAAGGGUUCAUUUGUAGUGCCUUUCAAUUUCAGGGUCAUUUAGCUCAAAGAAUGAACUAAUAUAAAAAAAGAAUGAACUAAUAGCAAAAAAAAGAACUAAUAGCUAAAAGAAUGAACUAAAAAUAAUCAAUUAAAAUAUUCUGUUAUGAUCAACUAAAACAAAACUAUAAUAUUCUUCAAUAGCAAAAAGAAAAUCAACUAACAAACUUUUAUAAAACUCUAAUAGCAAAGGAAUCAACUAAAAAGUUUUUAUAAACCUCUUGUAUUUUUUAAACUAUAAUUAUAUAAAAUUUAUGCAACUAAAAUUAUCAAAGUAUUUUCUGUUCAAAACAUGAAAAGCAGAAAGAAUUAUCAUAAAGAAUUUUUUGUUAGAAACUUUAGUAGCAAAAAGAAUUUUCAUAAAGAAUUUUUCUAAUAGAAACUAAAAGAACAAAAUCUGUUUUUGAAUAUAAUGAUAAAAUGCGGUAAUAUUAAAUAGUAGAAAAAAUAAUCACUCAAAAUAUAUUUUUAUAGUGAAGUUGUUCACAAACUAGUGAUUCACACAAAUUUCGAAGAAUUCAAAUUUAGACUAUUCAAAUUUGGAAACUAAUGGCACUAACAGAAAGUUUAUAAUUAUUCUGACCUAAAAGCAACAAGAAUUAAAAAAUAUAGCAAAAAACAAAAGAAAAUAAAUAAUUCAAAAAACAAAACAAAAAUACUGGAAAAAAAAUGCCGCCUACUUGGUCACAUGGCCUGCAUAUGACUAGGAACCCAUCUAUACAUGGGCCAGGAUGCAGGCCCGCAAGCCCAAUAGGCCCAACAGGGCAGUGACAAGGGUAGGCAAGUACUGCCUGCAUAUUAGAGAGGAUGUAACAUCCCAAAAUUCUAAAUUUUGGAAUGUUAUAUUAAAUAAAUAUUUAUGCUUGUUUGUUUGAUUAUUGUGUGACUGAUUGUGUGAAAUUGAGUGAAAUUUGAAAAUUUUGAAAGUUGAAUGAGAGGGAAUGAAAUGACUUUCCCAAACUUUCACCCUUGCAUUUAUGAUCUCCAUGAAUUCAAAUUAUUUCAUCACAAAACCCUAGAGUGAAGAUGAUAUGACUUCUUCCAUUUAAAUAAAUGAAAAAAAAAAGUUUUGAAAAGAUUUGAAGUCCAUUUGGAAAUAUUUCAAAUUCGGAAACUUUAUGCAACUCAAUGAUUUUUAGGAGAGAAGAUAAAAUGACUUCUUCAAUUAUAUGAAAUAUGAGUUGGAAGUUAAAAAGAAUCAAAUUGAAAGUCAUUUGAAAGUAUUUUGAAACUCCUUUUCAAAUUUGGAAUUAUUUGGAUUUUAUUCAAAUUAUUUUUCUCCUAAAAAUAAAUAAAUGGAAAUAAGGGUAAAAUGAUUCCCUUCAAUGGAAAAUUAGGAGAAAAUAAUUUUUAAAUAAUUUUGGUAUUUUAAAAAUGAUUUGUGUUGGAUUCUAAUGCAAUAGUAGCACUGUUUGCUUUAUUUGAUUUUUUUUGGAUUUUAUUUGAUCUAUAUAAAUAGUUCAUGUUUUAGGAAAUGUUUUUCUGAAAAUUUUGAUAUAUUAUAUGUCCUAUAUAAUAUUUUUUCUAUAUAACUUAUUUUCUCCCUGUCUUAUUCCAAAAAAAAAGAGGGGAAAACCUAGCGCUAGCCAGGCCAGGCGGCCCAGGAGCCAGCCAGCCACUCGAGCCGCGGCCCAGCCAGCGCCGUCGCCCGAAGCCCCUCUCCUUCGGUCGCCCGCUCCUCUCUCUCUCGCCCUUGUGCCACUGACCGCUGGGCCCCACUGCCCGAUCGCCCUCGCCCGCCGUCUUCUUCCUCCCCACGCCAAGUCGCGCCGCCGCCGCCGGAAUCCCGAUCUUCUCGGGAUCACGAAUCCCCUCGCCCCGUCCUCCAAGAAUUCCUCCCCCUAUAAGUACCCCUCUCCCUCGACCCGUUCCCCUCCUUUCCCCUCACCAAAACCCCUUGCCUCGCCCGUAAUCUCUCGCCAGAGCCGAGCACCGCCGCCGCACCAUUGAUGCCCUAGAGCCCGCCUCCGACCUCCCCGACGGCCCCGAGCAAACGCCCAGACUCCCCUCGUUCCUGCGCAUUCCCUGAGCCGCUCCGCCGUCGCCAAGGAUCCCUGGAGCCGUCGCCCUCUUCACCACCGGACAUCACCGCCGCUGUCGAGCUCGCCCCGCUCGAGACCGCCGUCCCCGAGCCACGCCGAGGCCACCUUCAUGCUCGUCACCGUCUCCCACGUCGAACGGAGCCCUCCCUAAAGCCGGAGACCCACGGGAGGAGCCGCCACCGCUGCCGGCGACCUCGCCCGAGUUCACCUCCACCGCGGUGAGCACUCCACUCCCCCUCCACCGUCCGAUCUAAAAUAAACACCCUAGAUUAGAUCUAAUCUGGACGGUUAGGUUAUUUUUACUAGAUCGGUUUAGCUUCGGUUUAUUUACGGUUUAGAUCUAAUCGGUUUAGCCGGUUUUUCUUUUCUGUGCAAGCGCGUUAGUCUNNNNNNNNNNNNNNNNNNNNNNNNNNNNNNNNNNNNNNNNNNNNNNNNNNNNNNNNNNNNNNNNNNNNNNNNNNNNNNNNNNNNNNNNNNNNNNNNNNNNNNNNNNNNNNNNNNNNNNNNNNNNNNNNNNNNNNNNNNNNNNNNNNNNNNNNNNNNNNNNNNNNNNNNNNNNNNNNNNNNNNNNNNNNNNNNNNNNNNNNNNNNNNNNNNNNNNNNNNNNNNNNNNNNNNNNNNNNNNNNNNNNNNNNNNNNNNNNNNNNNNNNNNNNNNNNNNNNNNNNNNNNNNNNNNNNNNNNNNNNNNNGUUUCGUUAAGUUACGACCGAGCGUUGUUUAGUUCAGAGCGCCCACUGCUUAGGCCCAAUUGCAGCCCGACGCGUAGCUCCUGCCCGUUUGUUUUUUUCAGUUUAUUUUCGUUUCUGUUUUAGAAACAGAAAUAGUUUCAAUUUUAGAUUGCUUAUAACUUUUAUGUUUUAUAUCCAAAUUGAGUGAUUCUUUUUGCGCUGUGUCACAAAUUUGUUUAAGUUUCUGUUUUUGUACUUAGGUUUCAAAUUUGAGUAGUUUAAACUUGAGUUUGAUGAAAUUUGUUCAAAUCACUAAUUUGGCCGUAUCUUGAGUUUUAUAAAAUAUUUUUGAUUGAUUCUUUUUGCUACGGUUUUGUUAUUGUUUUGUCUAUCCAGAGUCAUAUAGUGAUUUAUUUUUAGUUUAUUUUAAAUUAGGUUUUUAGCAAAACGGUACUGUUUUAGUUAUAGUUUUGUUUUAGUCUUUUCUUUAUUGUUUUUAUUAGUUUUAAAUUAUUUCUUUUUGUCACUCUUGAAAAUUUUAGUUUUGUUUCUGUUAGUCAAGAAAAGAAAAUUUUGUUUUUAUUUUAAAAUUUUAUUUUACUUAGUUUUCUAUGAAAACUUGUUUAGGUCAUAGUUAGUGUUUCAUAAAAGCUUUUUAUUUGUUUCUUUUUGCUAUUAAAAGUUUAUGAAAAAUACUUUCUGUUAAAAUUAGUUGUUUUAUAUUUUCUUUUCUGUUUAUUUAUUAUGUUAGCAUUUUAAUUGUUGUUAAGUUUUUACUUAAGACAAAACUAAUUUGUGUUAUGUCUUAGAGUUUUCUUUAGUAGUUUCGUGGUGUAGUUUUCCUUUGUUUUUAUUUGGUGUCCCUUGUUGAUUUGCAUUUUAUUUGUGGGUUUUAUUAUGAGUGUUAGAAUUUCUUGCUAGUAUGUUUGCUUAUAUGAAUGCUAUGUUUGACUAUAUAGAUUUUCAACGGAGUGACGAAUAGUUCUACCAGUCAUUAUUCUGAGAGCUUUGUUAUCUUCAUCAAGUAAUACCAGGCAAGUUCACUUUGACCAUGCUUUCAUACCUGUGUUUUACUGCAUUUAGUGGCAUCUUUGCAACAACCCUCCAGUAGUGAUAUUGAAUUCUUGUAGUUGAGUAGUAUGCAUGAGGUAGGAACCCAUCACCCUAUUACCAAGCCCGGGACGUUAUUUAUUUUAAUGCUACGCUAUAGUAGACGGGGUUUGGUAUGAGUGCACGAGAGUGGUGUGAAGAAGGAGGACUCUACGUCAAUGACAACAAUUCCAUGAUGGCAUAUGCGAGGACUGCAUCUUCAAGGCCUCAAGACUUCAAGACUCGAGACAAGAAUUCAAUACACACUACUGGGUGAAGGACGGUUGACGGGCACCCUGGAGAAACCAGUGGAUGGCCGGGAUGCAUGGAGAAGCGCCAUGACAUCUUGCGGAAGCUUCACCCAGACUCAAAGAGACGGAAGAAUACUUCAUGCCCGGAAGCUUACCUGUGCAACCGCAAGUCACUAUGGGCUCUGGCUUGGUUGACCUUAGUUGUGACUCUGGCUGGGACGGUGCUAGCAGAUGUAGAACUACGGUAGGAUUGGAUGAGCACCGGACAGUGGUCAAAGGAUCUCUUUGGAAGACCAUGUUUCGGUCAUCUUGUUCUCAAACACCCUGAAGUGCGAGAACGUAAAAAGAGGGAUCGAAUCUUGCGGGUAAAGUGUACAAACCUCUGCAGAGGGUUUUAACCUAAUCGAUUAGCCGUGUCCCCGGUUACGGACAAUUUGAGCCUCUGGACUUGGAUCUAUCUCGGAACUCUCAACACCAGACUGAUAAUUUAAUUGUGGGCAACUUAUGAUGAUUCGGGCAAUGAGACAUCGGUUGGCGAAACCAUGUCAUGAUAGAAAACUCCGUAGUACAGACUCCUGAUAUUCCUUUGAUGUAGGGAAAAUAAAACCAGCUUUUACGCAAAACAAAACUCAGACAUAGAGCCACAAAGCCAUAUUGCAUAUAGAAUAGUUUUAUCAUCUGCUUUCUCUUAUUGUGAUCUUGCUAGUACAUUCAAUGUACUGACCUACACGGCUGCAACGUAUCAUGUUGCAGGAUUAUCUCCAUGAAGAGUGAGUUUCGUUGUUGGGUUACGGUCUACACUCAACCUGCCGAUGGCGUUGAUGGGACUCCACACCCGAUUGUUUGUUUCCGCUGAGACUUAUGAGGUAUAUAUCAGUUUUACGUUAUUUAUACAUGUGAUUGCACUUUGAUAUAUACAUUGAUGUACUGUGUGUGCCAGCAUACUGAUCCAGGGAUGGCACAGAUACACAGAGACUUGACCGUCUGAGGUUGGGUCGCUACAGAUAUGGUAUCAGAGCACAUGUUGACUGUAGGACGUGACCCUAGAAAUCGAAAAGCCCUAGGACAGGAAAUCUCUAAGACUUUAUUUUUUAAAAGGACCCAUUUCUUCUCAUCUUUUCUAAUUUUUAUCAAAUAUCACCUCUUACCUCAAAUAGUUAGAAUAUACCCCUUUCCCUUUUGACCACCCGGAGGAUCAACUGAAGCCGCUUCAAGAAGGAUAAGAACACCGGACAAAUGAUGACCAAUUCAGAGUAAAGAGGAUUACACUAUAUAUUUCGGAGGAAAGAAGCUACAGCAGAUGAAGACUCUAAAGGCUUGAAGAAUUCAGAGACUCUGAAGAUUUAUUUGACCGUUAGAGGACCAAACCCCUGUUAUACACUUACGUUAGAUGCGACGAUUUCUGAGCUAUCAUUUGUUUGAUGUUUUCCGACAGCUACAAAGUAAAACCCGUUUCUUCAAAACUAUUGUUUGUAUUGUGUGUAUCCCUCCCCACCUCUCUCUUAUCUCACCCCAAAGCCCUUGGACCCAAUAGAUGAGGAAGGAAGAAGGACUAGUAUUCUUUGGACCGAUGACUCAGCCGAAGGCAGAGCUAUGGAUUAAAAACAUGGAGGAUCACUUCGGGGAAAAAAUGAUUUCAAGGAAGUACGAGGUUCAAGAUGCUAUUCAGUAUUUUACCGAGAGUGCUGCAACCUGGUGGAAAAUGCAUCAAGCCAUACAAGGAUGCAAUGGAGCAAAGACUUGCAAGAAGACUCUGACAAGAUCUCGUCUUAUCCGGAAGCACCAUGAUAACCCGAAGAAGAAACCUUGUGCGUGCAAGAUUUGCAGAGAAAUAGGACACACCCAGGAGGAACACAAGGAUGGAUGCCCUCAUUGUGAGGAGAAUCACCCAACCGAAGAAUGCCCGACUGGGCAGGUUACUUGUUUCCUGUGUGAAGGAAUUACUCAUUUCCCGGCUCAGUGUCAUAUUUACCCCAAGGUACAAGAAAUUACCAAGCAGCAGAAGAAAGCAAUGAAAGAAGCCCUCAGGGAAAGUUUGAAAGAACCUAUGAUGAAGGAAGAUGUUGACGACCCUAAUGGAGAAGGCCUAAACAGAUUUUACUCCAAUGCCUGCUAUUCAUGUGGGAGAGAAGGACAUUAUUCUCAGUAUUGCACGAAGGAAAGCCAAGAGUAUCUCAGAGAUUUCCCGACAGCAGAAGUGAAGUUUGACCCUCAGGAAAUAGAAUCUCUGAUCAUUACGGAGAAAUCCAGGAAGAGAAAACGAAGGCAACCCCAGAACAACCCGACUUCUGCAAAGAAGGACCUGAGUCAGAUCACUUGUUACAAGUGCAAGACCUUAGGUCACUAUGCCAAUAAAUGUCCAGAGAAGAAGCCUAGAAUCCAAGGAGCCUACAUAAUCACAAAGAAGGCCCGAGACAUUUGUUUUCGCUGCAAGGAAGCAGGACAUUUUUCUAGGGAAUGUUCAAAUCAGAAGAAAGCUGGAGCUGAGUAGUUGAGAUUUUGAUAUGGAUAAUAAGAGUGGUAGAAAGCAAUCUUAUUUUCAUAAGUUCGGUGAGUUGAGUUAUGUAAUGGGUGCUCAGAGAUUGUAAUGAAUUCAUGAAAUCAAUAAAGUUAAUGUGUUAUGAUUUCAUAUGUUGUAUUAUGUGAGUUUUUACUCUAUGAACAAAGAUUUUGGACCAGUUUCGAGGAUAUGAGAAAUAUGGUCUAUGGAUGGAUUUGUGAAUUUCACUUAAGGGUGGUAGUACCCUGUGAAGAACACUUGACCCAUGGAAAGGAUAAUGAUAUUUCAGGGAGUGAAGUUUGGACAAAAUAGGUAUGAGUUUUGUUUUGAUAUGUUGGUUACCCAAGAAUAUGAAGGAAUGAAGCAAUAUUGGAAUUUAAGGAGGUGUAAUGUUGGAAUAUGGAACCAUAUAACCCAAAGGGAUGAGUUAAAGCUAUGCAAGUAUUGAAGUGGGCCCACAACCCACAGGCCGAGGAAUUAAUAAAGAUCAAGUACUCCCUGCAAGAAGAAAUUUUGGAAGAAGAUGUGAUUUGAUGAGCAGAUGUUCUUUAGGAGGCUACGAAACCCCGAGAGUUGUGAAGUAACGAUAGAUGUUUCAUUCAGCUUGCGGAAUCAAUGGAAUUAUCCGAACUAAGUUCGUCGACAAGAGAAAUUCUGCAAUGCUUGUGAGAAUUCCCGAGUGUUAGAAAUGCGAGAUUCGCUAAACCUUAUACAGAGUAAUGAUUUGGGUGCGGAAUGGAUUGAUCACCAUACCGACUUACUCUGGUCAUUCGCUCUUGCUAUUUGGAAUGGUAAAUCUGAGUGACUUACCCAUAGUAGAGAGACGACGAUAUCAAACCUUGUUUGAACCAUAGAAUGCUAGAACGAUGGAUCCCUAUAACAGGCAACCAUUGCCAAUCGUAGGAUAUACGGUCAGAUUCAACCCAAAUCCUUUUCUGCAGGAGAAACCAUUAAUUGUUGACCACCAAGAGAUUUCGUUAAUUAAUUAGAAUUGGCGACAGACCUGUCAGAUAUGAAGACCCAGUCUCGGAAGAACCUCACCAGGAUGAAAGGACACGAGUUUGAUGAAAAGGUUAUGCCCUACUGGAAGAGCCCCAGUGUAGGAGUUACUCCGAAGAUGUGAGAAGACCGAUAGUGUCCACACUAAGGAUGGAGUACAUAAGAUCUGUUGGAACCAUAGCCCUGUUUUUAAGUGUGGUAGCACACUAGACCAUUCUGAUUGAUGGAUUUGCUAGAAGACCCCCCAAACCCUAACCUUUUCUUGCUAGCCUCUUUGAAUCUCGAGGACGAGAUUCAUUUUAAGUGUGGUAGGUUUGUAACAUCCCAAAAUUCUAAAUUUUGGAAUGUUAUAUUAAAUAAAUAUUUAUGCUUGUUUGUUUGAUUGUUGUGUGACUCAUUGUGUGAAAUUGAGUGAAAUUUGAAAAUUUUGAAAGUUGAAUGAGAGGGAAUGAAAUGACUUUCCCAAACUUUCAUCCUUGCAUUUAUGAUCUCCAUGAAUUCAAAUUAUUUCAUCACAAAACCCUAGAGUGAAGAUGAUAUGACUUCUUCCAUUUAAAUAAAUGAAAAAAAAAGUUUUGAAAAGAUUUGAAGUCCAUUUGGAAAUAUUUCAAAUUCGGAAACUUUAUGCAACUCAAUGAUUUUCAGGAGAGAAGAUAAAAUGACUUCUUCAAUUAUAUGAAAUAUGAGUUGGAAGUUAAAAAGAAUCAAAUUGAAAGUCAUUUGAAAGUAUUUUGAAACUCCUUUUCAAAUUUGGAAUUAUUUGGAUUUUAUUCAAAUUAUUUUUCUCCUAAAAAUAAAUAAAUGGAAAUAAGGGUAAAAUGAUUCCCUUCAAUGGAAAAUUAGGAGAAAAUAAUUUUUAAAUAAUUUUGGUAUUUUAAAAAUGAUUUGUGUUGGAUUUUAAUGCAACAGUAGCACUGUUUGCUUUAUUUGAUUUUUUUUGGAUUUUAUUUGAACUAUAUAAAUAGUUCAUGUUUUAGGAAAUGUUUUUCUGAAAAAUUUUGAUAUAUUAUAUGUCCUAUAUAAUUUUUUUUCUAUAUAACUUAUUUUCUCCCUGUCUUAUUCCAAAAAAAAGAGGGGAAAACCUAGCGCUAACCAGGCCAGGCGGCCCAGGAGCCAGCCAGCCACUCGAGCCGCGGCCCAGCCAGCGCCGUCGCCCGAAGCCCCUCUCCUUCGGUCGCCCGCUCCUCUCUCUCUCGCCCUUGUGCCACUGACCGCUGGGCCCCACUGCCCGAUCGCCCUCGCCCGCCGUCUUCUUCCUCCCCACGCCAAGUCGCGCCGCCGCCGCCGGAAUCCCGAUCUUCUCGGGAUCACGAAUCCCCUCGCCCCGUCCUCCAAGAACUCCUCCCCCUAUAAGUACCCCUCUCCCUCGACCCGUUCCCCUCCUUUCCCCUCACCGAAACCCCUUGCCUCGCCCGUAAUCUCUCGCCAGAGCCGAGCACCGCCGCCGCACCAUUGAUGCCCUAGAGCCCGCCUCCGACCUCCCCGACGGCCCCGAGCAAACGCCCAGACUCCCCUCAUUCCUGCGCAUGCCCUGAGCCGCUCCGCCGUCGCCAAGGAUCCCUGGAGCCGUCGCCCUCUUCACCACCGGACAUCACCGCCGCUGUCGAGCUCGCCCCGCUCGAGACCGCCGUCCCUGAGCCACGCCGAGGCCACCUUCAUGCUCGUCACCGUCUCCCACGUCGAACGGAGCCCUCCCUGAAGCCGGAGACCCACGGGAGGAGCCGCCACCGCUGCCGGCGACCUCGCCGGAGUUCACCUCCACCGUGAUGAGCACUCCACUCCCCCUCCACCGUCCGAUCUAAAAUAAACACCCUAGAUUAGAUCUAAUCUGGACGGUUAGGUUAUUUUUACUAUAUCGGUUUAGCUUCGGUUUAUUUACGGUUUAGAUCUAAUCGGUUUAGCCGGUUUUUCUUUUCUGUGCACGCGCGUUAGUCUGUUAAAGAACGACCGAGCGUUGUUUAGUUCAGAUCGCCCAUUGCUUAGGCCCAAUAGCAGCCCGACGCGUAGUACCUGCCCGUUUGUUUUUUUUUGUUUUUUUUCGUUUCUGUUUUAAAAACAGAAAUAGUUUCAAUUUUAGAUUGCUUAUAACUUUUAUGUUUUAUAUCCAAAUUGAGUGAUUCUUUUUGCCCUGUGUCACAAAUUUGUUUAAGUUUCUGUUUUUGUACUUAGGUUUCAAAUUUGAGUAGUUUAAACUGGAGUUUGAUGAAAUUUGUUCAAAUCACUAAUUUGGUCGUAUCUUGAGUUUUAUAAAAUAUUUUUGAUUGAUUCUUUUUGCUACGGUUUUGUUAUUGUUUUGUCUAUCCAGAGUCAUAUAGUGAUUUAUUUUUAGUUUAUUUUAAAUUAGGUUUUUAGCAAAACGGUACUGUUUUAGUUAUAGUUUUGUUUUAGUCUUUUCUUUAUUGUUUUUAUUAGUUUUAAAUUAUUUCUUUUUGUCACUCUUGAAAAUUUUAGUUUUGUUUCUGUUAAUCAAGAAAAGAAAAUUUUGUUUUUAUUUUAAAAAUUUAUUUUACUUAGUUUUGUAUGAAAACUUGUUUAGGUCAUAGUUAGUGUUUCAUAAAAGCUUUUUAUUUGUUUCUUUUUGCUAUUAAAAGUUUAUGAAAAAUACUUUCUGUUAAAAUUAGUUGUGUUAUAUUUUCUUUUCUGUUUAUUUAUUAUGUUAGUAUUUUAAUUGUUGUUAAGUUUUUACUUAGGACAAAACUAAUUUGUGUUAUGUCUUAGAGUUUUCUUUAGUAGUUUCGUGGUGUAGUUUUCCUUUGUUUUUAUUUGGUGUCCCUUGUUGAUUUGCAUUUUAUUUGUGGGUUUUAUUAUGAGUGUUAGAAUUUCUUGCUAGUAUGUUUGCUUAUAUGAAUGCUAUGUUUGACUAUAUAGAUUUUCAACGGAGUGACGAAUAGUUCUACCAGUCAUUAUUCUGAGAGCUUUGUUAUCUUCAUCAAGUAAUACCAGGCAAGUUCACUUUGACCAUGCUUUCAUACCUAUGUUUUACUGCAUUUAGUGGCAUCUUUGCAACAACCCUCCAGUAGUGAUAUUGAAUUCUUGUAGUUGAGUAGUAUGCAUGAGGUAGGAACCCAUCACCCUAUUACCAAGCCCGGGACGUUAUUUAUUUUAAUGCUACGCUAUAGUAGAUGGGGUUUGGUAUGAGUGCACGAGAGUGGUUUGAAGAAGGAGGACUCUACGUCAAUGACAACAAUUCCAUGAUGGCAUAUGCGAGGACUGCAUCUUCAAGGCCUCAAGACUUCAAGACUCGAGACAAGAAUUCAAUACACACUACUGGGUGAAGGACGGUUGACGGGCACCCUGGAGAAACCAGUGGAUGGCCGGGAUGCAUGGAGAAGCGCCAUGACAUCUUGCGGAAAGCUUCACCCAGACUCAAAGAGACGGAAGAAUACUUCAUGCCCGGAAGCUUACCUGUGCAACCGCAAGUCACUAUGGGCUCUGGCUUGGUUGACCUUAGUUGUGACUCUGGCUGGGACGGUGCUAGCAGAUGUAGAACUACGGUAGGAUUGGAUGAGCACCGGACAGUGGUCAAAGGAACUCUUUGGAAGACCAUGUUUCGGUCAUCUUGUUCUCAAACACCCUGAAGUGCGAGAACGUAAAAAGAGGGAUCGAAUCUUGCGGGUAAAGUGUACAAACCUCCGCAGAGGGUUUUAACCUAAUCGAUUAGCCGUGUCCCCGGUUACGGACAAUUUGAGCCUCUGGACUUGGAUCUAUCUCGGAACUCUCAACACCAGACUGAUAAUUUAAUUGUGGGCAACUUAUGAUGAUUCGGGCAAUGAGACAUCGGUUGGCGGAACCAUGUUAUGAUAGAAAACUCCGUAGUACAGACUCCUGAUAUUCCUUUGAUGUAGGGAAAAUAAAACCAGCUUUUACGCAAAACAAAACUCAGACAUAGAGCCACAAAGCCAUAUUGCAUAUAGAAUAGUUUUAUCAUCUGCUUUCUCUUAUUGUGAUCUUGCUAGUACAUUCAAUGUACUGACCUACACGGCUGCAACGUAUCAUGUUGCAGGAUUAUCUCCAUGACGAGUGAGUUUCGUUGUUGGGUUACGGUCUACACUCAACCUGCCGAUGGCGUUGAUGGGACUCCACACCCGAUUGUUUGUUUCCGCUGAGACUUAUGAGGUAUAUAUCAGUUUUACGUUAUUUAUACAUGUGAUUGCACUUUGAUAUAUACAUUGAUGUACUGUGUGUGCCAGCAUACUGAUCCAGGGAUGGCACAGAUACACAGAGACUUGACCGUCUGAGGUUGGGUCGCUACAGAGGAGCUCAGCACCUGAGCCGCAACGCAGCUUAUAAACAGGUGCUGAGCUCCCUCAGCUAGCGAGGUGGGACUAAACUCCCACCACACCACCGCUGUGCCACCCUUUCAUGCCGGUUGGUGGCACCAACCGGGACCAAUGCCCACCUUUGGUCCCGGUUAGUGGGACGAACCGGUACGACUACCCCCCUUUGGUCCCGGUUCGUGCCACCAACCGGGGCCAAAGGUCUCUGUUUCCCGCCCUUUGGGCUGCUGAAAAGAGACCUUUGGUCCCGGUUGGUCGCACGAACUGGGACUAAAGGUAGGCAUUAGUCCUGGUUGGUGCCACGAACCGGGACCAAUGCCUUUGCUAUAUAAGCCAGCACUUAGCAGUUUCUCCAAAAUCCAUCACUUUCUUCUCCGCCCGACGCCCCCGCUCCUCGUCGCCGUUGCCGCCGAGCCUUGCCGCGACGCCGUCGGGCUGGUCCACCUCGUCGUCGCCGCCGACGCCAUCUGCCCCGACGCCGGCGCAGCUCCACGCGCCCGUGCGCCCGCCCCAACGCCGCCCGCCGUGCCCCGCCACCCCCUGUGAGCACCUGCCUCGCUCCCGCACCCAUGCCCUACCUCGCGCACCUGCGCCCCUGCCCUACCNNNNNNNNNNNNNNNNNNNNNNNNNNNNNNNNNNNNNNNNNNNNNNNNNNNNNNNNNNNNNNNNNNNNNNNNNNNNNNNNNNNNNNNNNNNNNNNNNNNNNNNNNNNNNNNNNNNNNNNNNNNNNNNNNNNNNNNNNNNNNNNNNNNNNNNNNNNNNNNNNNNNNNNNNNNNNNNNNNNNNNNNNNNNNNNNNNNNNNNNNNNNNNNNNNNNNNNNNNNNNNNNNNNNNNNNNNNNNNNNNNNNNNNNNNNNNNNNNNNNNNNNNNNNNNNNNNNNNNNNNNNNNNNNNNNNNNNNNNNNNNNNNNNNNNNNNNNNNNNNNNNNNNNNNNNNNNNNNNNNNNNNNNNNNNNNNNNNNNNNNNNNNNNNNNNNNNNNNNNNNNNNNNNNNNNNNNNNNNNNNNNNNNNNNNNNNNNNNNNNNNNNNNNNNNNNNNNNNNNNNNNNNNNNNNNNNNNNNNNNNNNNNNNNNNNNNNNNNNNNNNNNNNNNNNNNNNNNNNNNNNNNNNNNNNNNNNNNNNNNNNNNNNNNNNNNNNNNNNNNNNNNNNNNNNNNNNNNNNNNNNNNNNNNNNNNNNNNNNNNNNNNNNNNNNNNNNNNNNNNNNNNNNNNNNNNNNNNNNNNNNNNNNNNNNNNNNNNNNNNNNNNNNNNNNNNNNNNNNNNNNNNNNNNNNNNNNNNNNNNNNNNNNNNNNNNNNNNNNNNNNNNNNNNNNNNNNNNNNNNNNNNNNNNNNNNNNNNNNNNNNNNNNNNNNNNNNNNNNNNNNNNNNNNNNNNNNNNNNNNNNNNNNNNNNNNNNNNNNNNNNNNNNNNNNNNNNNNNNNNNNNNNNAUCUUCUCCUCUAUUCCUUUCUUCUUCUCCUCUUUUUUUCCUUCUUCCUCUUCUUAUUUUUUAUUGGGUAUGUCGUUGUCGAUAUACCCCCUCCCCGAUAACUUCGACAUGAGGGGGGGGUUCGAUAUACCCCCUCCCUGAUAACUUCGACAUGAGGGGGGGAGGGGGUCGCCGAGGGUUUGAGGGGGCGAGGGUCGGGAACUUGCUAGGGUAGAGGUUCAAGGGUCGCUGAGGGUUCGAGGGUCGAGGGGUCGAGGGUCGAGGGUCGAGGGGUCGAGGGUCAUCGAGGGGCCGAGUGUUCGAGGGUCGAGGGUCGUCGAGGGGACGUCGGACAAUCAUGAGAGAGGCGGUCCGGCCCAAACGCUAGAAGCGCUGCCGAGGCCACCCAAAUUUACCAAGUUAAAAGAGCGUUGUCGUCGAGGCCACCCCGAACCCUAUAAGCGUUGCCGAGGCCACCCCAAACCCUAGAGAAGCAUUGAGGCCACUAAUAUGAUUCCUUGUUGUGAUUAGCUAGCUAGGUCUACGUUUGCCAUUAAUAUAUCCACCUGCUGUCAUGUUUGUAUAAUAAUUGCCAUGUUUUAAUAUUUGCAUAAACAAUGGAGCACGGAUGAGAUGAGGAAGCAGAACAGGUGUUGGGGGACAUAAUCGCAGCGGGAGCUGAUGUCUUGUCGUAUCUUAACGAUAGCGAUGGUCUGGAAGGAUAGGGUGAAGAAGCAGGCUACGGUGAUCGAACAAUGAAGGAGGAGGGACAUGAUUAUGAUGACUCCGGUGACCGAAUGCUGGUGGAAGAAGAACACCGUGACGACGGCUCCGAUGACCGAACGGAGUCCGGCCAGGUAUAUAUAUUAAUUAAGCCUAUGCUGACUAGCUAAUUGAUGCAUUAAUUGUUUUGGUAUGUACACAUAUUAACUCUCUUCUUUCUUCUUUUUUCUAGCCCUCCGGAUCGAGCCAAACUUCGGUAACGAGACGAGGCCCGAAGAAAAGGUUGCGCCAGGAUAAAAGGUUCACGAUCACAGAAAUCGCGCGCGAUGGCCAACCGAUUGCACCCAUCCGAACCAAGGAAGCAUUUUAUGCCCAGUGCGGGGUUCUUGUUAGGGACAUCAUCCCGAUCAGCAUCCAGCAAUGGUAUAAGCCUAAGGAGGAAGACCCUGAGGUUUCUUAUGUCAACGAUAGGCAGAAAGAUGAUCUUUGGACCGAGCUAAAGGCAAAUUUCACCCUACCGCCAGAGGUGGAUCCAAAGAAGCCAGUUAUAGAGCAAUUGGUCAAGGCUCAUGCUCUUAAGAAGAUGGCGGAUCUAUUCAGGAGGUGGAAGACUGAGCUGAAAACAAAGUUUGUCGACAAAGACAAGACUCCAGAAUUCACCGGCCGGUUUGAGAAGAUCAGAGAUCACUAGGACGCAUUUGUGGCCCACAAGACAUCGCAAAAGAGUAAGAAGAUGUCAGCGACAAACAAGAUAAAUGCUGCGAAGAAGGAGCAUCACCAUCGCACGGGGUCAGGUGAAUGACCUACUUGAUAAAGGGGUCAAACCAGAGACAUUGAACUGGCCAGACCGUUCAAGGACUUGGUUCUUCGGGGUUGGCGGAACCUUGGACCCUGUAAUAGGGAAGUGCGUUUGGACGAACGAGCAACUGCGAAUACCCGUCACGAAGCUUCAGGACUAUAUCGCACAGCGCAGGAAGGGACGUUCAUUCCAGACAGAGAGAAUAAUGAGCUCACAAUGGCCCUCGGGAAUCCAGAGCACCCUGGACGGACACGAGGCACGCCAGGCUCCGUUCUGUGGAAUGCUGGGUUUCUGGACGUAGGCGGUUACAAAUGCCAGGAGAGGAGGAAGUAAGUGGAGCAGACCCAACUGUAGAAGCUGCAUGCAAGGGUACAAGCGUUAGAGGAAUGAGAAGCAGUUCGCAGCAAGUGACCUGCCGAAGCUACCCCGCAAUCUCAGCGGAGAAGCAGCGUGGCUUCCACUGAGUUGCUUCAAGAGCCUGUCUUGACGGCUCCUACUAGCGACCCCGUGGAUGCUAUCACGGAGUCUCAACAUUGCCACCUUAUGACGCAAUGGCAGCAAUUCAAAGUCAAGGCGGCUGUCGGCUCUGUUCGACCUCCUGAACCCGGUGCAACUUUUCACUGCCGUCCAAUUCCAGAAGGAUAUGCUAGGGUGACGGUGGACGAAAUAACGGAGGGAUUUGAGGACCUCGAGCUUGACCACCCUACCGGUGAAGAGGAGACUCUCGGCUGGGUUCUGCUCUGAAGACUCCAUGCCUAUGGCGGAAGGAGCUCAUCAACCUUCUGAGCUAGACACCUCCGCCUCCUCCUCCUCCUCCGGCGAGUCCGGGCACUCCGCCUCCUCCUCCGCCUCCUCCUCCGGCAAGUGAUCAGGGCACUCCGCCUCCUUCUUCGGCGCGUGGCGGCACUCCGCCUCCUUCUCCGCCUGCGCCGGCGCGCCCGAGCAGCCAGCCUCCUCCUUCUCCGCCUCAUCAGCAAGGGAAGAAGAGACCCGCCGCCGCUCCGGCUGCUCCGGCACGUCGUAGUCCUUCUCCUCCGCCUCGUAAGCAAGGAAAGAAGACAGCCGCAGCCGCUCCGUCUGCUCCGGCGUCUAGCAGUACAGCCAGAGGCGGGAGGCAAUACAGAUUCAGUCCAUCUCUCAAGCCUCUAGAGAAGUUACCAUACGAGAGGACCGACGAUGAAAAUGCGAAGAUCUGUAAAGCCGAAGUGAGGGACUUAUUUGAAGCGGUGAAAGCAAAGAAACAUCCACCUCCGGAGGAGAAGAUAGAUCUGGUGAAAGUGAAGCGCACUAUCGAUGCCCUGAAGCAACCACCACCUUCUCCGCCGCAAUCCAACUAUGAUCGCAUUAUUGAAAGGUCAUUUAUCGCAGCGGAUCGGUCAGGAAGUACUAUCAGUGAUCGAAGGUUAGCAGAACGACGAGCUGGGAAAAAAAUUGCCCAGCUCGGCGAACAACUGAACCAAUCGUGCCCCCCGCUCAAGGUGUCUAGUGAUAUCGUCGUUAAUCAUUCGGAGAUUUGCCCGGUACCGAUCUUGGAGAUUACCUGCCCGACGAUAUAUAUUAUGAUACAAUGGAGGUGGACGAACACAAAUACCAUUACGGGAAGCCUCUCAUCAAAGAUGAAAGAUCUCUAACAACGAUGAUGCGAAGAUUCCAUGAUUGGUACAUGAAAACCUGUAGAGAGUCUGGGGGAAGGAUACUUUGACACUGAGAGUUAAAGAGGAGCAUGACCUCGCUGGAAUUGAACUGCUGACUCUUCCAUUUGAGGAGUUCUUCCAGUUUUUUAAUCAAAAGGCCCUCGAUAAUUUAAUGGUCACUUGCUACUGUCUGUAAGUACUACUUCUUUCAUUAAGUCUCUAUAUAUAGCUCAGCUCUUUCAUUGCAUGUAUAUAUAAUUAUCCUCACUAUAUUAUGUAGAUUGAAGAUCGCCGAAUGAAGAAAAUACAAAUCGGUGAUAUUGGGUUCAUUAACACAAAUCUCAUAGAUGAAUAUACGGUUAAAUUUCAUGCCAAAGAUACCGAGGCCAACUUGCUACGAUCGUUGGUAAAAAAUCAAAACAAAGAUAUAAUACUCUUUUCUUACAACUUCAAGUGAGUGUUACUGUCUUGUGCAUAUUCGAUUUCCCUUAUUAGUCGAGGUUAUAGUAAUGUAAUUGAUGAGUUAUGCAUGCAUGCACAGCUUCCACUAUAUUCUCCUAGAGAUUAAGCUUGAGCAGGGACUAGUAACCGUCUUAGACUCGAGACGAAAAGAUCCCCAGGAGUAUGCGGACAUGACUGAAAUGCUCGAGAAGUAAGUUAAAUCGAUCAUUAUCGCACCAUAUCGGCAACUUUGUUCAUUUCCUGAUAUCAAGUAAUUGUUUUCUUUGUCUGGCAGGGUUUGGAAAAAAUUCACCGCAAAAGCUCCGGGACUGCCGGGGAAGCUGCGAUUUACACACCCGAAAGUAAGUACUACUAGCUAGUUCUGCUCAUCUCCUAGUGAUUCAAGCGCUAGUUUCAUCAAUACCAUUUAGCAUGCUUGCUUAUCAGUUUGAUUGAUCUCUAUUUCUUCUAAAGUGGUUGUGGCAGGAAGCCGGGAAUAAUUACUGUGGAUACUACGUUUGCGAGUCCAUCCGCCACACGACUUGUGAGCGGGGCUACUCUAACAAACAAUAUGAAGUGCGUAAGCAAUAAUAUUCACAAUUUUAUUUUAUUACCAUCAUUUGUGUUGAGUUCCAUUCAUUCAUAUAUAUGUAUUGACCCCCUUAUUCAAAUUAGGUGUUUCAGAUGCGGGAUGAACUCCUAGCACAAGAUCGCAUGCGAGCAAUUCAAGAGGAAUUGGCGUGAUUCUUUCUUGACCACGUGAUCAAUAAAGACGGAGAAUACCAUGUGGAACCUGAGUUCAUAUAUAAUUAGGGGAUUAUAUUGUAAGAAAUUUUAUAUUGUAUAUAUGUAGCCAGUAGCGUCGGAUAGAUAUACGAAAACUUUUUGUUCGACCAAUCUCUCGGAGAAGGAGAGGUCAAUAUCACUUCUCUCUGUAUGCAUAUGUUCAUGACGAUCUUCUGUACUUAAUGGUUUCCUUCAUUUGCUUACUAGCUAGCGUGUCGAGUCCUCUCUAUACGUAUAGCACGUAGCAUCGACCAAGCAAGGAGAUAAGAGAGGACACUUCUCUCUAUUAAUUAGCUAGCUAACACAAUAUAUGAAACACCUAAAUUAACCCUACAAAACCNNNNNNNNNNNNNNNNNNNNNNNNNNNNNNNNNNNNNNNNNNNNNNNNNNNNNNNNNNNNNNNNNNNNNNNNNNNNNNNNNNNNNNNNNNNNNNNNNNNNNNNNNNNNNNNNNNNNNNNNNNNNNNNNNNNNNNNNNNNNNNNNNNNNNNNNNNNNNNNNNNNNNNNNNNNNNNNNNNNNNNNNNNNNNNNNNNNNNNNNNNNNNNNNNNNNNNNNNNNNNNNNNNNNNNNNNNNNNNNNNNNNNNNNNNNNNNNNNNNNNNNNNNNNNNNNNNNNNNNNNNNNNNNNNNNNNNNNNNNNNNNNNNNNNNNNNNNNNNNNNNNNNNNNNNNNNNNNNNNNNNNNNNNNNNNNNNNNNNCACGUACGUGGUAGCUUAUUGGUCCCGGUUGGUGCUACCAACCGGGACAAAAGGCCCCCCUGCCAGGGCAAGCCGCAGCGGCCACGUGGAGCCCCAUCUGUCCCGGUUGGCAUAAGAACCGGGACUAAAGGUGUUGGGCUUUAGUACCGACCCUUUAGUCCCGGUUCCCAAACCGGGACAAAUGGGCCCUAUGAACCGGGACAAAUGGCCCUUUUUCUACUAGUGUCCCGAGGUGAACGUACCUGUGGCGGGUUACUUCCCCCGCCUGCCAUAGUUAGACUAUUGGUUGUGGCGAGCAUGUAUUGGCACCCGCCACUGCUUGUUUUCAAAAUAGCUGCACGGGUGCCACGCCUUGCCCGCCACUAGUUUAUGAUCUCCUAUAGGCCCUUUCCCUAUAGUGUCUUUUGGAUUUCCAGUUUUUAAAAUGUUUUAUCUCUUAAAUGAAACACCCGAUUAAAAAUCCGUUUUCACCAUUAAAUCCGUCACACCGAGAUCUUCGAAACUACAUCUCAAUCGAUAUGUUUCGAUGACUUUUUUUUUAAACUUGCCAUGUCUAUUGCACAUAAAAUGCCAUGGUGUUUAGAUUGAAGUUGCCAUGAUAUGUUUUAACUACCUUUUCUUCUAUGAUUAAAGUAAAUUUUGACAUAUUAUGAAAAAAUAAAUUAAGAAACUAAAGUUGACAUGGUGAAUUACUAAAAGUUUCCUUGAUCCAUGAAAUAAUUUUGACAUGGUUCAUAAUUAAAAAAAAUUAUGUCAUCAAUUAAAAUUUAUGCUCAAUGAAUUAAAUUAUCCAUGAACCAUAAAAAAAUUUCCAUGGUGAAUUACUUAAAUUUGCCAUGAUACAUGCACUAAAAUUUGCCAUGGUCCAUGCAUACAAAAAAAUCAUGGUAAAAAAACUAGAAAUUUCCAUGGUCAAAAUACUAAAAUUGCCAUAAUCUGUAAACUAAAGUUGCCAUGAUAAAUUACUAAAAAUUGCCAUGAUCCAUGAAGUAAAUUUGUCGUGGUUAAUUACUAUAACUUGUCGUGCUCAAUUAAUAAAAAUUUCCAUGAAAGUAUUUGAAAUACAAUGGCAGCUUUAACUAGAAGAAAAAACAGAUGAAACAUAUCAUGUCAACCUUAGUGUAAACACUAUGGCUUCUUUAGUUUAAACAUCAUGGAAACUUUUGGCCUAACAAAACGUCGUCAAAACAUAUCAACAUGGGAUCUAGUUUUGAAGAUCCCGUCGAGAUGGAUUUAAUGGUGAAAAUGGUUUUUAAUCACAUUUUCUAUUUAGGAAAUAAAAUAUGUUUAAGUUUGAAAACCAAAAAGAUUCCCGCUGAUGUCAUAUGUUUUAACGUGGCAAGUGGAUGGCAAUGGAGGCAUUUGGGCCAUGUUGAAUUGUGCCACACAUGUGGACAUUUAGGUAGAUUUUAUGGGCGCUGGCCCACUAAAUCUUGUACACCAGCCCAGUUAAAAUUAUGAAUGUGAGAGGCCUAUUUGAGUUGCGUGGCAAGUGUGUGAGUCAAGUAUCAUAUGCUAUUUAACAAAGUUUAGUACAUGUCACAUCGUCGCGAUGGGUGAAUCGAGUUUGGGCAAUAUUCUGACCAACCCAGGAUCCCGUAGAUCGAUCAAGGAUGAAGUAAGAAGUGAGGAUGUGCAGAACAAUAUUCUGAACACCGCUGACAGAAAUAAUUAGUACACUAGCGGAGAGCAAUUCCUAAGGGACAAAUGAGGUAUAGUCAUUAAAAGCCCAAUACUUUUGCAUGCAGUAAUUACUUCUAAAAAGGAUGUUCGAGUACCCGUCACCUAGGAGCCUACAGGGGCCAGAGUUGCAUCUGCUCCGUCAAUUUCAGAGUGGUGUGCCAUGGGCGCUUCCCUAGGGCUCUCCAGGCCAUAGGAUCGUCCUAGACGUUGCGCACCUGAGUGACUUGCCUCAAUGGUCAAUGACAGGUGGACCGCGGGGGCGUAUGGGUUCACCAUCAUCUGGUGGCUUUCGUCGUGCCCGCUCGCCCAUGAGUGAUGGGCAUGGCUGACCCACCAGUCAACAUCUUCGCCCCUGACGGGCUCGUUCGAUCGCGCCAGGCGAGACAUGCGUCGCGGUCGCAACGAUGGCUUGCUUGUGGGGCCAGUACAUCAGGACUGUUCACCACGUGCCAAGUUGUUUCGGUCUGUUUCGUUGGCACCAACUAGGUGCGCAGGGGCGGGCUUGGUCGCAUGCGCUAACCAGGUGGUCUGCUGCGUGCUAAGUGUAGGUGCGAGUGUGGGGCCAGCCUAUCAAGAUCUUUCACCUCAUGUCCAGAUGAUACAGGUUGUUUGGUUUGCACCACUCGGGUAUGCAUAGGUGACCCUGCUUGGUUUGAGCCCAAUGACAUGUGUCGUCCGGCUAAUGGACGCAAAACCAGAAAGACCACGCACAUGGAUGCACCCGGCUGGGGCGGCCGAAUAUACCCUGGUAGGGUUGUGUUUGUCCUGACAUUCUCUGGCCAGUUAGCAUUGUAAGGUGGUUGCAUGCCUCAUGGGUCCCGUUUGUGCUCCCGUGUCCGCGUGCCCAUCCUAUGUGGGGAUUAUGUCAGCUCGUUUGUCCCUAUGUAGCGGUAAUCUUUAGCCCAUCUCCUUCUUUUGCUUUCUUUUCUCCCGUUUUUCGGGGUGCCCAUCCCUUGCUUGCCUCCACUAGAAGUUCUCUUUGGCUUACUCCCUGUCGUCCCGUCAUGCCACCCGUCGCUCGCGUCACGCCACUAGCGGCUCUCUUCGAGGUCCUCCCUUGCCAUCGAGGUCCGGUGUGGCAUUUGCCUUGGCACUGUCUCAAGCUCGGCGGUUGUGGCUCAGCCCUUACGAGUUUCUUCUUCUCAUUGCUUGGCUCUUAAGUUGCUGCUUCAGGUGAGUUGCUUCUUUGCUUUUCUGUUGCUCUUUUUUCCUUACGUGGUAGGAACAAUGCUUAUGUUUGAAUGUUAAUUGGGGCGUGCAGAGGGUAGGAUAGCAGGCGCCCGCGUGGCAACUUGAGAGCGUUACUCUUCAUACAUCAACAAUGUCAAACAAUUCUCCCUUUUUGCCUCAUCUACCUCCUUCGCUGUGGAUUAACUGCAUUCGAUCCCGGAGUACUACCUUAUGUUGUCAAGUUGCCAUAGCUUUUUUCUCAUUUUUUCGGAGAAAAUGCACAACAUGAUUCGUUGCCCCGUUCCGCCUGCCUGCUCCGACUGUGAUGCCAACUCUUAUCUCGCCACGACCUGUGGUAAUGCUCCCAGUUGUGGAACCAACACCUAUUGCUAGCCGUAAUGCCAGAUCCUUCAACGCCAGCACUUGUCGCGGUUUGAGAUGGGAAUGGCGGUGCCCUUACAAUGAUGCUGUGGGCUGCACCUAACCAUGGGUUUUGGGAGGACUACCGCAAGGGAGGACAUCGCCCGGCUCCGUCCAUCUAAACAGAAGUGUGUUAGAACUUUUGGCAGGACCACGCAGCUGGUGGACGACACCGAAGAGGAGGCCGAUGACAAAGUGAGCACCUUAGACUUGACAUUGGCUUGAGCUUCCAAUAUGUACUUGGAGGCCUCACAACAUCUAAUCGCUAAUAAAACUAGCUUUUCCCUCGAUAAACAAAUAUCAUUCAUGCUUUUUAUACUGUUAUCUUAUAUGCUUGGAUGGAUCACAGGAAAAAAAAACUCUGUGACGAUGAGUUGAAUAUCAUGUUUAAAAUUUAGUAGCAACCUCUAAUUUAUUUAAUCUGGUAUUUCUUACACUGAUCAAAGGGGCGGAGCCACCGGUGUAGCGUUGGGUUCAAGUGAACCCAACGAAUUUUUGCAGCCACGUACGUGUGUAUAGGUAAUUGUGUGUAUGAACCCAGUCGAAAAUCUAGGCUGCACCCAUCAGCAUUGGAAUGCCCGAGCAAAAAGCCUAUUAGCCCCCAAAUCUUAACGCAACUAGCACAGCUGAAGCCCAUAAGUAAAUUUCUACGGCCUCCGUGUGUGUGUCAGAUUCCAUGUCUCGUACCAGAUUGUACACACCAGAUCGCAUCUCUCGCUCGGACUCAGCAAGGUCUUCCAUCUGGUCGCCUCUCCCUAUCUCCAGCAGCAAGCCCGCAAGGAACCAACGGCAGGUCGGUGUGAAGUACAUAUUCAACAUAAUGGGAGAUCACAUCAUGUUCUUUUUUGUAUCUUCUAUUUAUCCUAUCGUGGUAAUGGCCUUUGCCCUAUUUUUCUAAUUAACUUUUCCGUAACUUUGAUUGAUCUAGGAUGUGGAGCGAUAGUUCAUGAAGACAAACUGAUCACAAGAUUCAGAUUGUGAUGUAGGCACUUCAAGGCCACGUGUUAGAUAUUGGUAAAGUGCAUCAAAUGUUGUUUAUCCAAGUAGUGUUAUGAAGCCCACUACACCGAGAAAUAGUAUGAAGAUGAUCCAUCUAUUAGUGGUGUUGCUGCCUUUCACAGAUCACAGCGAGGAAAGUUGGGAGUAGCUGGAAAGGUUGAAAGGGGUCACUCUGAAAUGUGAGUGAUUGUACAUGCUUUUUAUUAUUGAUGGUACGUAUUAUACACUGGUCAAACUAACUUGACAUUUUUUACGGUGUUCUCGAGAAGGAGAAGCCACGCCUGAAGCUAUGUAGUUAUUUUGAUGCUACUCUACUCACAAUAUGUAAACAAGAGAAAUUUAUAGUUUCAAUCAACUGAUAUGUCUUGCAAUUUUUUAUUUUACAAAGGUUGUAGUAUUUUGUGUUCAAUGUAUGAAAUAUGAGUUCUACCGUAUUUCUAUCUGUUAUGUUGUCUUUGGGUCCUAUAGUCUUGUUACAUGAUAGUGUGAAAUUGGACAUUAUACUUAAUUAAGUCAUACUAAAAUUUCAAAAUGAAUUAAUGACUGAACCCAUUAACUAGAUUUCCUGGCUCCGCCCCUGACUGAUCAUGAUGUGUACACAUAGACCUCAGAGAGAGAAAUAACAUAUGAGAUAAUUUGUGGUGUUCAUAUUUUAUUUCAUAUUAAAUAUAGUGGAGUUCACAUAUAUAGUAACUUGUUUUAGUACAAGGUUUAUGUCAUCUAUGACUUCCAGUUAUAAGGUUCAACGUUUAAGUUUGGAUUCAAUUAUGUUUAAUCUGAUUUGCAUGGGCUGGGUUCGAUGCGAAAAACCACUUCUCUGCAUGUACUCCAAUGAGCAUUAUUUUGAAUAGUGUCAAAAUGGUAUUUUAAAGUUUCAUAUAAUCCAAUAAAAAUUCUAUAUUAAAUUCAUAUGAGUGUACACUACACAUGUGUGAAAUUUAUGUGAGGCGAUAAGUACCUAUGUGAGCUACACAAAAAUCGCAAAAUAAGAUUUUGGGAAGAUGAAUAGUGUAUGUACUGCUUGCUAUUCAGAAAUCAAGAUUUUGCCAUUUUUGUGUAGCUCACAUGUUUAGUUAUUUCAUCACAAUAUUGUACACAUGUGUAACAUGCAUCCAUAUGAACAUUCAUAAUUCAUUUUCGGAAUUUUUUGAAACAAAAAAUGGGAUUUUUGAACUAUAGAAAAUAAAGUGCUUCAAUGCCCGCGUGCUAAAAAAUCAGUCACAUGUAUAUGCCAAAUUUGUAUUCAUGCAUGCAAAUUAAAAAAGGAAAGUCGAUCCUCAGAGGAAGCGCGUGGAUACAUUGUGCGCAAUUUUUUUAGUUGUGGUUGUUGCAAUUGGAAUAUGGGUCGAAUUUUCCUUCAUUGAGAUGGCUUGCGCUGGUAAUAAUUUCUGGAUGAUUUGGUCGACAUAGAAACAUUAUUUAGGGAGAUGUGCUUUGGAACCCAAGCUUCGGUGAGAUAGCUUUAAAAAAAUCAUAUUUGAAAGCCGUAAUGCCGCUCCUAGCUCCUUCAGCGCCCACACGUGUCGCGGUUCCAGAUGGGGAUGGCGGCGCCCGUAGAAUGAUGACGUGGCCUGCACCUUACCGUGGUUUUUGGGAGGACUACCGCAGGGGAGGGCAUCGCCCAUCUCCGUCCAUCCAAACUGAAGUGUGUAUGAGCAUUUGGCAGCACAGCGCAUCUGGUGGACGACACCAAAGAGGAGGCCAAUGAUACAGGGAGCAUCUUGUACUUGACAUUAACUUGAGUUACAAAUAUGUACUUGGAGGCCUCCAACAGCUAAUCGCUAAUAAGACUAGCUUUUCCCUUGAUAAACAAAUAUCAUUCAUGAUUUUCAUACUGUAUUUUCUUAUAUGAUUGGAUAGAUCAUAGGGAAUACAAAACUCUUUGACGAUGAGUUGAAUAUCAUGUUUAAAAUUUAGUAGCAAUCUCUAGUUUGUUUAAUCUGGUAUUUCUUACACUGAUCACAGGAGCGUAGCCACCGUUGUAGUGAACCCAAUGAAUUUUCGCUGCCAUCUACGUGUGUAUAGGUAAUCGCGUGUAUGAACCCGGACGAAAAUCUAGGCUGCACACAUCGGCAUUGGAUUGCCCGAGCUAAUAGGCUAUUAGCCCACAAAUCUUCACACGACAAGCACAGCUAAAGCCCAUAAGUAAAUUUCUACGGCCUCCAUAUGUGCGUCAGAUUCCAUGUCUCGUACGAGAUUGUACGCAUCAGAUUGCAUCUCUCGCUCGGCCUCACCAAGGUCUUCUGUCUUGUCGCCUCUCCCUAUCUCCAGCAGUGAGCCGACAAUGAAGCAACAACAGGUCAGCGUGCAGUACAAAUUCAAGAUAAUGGCAGAUCACAUCACCAUAUGUUAUUUUUGCAUCUUCUAUUUAUCCUAGCGUGGUAAUGGCCUUUGCAUUAUUUUUCUAGUUAACUUUUCCGGAACUUUGAUUAUUUUAGGAUGAGGAGCGAUAUUUCUUGAAGACAAACUGAUCACCAGAUUCAGAUUGUGAUGUAGGCACUUCAUGGCCACAUGUUAGAUGUUGGUAAAGUGCAUCAAAUGUUGUUGAUGCAAGUAGUGUUACGAAGCCCACUAAACUGAGAAAUAAUAUUCAGAUGAUCCAUCAAAACGGGGAAAGUUGGGAGUUGCUGGAACGGUUGCAAGGGGACACUCUGAACUGUGAGUGAUUGUACAUGGUUUUUAUUAUUGAUGGUACGUAUUAUACACUGGUCAAACUAACUUGACAUUUUUGACGGUGUUUUCGAGGAGAAGCCACACCUGAAGCUAUGAAGUUAUUUUCGUGCUACUCUACUCACAAUAUGUAAACAACAGAAAUUUAUAAUUUCAUCCAACUGAUAUGCCUUGCAAUUUUUUAUUUUAAAAAUAUUGUAGUAUUUUGUGUUUAAUGUAUAAAAUAUGAGUGCUACCGUAUUUCUAUUUGUUAUGUUGUCUUUGGGUCCUUAAGUCUUGUUACAUGAUAGUGUGAAAUUGGACAUUAUACUUACUUAAGCCAUACUAAAAUUUCACAAUAAAUUAAUCAUUGAACCCAUUAACUUGAUUUUCUGGCUCCGCCGCUGACUGAUCAUGAUGUGUACGCAUAGACCUCAGAGGGAAAAGAAACAUAUGGGAUAAUUUGUGGUGUUCACAUUUUAUUUCGUACUAAAGAUAGUGGUGUUCAUAUACAUAAUAACUUGUUUUAGUACAUGGUUUGUGUCAUCUCUGACUUCCAUUUAUAAGGUUCAUGUUUCAAUUUGUAUUCAAUUAUGUUUAAUCUCAUUUUCACGCAAGAAACCAUUUAUGUGCAUGUACUCCAGUGAGCACUAUUUUGAAUAGUGUCAAAAUGGUAUUUUAAAGUUUCAAAUAAUCCAGUAAAAUUUAUAUAUGUUUAUAUGAAUGUACACUACACAUGUGUGAAAUUUAUGUGACGCGAUAAGUAACUAUGUGAGCUACACAAAAAUGACAAAAUAAGAUUUUGGGAAGAUGAAUAGUGUAUGUACUGAUCACUAUCUAGAAAUCACGAUUUUGCUAUUUUUUUUGCAAAAAUGAUAAUUAUGAUGUAUUCUCAAAAGCUAAGAGUGGCAAAAGAAAAAUGUUAAAUUUUUAAAUAACGAAAAUUUGCAAAAGCUAAAGUGGCGAAAACAAAAAUCUUCCAUGAAAAUCUAGCAAGAGUGACCAACCACCUUGUAGAAUCUGAGUUAGUCAUUCGAACGAACAUGUGAUUGGAUGGUUAGGAAGACAGUGAUAUCUCUGGCCCAUCUGGGUUCAUGUUUUGGUGCUUGUAUUUUUCUAAAUUUAUUUUAGGAUUUUCGAUGAUGCGCGUUCGGUUCGAGAAAAUGUUCUCGUCGACUACGAGACACUUAUGAUGAAUUUGUCAAUCUCAAAAUGAUAUGCCAGUUCAGAGUGUAUGCACGUGUUUACGAAUGUCUGUGACUGGUGUUAGGAACACGUCCGAGUCACGACAACAGACAUCAGGGGAGUUGGUGAUGUUUCACGUAGACGGCAUGCAGUUCCGUCCGGCUCGCUAUGAAUGAGCAAAGUAAGUCACCAACGUCACAUGAUCAUUAACGGCGCCCCUCGGCUGCUACUAGUAGUAAGAGUAUUUAUCCCCACAUCACUCCCAGGCUCCCAGCUGCCUCCAUCCGUCCCCUUUUCUUCCCCCUCCUCCGACGACACUCCUGCAGGGUUCGCGCCAGCGAGCAUGCACGCAAGACGACUGAUGUCGACGGGAGCCGUAGCGGAGCCGGAGACGGACGACGGCUACGAGGCCGUCUUUAACGUGAAUGUCUUCUCCGACAGGGAGCUGCAGGUAGAGGUCGUCGGCCAUGACGACCACGCGCCCGGGUCCGGCGCCAGCCGCAAGCGCCGCCGUGAGGAGGACAAAGGUGCAUGCAAUAGCCAGCAUCCAAGCCUCCGUUGGUGCGUUGGUCGGUACCGUUGACUAUUUUAGUCUUCUAUUUUCCGUUCCUUUUCUUCAGGGUGUUAGUUUGGUACAACGUCCAUACCAAAUUAUUAACAUCCGUUCCUACACAAAUCUAAAACAAGUAAUUUGGCACGGAGAGUUCUGAUUCUUCAUUAGCUAGUAAAUUCAUUUAAGGUAAUUAAUUUAGCUUUAUGUUCUUCACAUUUUUGGGUAAUUAGUUUUCCACAAAUCCAUAUGCAUAUCUGAUGAAUGGAUAUCAUAUUUAUAAACAGAUUUGUAUAUGUUCUUCAAUCCACUGCACUGCACAUACUUGAAUGCAGCAGAACUUUAUGUAGCUGGUGAGAAAAACUAGAACGAUUUGGCAUAAUUUGUAUUACCUCCAUCCUGAAAAGGUUGCCCUAGUUUUGUCCAGAUACAGAUAAAGUUGUAUCUUGUCAUGGUAAAGAAAUCGGCUGAUUAACCAGUUAACUGACUAAUUAAUCCCUACUCGUAGGGUCACCAAGUAGCCAAUAAAUUGAUUAAUCUACCGAUUAAUGGAUUAAUUGUCUGAUUAGCCUAUUAAUCCUCUACUUGCCAGCCAACCGAGUAGCUACCAAUUAAUGAUAUCGUCAACAUUGAUCGAGCACUAACGUCCUCUUCAGGACGGAAGGAGUAUGUGACUAGAAGUAGACAUUCACUUUGCCUUGCCGUUUCCUUCGUAGGUUUACUUGUUUUUUGGGGUUGUUUUUCGUGUGUGGCUCCUUUUGUGUUCCUUUUCGUAAUUUGUUGGGGGUGGCCAUGUUGUGAGAUCCAUUUAGAACGUAUAAAUUGUUGAAGAGCCCAAGAUCUGAAGCAUCGAAAGAAUCAGUGCACUGUUUUUUAUUCUUCAGAAAGUUCUAUUUAGCAUAGUUUUUCCAGAAAGGUUGAAGAGAAAGCAACUGAGGCAGCACAAGAGCAGGGUGCCUGUGCUAGAACUCAUGGGAGAAAUAAAUACUAGCUUGGCGGAUACUUUUACCUGCAAAUAAAUUGUCUAGCUAGUAAUUCUGCUCACAUUGAGAACAUCAUGUUCCAGAUAUUUUUACCAGCAAAAAGCUUAUCUAGUAAUUCUGCUAUGUGCCUUCUUGUCCUAGUGUUGCAUGUUGCAUUAUAUUUAUCCAAACUUGGUAUUUAGAAGAUAUUGACUCAUCUUGUACUGUGUCGAGUACACCGAUUUUACGAGUUGAGACUAUUUAUGUCAGUUCGGCGAUUCUUGCUGCAAAAAGUAGUUUCUUUUACAAGGUAAUUCGGACGAUCUACUGAAAUGCAUUUGUUCUAUAAUCUGUUGCUCAUCUUUCUGAUGAGCUUCAUGCUUGUUAGGUUUUCUCAAAUGGCAUGAAAGAAUCAGUCAGAACUGCUGAUUCUGGUAACAGUGUACUGUACUACUCUUUGCCAUUGUGAUUUUAUUAUUGUUGUAUGCACCUUUCGAAUUAAACAUGUUAAUAUUGUAGAGGGGCCUGUUUAGAGUUAGUUUGAUGAUUAAUUGGCUAUUGUCAUUUCAUCUACAUACUUUGCCUACCAAAUGCAUAUUUUCUCAUGCAUUAAGGUUUCACAGUUGAUCAUUACACUUCAGUAAUCAUCUUUGCGCAAAACAAUAUUUAUCCCUUUUCUUUUCUACUUCUUUAUUUAAUUUUUAUUACUGUUUGUGAUUUAUUGAACUGUUUCAUUAAUCCUUAUGCCUCCUUGCUUUCAUUUUCGACAGAGGAGAAAGCCUUCAUGGAGCUGUUACGCUUUAUGCAUAGUGGAAAGUUUACAGCAACAACUGAGCCCACUCCUCUGGUUGAUUUACUGAUGGCUUCUGACAAAUUUGAGGUCGUUUCCUGCACGAAGCUUUGCAUUCAGCUUCUCAUGGUCCUGCCUAUGACUCCAGAAUCUGCAGUGAUGGGCCUAGAUCUCACAUGUUCCAUUUCAAUGGCAGCAGACCUGACAGAGGAAGCCAAGAAAUUCCUUGCCGAGAGGUACGUGGAAUUCCUGUCAACAGAGUAUGUGAUCCCAUAUUCAUUGGAUUGGGACACCUCUCCUUUUUCCCAUUCUUAGGAAGCAUGUGGACAUUGUUGUCACAAAAUGACAUGGUUUUGCUGCACUGCAGGUUCCAAGAUGAACUUAUGAUGAUCCCUCCUGCUGGGAUUGAGGCCAUCUUAUCAAGGAAUGACUUCGGGGUUGCUUCUGAAGUAACUGUCUAUGACUUCGUGCUCAGGUGGGCCUGUUCACCAUGCCCAAAUUCUGAAGAAAGGAGAAAUAUCUCGAGUUCUCGCUUACUUCCAGUAAUGCGUCUUCGUAUGACCAAUGCUGUUUAUUAUUCUUGUCGUACGGUUGACUGGGCUGUAAAGCGUGACCAGUGCCGUUCUCUACGUAUGCUGAGAGCAAUACUCAGUCAGCCAUUCUGUUGGGAAGAGUAUGUCUUCUCCCUCUCGGUACACUGGGUUGGUCAUCUUGGUCUCUAUAUAGAGAUGGAAAAAAACAAAGGGCCAACAAGAGCAGUGGUUGUUCACAUGUAACCCAUCCUAUGAAACUGAGAUUAAACAUAAUUGAAUCCGAAUUUUAGCGUCGAACUAUAUUAAAUGAACUAAUAGCUAACACAAACCAUUUACUAAAAGAAGCUAUUGUAUAUGUGAACACCACAAUCUUUAAAACAAAUAAAAUGUGAACACCACAAACUAUCUCAUAUGUUAUUUUCCCUCUGAGAUCUAUGCGAACACAUCAAGAUCAGAGUAAGAAAUACAAGAUUAAACAGACUAGAGAUUGCUACUAAAUCUUAACCAUGAUAUUCCAUUUAUCGUCACGUGGUUUUGUUUUUCCUGAGAUCUAUCCAAACAUAUAUGAUAAUCGUAUGAAAUGCAUGAAUCGUAUUUGUUUAUGGAGGGCAAAGCUAGUAUUAAAGAUGACUAGCUUUUCGCCAGGCCUCUAAGUACAUAUUUGUAGCUCAAACCAUUUUAAGAAAGUAAUAGACGAGACAAAACAUGUAUAUUAAAAGAAGCAAUUAUAUGUCUGGGAACAUCAAUCAUCGUUCAUGUUGUCUUAUUCCUUUGAGAUAUAUCCAAACACAGCAACAUCGUUUAUGGAGGCCCCCAAAUCCCGUUGGCCCGCCUACACCUCUCCUCCUCCUCCUUCUCCCUCGCCGCCGCCUGAGGGCGUGGCGGGCCCUCAGGGACCUCCCGCUCAUGAGGGGCUGGCGUGGGCCGGCGCCCCCGGGCCAGAGUGUGGCGUGCGGCCAGGCGUCACAGGUGGUGGUGGCGGCGCUCCGCAAUCCCGUACCUUCGCGGUAGGCGGCUUCAAGGUCUUGGGAGUCGCGGUAGCCUUGGACGGCGGCGGUGUGUCCGGAUCGGCGGCGGCGUUGUCGAAUCUAGGCCCAGGCGUGGGCUUGGUCACCGCGUCGCGGUCGGCGUGGUGGCGGGUGCGACAAGUCGGCAGCUGGGCGGAUCUGUCGGAUUCCCCCCUUGUCUAGUCCUUGACAGUGCGGUCAACUCCGAGGGAAACCCUAGAUCUCCUUGGGAUCGAGCGAUGGCGGUGCUUUUGCGUCGUAGUCCUUCUUCAGGGCAUUGUUUUGGAGUUUUCUCCAGUUAAAAGGACCAGCGUCGCCGGCGGCACACGCCCGGUGGCGCAACUGCCGAUGAAAAUCGCGCCGACUACGGUCAUGGCGGACGAUGACGGCGUCUUUGAUGUCAUUUUCCUUUUCGAGGCAGCGUCGUUGCAGUUUAUGUCAUCAGGCUCGGGAUGCUCUAGUGGAAAUCCUAGAUCUGGAUCUCCUAGAUUGGACGGUGGUGGAGUUCUCAGUAACGCUUUCCCUCCUGGGGGCAUCGUUUUGGAGCAAGUGAUGGUCGGAGGUUACAAGAGGAGCGGUGUUACUCAAGGAAAUAUGCCCUAGAGGCAAUAACAAAGUUAUUAUUUUAGAUUUUCUUAUUCAUGAUAAAGGUUUAUUAUUCAUGCUAGAAUUGUAUUGAUCGGAAACCUUAAUACAUGUGUGAAUACAUAAACAAAUGACGUGUCCCUAUUGAGCCUCUAGUAGACUAACUCAUUGACCAAAGAUGGUUAAGGUUUCCUAACCAUGGAUAGGAGUUGUCAUUUGAUAACGGGAUCACAUCAUUAGGAGAAUGAUGUGAUGGACAAGACCCAUCCGUUAGCUUAGCAUAAUGAUCGUUAAGUUUUAUUGUUAUUGCUUUCUUCAUGUCAAAUACACAUUCCUUCGACCAUGAGAUUAUGCAACUCCCGGAUACCAGAGGAAUGCCUUGUGUGAUAUCAAACGUCACAACAUAACUGGGUGGUCAUAAAGAUGCUCUACAGGUAUCUCCGAAGGUCUUUGUUGAGUUGGCAUAGAUCGAGAUUACGAUUUGUCACUCCGAGUAUUGGAGAGGUAUCUCUGGGCCCUCUCGGUAAUACACAUCAUAAGGUUGUAAGCAAACGACUAAGGAGUUAGUCACGAGGUGAUGUAUUACAGAACGAGUAAAGAGACUUUUCGGUAACGAGAUUAAACUAGGUAUGAAGAUACCGACGACCGAAUCUUGGGCAAGUAACAUACCGAUGGGCAAAAAGAAUUACGUAUGUUGUCAUAACGGUUCGACCGAUAAAGAUCUUCGUAGAAUAGGUAGGCGCCAAUAUGGGCAUCCAGGUUCCGCUAUUGGUUAUUGACCAGAGAGGUGUCUUGGUCAUGUCUACAUAGUUCUCGAACCCGUAGGGUCCGCACGCUUAACGUUCAAUGAUGAUAUAGUAUUAUAUGAGUUAUGUGAUUUGAUGAACGAAUGUUGUUCGGAGUUCUGGAUGAGAUCACGAACAUGACGAGGAGUCUCGAAAUGGUCGAGAGGUAAAGAUUGAUAUAUAGGACGAUAGUAUUCGGACACCGAAAGUAUUCUGGAGGGUACCAGGUACAUAUUGGGUCACCCGAAGGGGUUCCGGGCACGUGCGACAAAAGAUAUGGGCCAUAUGGGCCAAGAGGGGAAAUGCACCAGCCACAAGGGGCUGGUGCGGCCCCCAUAUGGGCCGAACCAGGAGAAGGAAAGAGGGGAAGGGAAAGGAAAUUGGGGGAAGGAGGGGGAUUCGGCCUCCCCUUCUUUCCCUCCUCGCUCCUCUCUUUCCUUCCGCCUCCGGCAAAUAUGGCAGGGGCGCACGGCCAAGGGGAGACCCCAAGUAGUAUUCGGCCUACUUGGGCGCCUCCUGGCAGCCUCCCCUCUCCCUCCCACCUAUAUAUAUAGGGCUGGACUAUUCUGUUACUAGUAACAGAAUAUUAUUUUAUUACCCCUUGGCCCUAUAAGGGCGCGACGCGCAGGCCACAGCAGAAACUCCCCGACCCGACCCCAACCUAACCAGCCUCCUACCGCCGAAGGGAGCCGUCGCGGGCGAGCGAGCGACGACGGCAGCCGGAGCGAGGGAGCCCGCGGCGCCGUGACGGGUCGCUCCUNNNNNNNNNNNNNNNNNNNNNNNNNNNNNNNNNNNNNNNNNNNNNNNNNNNNNNNNNNNNNNNNNNNNNNNNNNNNNNNNNNNNNNNNNNNNNNNNNNNNNNNNNNNNNNNNNNNNNNNNNNNNNNNNNNNNNNNNNNNNNNNNNNNNNNNNNNNNNNNNNNNNNNNNNNNNNNNNNNNNNNNNNNNNNNNNNNNNNNNNNNNNNNNNNNNNNNNNNNNNNNNNNNNNNNNNNNNNNNNNNNNNNNNNNNNNNNNNNNNNNNNNNNNNNNNNNNNNNNNNNNNNNNNNNNNNNNNNNNNNNNNNNNNNNNNNNNNNNNNNNNNNNNNNNNNNNNNNNNNNNNNNNNNNNNNNNNNNNNNNNNNNNNNNNNNNNNNNNNNNNNNNNNNNNNNNNNNNNNNNNNNNNNNNNNNNNNNNNNNNNNNNNNNNNGCCGCGCACCACCAUCCCCGCCCCGCGCCGCCACCCCGAUCCCCUCCGCCGUGCGCCGCCCCUCCGAGCCCCGCCGCCCUGCGCCUGUCACCCCCCGCCUUGCGCAGCAUCCUACCGACCGGACCAGCCGCCGGCCGAAUCCAGCCUCACUCCCGAGCUUCGUCUUCUUCCUCGCCGAGACACGAGACAGUCACGCCAGUUCGGGCGUAGUAAGUACCUAAGUACGAGUUAAAAACGGUGGCCGUUCGGAAUAAAAAGAAAUGGCAGAAAUUCAAAUUGUAAAAGUUCAAGCAAAAAAAGAAACCCCAUGAAAAUCCUGCUUAGUAAGUACCUCAGUACAAGUCGUAAAAUGAGAGAAGUUCAGAACAUCGUUGUCAAAAUAAUGUUGAGUUCAAAAAAAGAAACAAAAUAAAACAUUUUAUUUUUGAAUAAAAUAUCAUUCAGUUCGAUGAUACAAACCAUGCAAAUACAGGGGCGACAAUACAGUAAAAACCGUUGAAAAUUUACGAGCAAAAAUAUUACCCAAAAACAGAGCAAAGUCUAGUUAGUGAAAACAUGCUUAGUACAAACUCAUGCAAACAUCAUUACAAGUACUCUUUUUCAGAAUAAUUCAAAAUUACUCUACAAAAAAUAGCUCAGUACAAACACACACAUAUAUCAGUACGAGUAUUCUGUUUUCCAGACGGGAAAACAGCAGGAUCCGUCUUGCCGUAUUCAAAAUUACUCUUAACCAAUUGCGAAUUUGAGAAAAUGUUUAACAUGACUAAGUUUCGCAUUUUCGGUAGCUUUUCAAUGGCAUAUUAUUUGCACCAUUUCAAUAAACUUUUUAACAAAAUCACGUCCAAAACCAACUUUAAUCGUAUUUGAAUUCGUAUUUAAACCGCAAGGAAUUAAAAAAACUUUCUAUACGCAAAAGUUGAGCAUUUUCCAUAGCUUUACAACGCUGUAUUAUUUGCGUCAAUCCGACAAAAUGUUUGCAAAAAACAGCGAAAAUACGUUUCACCCAGAAUUUCACCAUUUUUCAAAUUACUUUUAAAUCAUAUAGAAUUUGAAAAAAUAGUAGAUAUAUGGAAGACGCGGAUUUUCACAAGCUUUCCAAAGCCAUCUCAUUUGCUCAAUUCCGACAAACCGUUUAAAAAUUAAGUCCAAAAUACGAUUUGCAUUUUCGGUUUUGAAAAAACGGUUUUUUCAAAACUGCUCUUAAACCAUAUUUUUUUGUAAAAACAAAUUAUAAAAUUGUAAUUUAGAUGUCAAGAGCUUUCCAACGAUAUAUUACACGCCCCGUUUCGACAAAAAAAUUGCAAAAAAAUUAAACUAAAGAAGACGAUUUUUAAGAGAAACAAAAAGCAUCAGUUUAAGCGCUCGAAUUUCAUCAGUUCAGCCGCUUGACUUCAUCAGUUUUUGUAGGGUAAGAAAAUAGCCCAGAUACAACGCCCCUAUAUAAGGCCCGAUGAGAAUCAUCCCCAACUUCCGAACCGGAUGCGACAAAGAAAAAAAAUGCAGCCCACCUUCUUCCCCCGUGCUCUAUCCCACCCCGAUUCCACCUUCCCCCGCACACAACCACCGGCAGCCAUGGCCACCCCUGCCUCGCCCCUGCCCCGCCCCCAUAUUCGACCUCCGCGCCGCCUCAGCCCCCGGAUCCGGCCGCCGGGCUGACUCCGCCCCUGGAUCCGGUCGCCGGGCCUCCUCAUUCCCCUGGAUCCACCCGGCACCGAUCCCGCCACUGCCAGCGACCACCAAGCGCCGGCGCGCGGCCCCGCCGUCUACCUGUAGUACGCCGCCGCCCCUUCCCUGCCACCUAGGCUGCCCCCGGCCUCGCCCAGCUUCUCUUCCGGCGACGGCGGCCUCGUCAGCAGAGGAGCCCGCCAUGGCCAUGGGAGACGGCGACCUCCCCGACCUCCUGCGGGCCCUCUGGCCAACCGCUACCUCCCCACCCCGUCCCCCUCGCCUCCCGACCAACCACCGCCUCCCCAUCCCUUCGGCCGACCUGCAGAUGGGGGAGGUCUCGACCUGCAGCUGGGAGGAGUUCCGACCUGCACCUGGUCGCGCGCGCCGCUGCCAUUGAGGUCCACCACCAACAGGCGGCACGGCGGCAACCACCCCCGCCGCCGCCCCAUUCCGGCUCUCCGGCCGCCGGCGUCCAUCUCCGCGCAGCCACCGAGUCCCGGCAGCCAACAAGCUGUCUGGCGACCGUGGACCUUAGCCGAACACAAAAGCUGGCCCAGCCCCACCAUGCCUCUCCUCUUGUCGCGGCAGGCUCCUGCGCGCUGCAGUUCAUGAUGCCCUGGUCGAGGCGCUCAAGAGCUAUCUCCAUGGAGGGAUUGCAGCGGCACACCACGAGCUAUGAGUAGUCCAGACCCACCUGUGCUACUGUUGUUGUUGGUCCUCAGGUUGGCUGUGCCCAAAUCCAACGAGGAGCAGUAGUAGUAGCAGGUACCGGAGGAGAUCAAAGUGUGUGCUGUGGCGAGGAGUGUUGUUUGCAAAAUUUCCGUUGGCCUUCUCUAGUUGCGUCCUCGUUACUGCUGCUCCAGACAAGUAUGGACUGCAGGACGCCUCCACAGCAUGACCAAGUGUUGGUCUUUUUCUCUGAACCUCUUCCUUUCUGCUUGCACACUCUGAACUUGUUGCACCUCUGUUAGUAUGGAAUGAUUGUACAGUUGCCAAAACUAAUCGAUGCUGAUCCGGUACUCCAUUAACGUGUAGUAUAUUUGUUGCUGAGAUGAUUCAUUGACCAUACUUGCAUAUUCUUUAUUUUUUUUCUUGCUGUGCUCUCUCUGUUGCUAGCCUGCGUGUUCAUGGACAUAUUCAUGGCGGUUAGUAGUUGUGGCUGCUUCACAAAAUUUUAGCGCCAAGAGCUGCGUCUCCAACUUUGCUGAGUAGGUCCAGACGAAAAGCGAGUCAAAAACCAUUGCCCCUUGUGAUGCAAUGGAUCGGACACCAUAGGGUUCAAAGGAUUGGAUCUGGUUUCCUAUUAAUGCAUGCCUCACCAGCUGCUCAUAAAUAUGUGAUGUUAUGUCCUUUGAAUGCACUAGCCUGCGAGAGAUGACACUCCAUCCGCGCAUUGUAUGCUUGCCCAGAUACAAACAUCCGUCCUUUUGGACAUUUACAUCGUUUUUAUGGUACUAUUGGACCGCUAGUAAUUCCGACCGUAAUUGUUGCAUGACGAAAUAGGAAUGGUUUUGCUAAAUUUCAGCUAUCUAAAAAUCUAGUAAAUCUCAAUCACUUUAAUUAGUAAAAUUUGGUUCAUAUGAUAGGAAUAUCAUAAGAAUAGAAAAAUCAUAGAAAACGAGAUGACAUGCAUCUCGAUUUCUAUAUGGAAGGAGAUGUGCUCCACCAAGGAUGGCAAAAAAAAAUUAUAUUUCCUUUAUAGUGUGUGUUUUUAUUAGAAGAAAAGAAAAAGAGAAGUUCAGUUUGUAAUGAUGAGGCCGUUCAACGUGCAAACCAAUUGAAAAACUAUACAGGUUCGCCUACCAAAAUGUCCAAACUUUCUUGUGGAAAAAUUUCACUCUAUUUUUUGAACUCUUCGUUGAGAACUUUAUGCUCUUUCAGAUGUGUUCAUUCGUUUCUGUGUAAAUGCAUGUAGCACACGAAGUGUAUGUGUAUUGUUGUGUGUAAUUUUCUUGAAAUUCAAUAGCAUGCGAAGUUCGUGUUUCAAAAAUUCAUAAGUUCACGUGUACCACAUAAUGAAGAAAAAGAUGGAGAAGUUCGAUGAUUAUAAAAAACUCAGAUUUUCCUCGUUAUUAAAGAAUGGAAACAAGAAGUUCAAAAAUAAAAUAGCAAGAAGUUCAACUUUUAAAAAAUAGAGUGCUUCAAAAUUUCAUAAAAAAAGUUAAGAAAUAAAACCAGGAAGUCCAUAUUAAAAAGAUGGAGAAGUUCGAUGAUUAUGAAAACUCAGAUUUUCCUCGUUAUUAAAGAAUGGAAACAAGAAGUUCAAAAAAUAAAAUAACAAGAAGUUCUACUUUUAAAAAAUAGAGCACUUUAAAAUUUCAUAAAAAGAGUAAGAAAUAAAACAGGAAGUCCAUAUUAAAAAUAUGGAAAAGUUCGAUGAUUAUAGAAAACUCAGAUUAUCCUCUUUAUUAAAGAAUGGAAACAAGAAGUUCAAAAUAAAAUAACAAGAAGUUCAACUUUUUAAAAAUAGAGCGCUUCAAAAUUUCGUAAAAAAUAUUAAGAAAAAAAAACCAACAAGUCCAUAUUAAAAAGAUGGAGAAGUUCGAUGAUUAUAGAAAAUUCAGAUUUCCCUCAUUAUUAAAGAAUGAAAACAAGAAGUUCAAAAAUAAAAUAACAAGAAGUUCAACUUUUUUAAAAAUAGAGCGCUUCAAAAUUUCAUAAAAAAAGAUUAAGAAAAAGCAAAUUGAUAUUAAUAAACUCAGAUAUUUUCACGUAACCGAGAGAAGUUCAGAUUGAUAACUGCUAGAAGUUCACGUACUACACGGUGCGCAUUUUGUAUUAAAAAAUAAUGAAAAAGUAAAGGCUAAAUUUUUUGUUUCUAGAAGUUCAAGUCCUCGGUCGGAGAAGGUUAAAAAAUUUAUUGUGAGAGGGGUUUGUACAAAAGGAAUACCAUUUGUGUAACACUAAUGAAUGGAUGAGAAAAUUACAAACAAAAAUACGUCACAGAAGUUCAACGUGAAAACAGCAGGAAGUUCAACUACUGUACUGAAUAAAUUUUAGAUGAAAAAAUUUUAAACCGUCGUGAGUAUGAAAAAAUGAUCAACAAUGGAAAGUUGCGUGUUUACAGCAGAUUUCCAUCGGCAUAUCACUUGCUCAAUUCCGGUGAGUGGAUGGAGAGCUACGAGCCAAAAAAACACGUGAAAACAGAGUGAAGUUCAAGUACACACGCCGAGAAGUUCAAGUUCUUCAUGCGAUGCAUAUUCAACGAAUCUGUUUCACGAUAAAGGCAGAACGAAUGAUCUCGGCAUUUUCAAAAUUACUUGAAAAUAGCUAGGAAUCAGAGAAAACUGUCAACAUAAAAAAGUUUCGCAUUUUCCGUAGCUUUUCAACGGUGUAUUAUUUGCCCCAUUCCAAUAAAGUUUGUACAAAUUACGGCGAAAAUAUGUUUUUCGCCAUUUUCGAAAUUGUCUUAAAAGCGUAAAUAUUUGGGAGAAACAACACAUAGGAAAAAGUUUCGCAUUUGUUCAAGCUUUCCAACGCCAUAUCAUUUGCUGCAUUCGCACACACGGUUAAAAAAUGAGCUCCAAAAUAUGAACUCGGUAGGACUUGUACCGUUUUCUAAAUUACUCUUAAACCAUUCAGAAUUAGAAAAAACUUUCAACAUGAAAAAGUGGCGCAUUUUCAUAAGCUUUCCAACGCAAUAUCAUUUGUCUCAAUUGGAUUAGCCGUUUAGAAAUGACAUCGAAAAUACAAACUCGGCUCUUCGGUUUGCGAAAUUUUACGUUUCUCCAAAUUACUCUUUAAACGUAGGGAAUUAGAGAAAACUUUCAACAUGUGGAAGGAGCGGUUUUGUAGCAGCUUUCCAACGCCAUAUUAUUUGCCUCAUUCCGAUAAAUGGUUUAGAAAUGCGAUCGAAAUUAAGAUUCACGUUUUUUGUGUGAAGAAAAAAGGUUUUCAAAACUGCUCUUAAACCAUUUACAUUUUGACAAAAAUUUAAGUUGGGUCAUGAUACUGGUGUCCAUAGCUUUCCAACAGUAUAUCGCAAGCCCCGUUUGGGCAAUGUUGGCGGAAGUUCAACCUAGUUCAGAGGGAAGUCCAGCGUACUACUAGCGGGCAGGUCAGGUUGUGAUCAGAAUAUUAUUCUCAUCCCGUGAUCAGAAUAGUGUUUAUAUGUGUGUGUGUCUAUAUAUAUAUAUAUAUAUGUGUGUGGGGGGGGGCGCCCUAGCACACACCAGAUCAUUUGUUACCCGUGUGCGGCGCCCCCAUCCACCGUUUACAAUCCCGUUCAUAUUUUCGUAGUGCUUAGGCGAAGCCCUGCGAGGAUGACUUCAUCACCGUCACCACGUCGUUGUGCUGACAGAACUCAUCUACUACCUCGACGACUUGCUGGAUCAAGAAGGCGAGGGACAUCACCGAGCUGAACGUGUGCAGAACGCGGAGGUGCCGUGCGUUUGGUACUUGAUCGAUUGACAUGAGAAAAAGUUCGACUACAUCAACCACGUUUUGAAACGCUUCCGCUUACGGUCUACGAGGGUACGUAGACACAUUCUCCCCCUCGUUGCUAUGCAUGUCCAUGGAUAGAUCAUUGCGGGUGAGUAGAAUUUUUUGUUUUCAUGCAGUGAUUCCCAACAGUGGCAUCAUGAGUCAGGUCUAUAUAUGCAUAGAUGAUAUGCACGAGUAGAACACAAAGAGUUGUGGGUGGUGAUAGUCAUGCUGCUUACCACAAACGUCUUAUUUUGAUUCGGUGGUAUUGUGGGAUAAGGCGGCCCGAACCAACCUUACAUGUCCUCGCACAUGAGACCGAUUCCAUCGAUUGACAUGCAACUAGUUUUGCAUAAAGGUGGCUGGCGGGUGACUACAGACGGUCCUUGAAGAAGGUCAAAACAACAAACUUGACGAAACACCAUUGUGGUUUUUGCCGUAGGUAAGAACGGUUCUUGCUAGAAACCCGUAGCAGCCACGUAAAACUUGCAACAACAAAGUAGAGGACAUCUAACUUGUUUUUGCAGGGUAUGUUGUGAUGUGAUAUGGUCAAGACAUGAUGUGAUAUACAUUAUUGUAUGAGAUGAUCAUGUUUUGUAAGAUAUCUGGCAACCAGCAGGAGCCUUAUGGUUGUCUCUUUAUUGUAUUAAAUGCAUAUGCCAUGUGAUUGCUUUAGUUUAUCGCUAUGAGUUAGCAAUAGUUGUAGAAGCAAUAGUUGGCGAGACGACCACAACACAAUGAUGGAGAUCAAGCUGUCGAGCCGGUGACGAUGGAGAUCAUGACGAUGCUUUGGAGAUGGAGAUCAAAAGCACAAGAUGAUGAUGGCCAUAUCAUGUCACAUAUUUUGAUUGCAUGUGAUGUUUAUAUUUUAUGCAUCUUAUUUUGCUUUGUACGGAGGUAGCAUUAUAAGAUGAUCCCUUGACUAAAUUUUAAGGUAAAAGUGUUCUCCCUGAGUAUGCACCGUUGCUACAGUUCGUCGUGUUGAGACACCACGUGAUGAUCGGGUGUGAUAGACUCUACGUUCACAUACAAUGGGUGCAAGAUAGUUUUGCACAUGCGGAAUACUUAGGUUAAACUUGAUGAGCCUAGCAUGUACAGACAUGGCCACAGAACAAUGGAGACCGAACGGUCGAACGUGAAUCAUAUAGUAGAUAUGAUUAACAUAGAGAUGUUCACCAUUGAUGACUACUCCAUCUCACGUGAUGAUCGGGCAUGGAUUAGUUGAUUUGGAUCAUGUAUCACUUAGAUGACUUGAGGGAUGUCUAUUUAAGUGGGACUUCUUAAGUAAUUUGAUUAAUUGAACUUAAUUUAUCAUGAACUUAGUCCUGAUAGAAUUUGCAUAUCUAUGUUGUAGAUCAAUGGCCCGUGCUACUGUUCCCCUGAAUUUUAAUGCAUUCCUAGAGAAAGCUAAGUCGAAAGAUGAUGGUAGCAACUUACACGGACUGGGUCCGUAACUUGAGAAUUAUCCUCAUUGUUGCACAGAAGAAUUAUGUCCUUGAUGCACCGCUUAGUGAAAGGCCUGCUGCAGGAGAAGAUGCUGAUGUUUUGAACAUCUGGCAAGCUCGAUGUGAUGACUACUUGAUAGUUCAGUGUGCCAUGCUUUAUGGCUUAGAAUCGGGUCUUUAAAGACCUUUUGAACGUCGCAUAUGAGAUGUUCCAGGAGUUGAAGUUAAUAUUUCAAGAAAAUGCCUGGGUUGAGAGAUAUGAAGUCUCCAACAACUUUUAUAGCUACAAGAUGGAGGAGAAUAGUUCUGUGAAUGAGCACAUACUCAGAAUGUUUGGAUAUCAUAAUCACUUGACUCGGCUGAGAAUUAAUCUUCCAGAUGAUAGUGUUAUUGACAGAGUUCUUCAAUCACUGCCACCAAGCUACAAAGAUUUUGUGAUGAACUAUAAUAUGCAAGGGAUGGACAAGACAAUUCCUGAGCUCUUCGCAAUGCUCAAAGCUGCGGAGGUAGAAAUCAAGAAGGAGCAUCAAGUGUUGACAGUUAACAAGACCACUAGUUUCAAGAAAAAGGGCAAGGGAAAGAAGGGGAACUUCAAGAAGAAUGGCAAGCAAGUUGCCACUCCCUGGAAGAAGCCAGAAGCUGGACCUAAUCCUGAAACUGAGUGCUUCUACUGCAAAGGGACUGGUCACUGGAAGUGGAACUGCCCCAAGUAUUUGGUGGAUAAGAAGGAUGGCAAAGUGAACAAAGGUAUAUUUGAUAUACAUGUUAUCGAUGUGUACCUUACUAUUUCUCGUAGUAGCGCCUGGGUAUUUGAUACUGGUUCGGUUGCUCAUAUUUGUAACUCCAAACAGGAGCUACAGAUUAAACGAAGAUUGGCUAAGGACGAGGUGAUGAUGCGCGUCGGGAAUGGUUCCAAGUUCGAUGUGAUCGCCGUCGGCACGCUACCUCUACAUCUACCUUCGGGAUUAGUUUUAGACCUGAAUAAUUGUUAUUUGGUGCCAGCGUUGAGAAUGAACAUUAUAUCUUGAUCGUGUUUAGUGCGAGACGGUUAUUUAUUUAAAUCAGAGAAUAAUGGUUGUUCUAUUUAUAUGAGUAAUAUCUUUUAUGGUCAUGCACCAUUGAAGAGUGGUCUAUUUUUAUUGAAUCUCGAUUGUAGGGAUACACAUAUUCCUAAUAUUGAUGCCAAAAGAUGCAAAGUUGAUAAUGAUAGUGCAACAAAUUUGUGGCACUGCCGUUUAGGUCAUAUUGGUGUAAAGCGUAUGAAGAAACUCCAUGCAUAUGGGCUUUUGGAAUCACUUGAUUAUGAAUUAUUUGAUACUUGCGAACCAUGCCUCAUGGGCAAGAUGAUUAAAACUCCGUUCUCCGGAACAAUGAAGCGAGUCGAUGACUUAUUGGAAAUAAUACAUACCGAUGUAUGUGGUCCAAUGAGUGUUGAGGCACGCGGCGGGUAUCGUUAUUUUUUGACCUUCACAGAUGAUUUGAGCAGAUAUGGGUAUAUCUACUUAAUGAGACACAAGUAUGAAACUUUUAAAAACUUCAAAGAAUUUCAGAGUGAAGUGGAGAAUCAUCAUAAUAAGAAAAUAAAGUUUCUACGAUCUGAUCAUGGAGGCGAAUAUUUGAGUUACAAGUUUGGCCUUCAUUUAAAACAAUGUGGAAUAGUUUCACAACUCACUCCAACCUGGAACACCACAACAUAAUGGUGUGUACGAACAUCGUAACCGUAUUUUAUUAGAUAUGGUGCGAUCUAUGAUGUCUCUUACCGAUUUACCACUAUCGUUUUGGAGUUAUGCAUUAGAGAUAGCUGCAAUCACGCUAAAUAGGGUACCAUCUAAAUCCGUUGAGACGACACCAUAUGAACGGUGGUUUGGCAAGAAACCUAACCUGUCAUUUCUUAAAGUUUGGGGUUGCAACACUUAUGUCAAAAGGCUUCAGCCUAAUAAGCUCGAACCCAAAUCGGAGAAGUGCGUCUUUAUAGGAUACCCUAUGGAAACAAUUGGGUACACCUUCUACCACAGAUCCGAAGGCAAGAUCUUUGUGGCCAAGAAUGGAACCUUUCUAGAGAAGGAGUUUCUCUCGAAAAAAGUGAGUGGGAGGAAAGUAGAACUUGAUGAGGUAAUCGUACCUUCUCUCGAAUUGGAAAGUAGCACAUUAGAGAAAUCUGUUCCCGUGAUGCCUACACAAAAUAGAGAGGAAGGUAAUGAUGAUGAUCAUGAAACUUCAGAUCAAGUUACUACUAGACCUCGUAGGUCAAACAGAGCACGUUCCGCACUAGAGUGGUACGGUAAUCCUGUUUUGGAAUUCAUGUUACUAGACCAUGGCAAACCUACGAACUAUGAAGAAGCUAUGAUGAGCCAAGAUUCCGACAGAUGGCUUGAGGCCAUGAAAUGUGAGAUAGGAUCCAUGUAUGAGAACAAAGUAUGGACUUUGGUCGACUUGCCCGAUGAUCGGCAGGCCAUAGAAAAUAAAUGGAUCUUCAAGAAGAAGACUGACGCUGAUGGUAAUGUUACUGUCUACAAAACUCAACUUGUCACAAAAGGUUUUCGACAAGUACAAGGGGUUGACUACGAUGAGAAUUUCUCACUCGUAGUGAUGCUUAAGUCCGUCCGAGUCAUGUUGGCAAUUGCUGCAUUUUAUGAUUAUGAAAUCUGGCAAUGGAUGUCAAAACUGCAUUCCUUAAUGGAUUUGUUAAAGAAGAGUUGUAUAUGAUGCAACCAGAAGGUUUUAUCGAUCCUAAAGGUGCUAACAAAGUGUGCAAACUCCAGCGAUCCAUCUAUGGACUGGUGCAAGCAUCUCGGAGUUGGAAUAUACGCUUUGAUAAACUGAUCAAGGCAUAUGGCUUUAUACAGACUUUUGGUGGAGCUUGUAUUUACAAGAAAGUGAGUGGGAGCUCUGUAGCUUUUCUAAUAUUAUAUGUAGAUGACAUAUUGUUGAUUAGAAAUGAUGUAGAAUUUCUGGAUAGCAUAAAAGGAUACUUGAAUAAGAGAUUUUCAAUGAAAGACAUCGAUGAAGCUGCUUAUAUAUUGGGCAUCAAGAUAUAUAGAGAUAGAUCAAGACGCUUAAUAGGACUUUCACAAAGCACAUACCUUGAUAAAGUUUUGAAGAAGUUCAAAAUGGAUCAGUCGAAGAAAGGGUUCUUGCCUGGGUUGCAAGGUGUGAAGUUGAGUCAGACUCAAAGCCCGACCACUGCAGAAGAUAGAGAGAAAAUGAAAGGCAUUCCCUAUGCCUCAGCCAUAGGUUCUAUCAUGUAUGCUAUGCUGUGUACCAGACCUGAUGUGUGCCUUUCCAUAAGUCUGGCAGGGAGGUACCAAAGUAAUCCAGGAGUGGAUCACUGGACAGCAGUCAAGAACGUCCUGAAGUACCUGAAAAGUACAAAGGAUAUGUUUCUCAUUUAUGGAGGUGACAAAGAGCUCAUCGUAAAUGGUUACGUCGAUGCUAGCUUUCACACUGAUCCGGAUGACUCUAAGUCACAAACCAAAUAAGUAUUUAUAUUGAAUGGUGGAGCUGUCAGUUGGUGCAGUUCCAAGCAGAGCGUCUUGGCGGGAUCUACGUGUGAAGCAGAGUACAUAGCUGCUUCGGAAGCAGCAAAUGAAGGAGUUUGGAUGAAGGAGUUCAUAUCUGAUCUAGGUGUUAUACCUAGUGCAUCGGGUCCAAUGUGACAAUACUGGAGCGAUUGCCUUGGCAAAGGAAUCCAGAUUUCACAAGAGAACCAAACACAUCAAGAGAUGCUUCAACUCCAUCCGUGAACAAGUCAAGGAGGGAGAUAUAGUGAUUUGCAAAAUACAUACAGAUCUGAAUGUAGCAGACCCGUUGAGUAAGCCUCUUCCGCGAGCAAAACAUGAUCAACACCAAGACUCUGUGGGUGUUAGAUUCAUUGCAAUGUAAUCUAGAUUAUUGACUCUAGUGCAAAUGGGAGACUGAAGGAAAUAUGCCCUAGAGGAAAUAACAAAGUUGUUAUUUUAUAUUACCUUAUUCAUGAUAAAGGUUUAUUAUUCAUGCUAGAAUUGUAUUGAUCAGAAACCUUAAUACAUGUGUGAAUACAUAAACAAACAACGUGUCCCCAGUGAGCCUCUAGUAGACUGGCUCGUUGAUCAAAGAUGGUUAAGGUUUCCUAACCAUGGACAUGAGUUGUCAUUUGAUAACAGGAUCACAUCAUUAGGAGAAUGAUGUGAUGGACAAGACCCAUCCGUUAGCUUAGCAUAAUGAUCAUUAAGUUUUAUUGCUAUUGCUUUCUUCAUGUCAAAUACACAUUCCUUCGACUACGAGAUUAUGCAACUCUCGGAUACCGGAGGAAUGCCUUGUGUGCUAUCAAAUGUCACAACUUAACUGGGUGAUCAUAAAGAUUCUCUAAAGGUAUCUCCAAAGGUGUUUGUUGAGUUGGCAUAGAACGACAUUAGGAUUUGUCACUCCGAGUAUCGGACAAGUAUCUCUAGGCCCUCUUGGUAAUACACAUCAUAAGCUUGCGAGCAAAGGACUAAGGAGUUAGUUACAAGGUGAUGUAUUACAGACCAAGUAAAGAUACUUGCUGGUAACGAGAUUAAACUAGGUAUGAAGAUACCGACUAUCGAAUCUCGGGCAAGUAACAUACCGAUGGACAAAGGGAAUUACGUAUAUUGUCAUAACGGUUCGACCAAUAAAGAUCUCCGUAGAAUAUGUUGAAGGAAAUAUGCGCUAGAGGCAAUAAUAAAGUUAUUAUUUAUUUCCUUAUAUCAUGAUAAAUGUUUAUUAUUCAUGCUAGAAUUGUAUUAACCGGAAACAUAAUACUUGUGUGAAUACAUAGACAAACAGAGUGUCACUAGUAUGCCUCUACUUGACUAGCUCGUUGAUCAAAGAUGGUUAUGUUUCCUAGCCAUUGACAUGAGUUAUCAUUUGAUUAACGGGAUCACAUCAUUAGGAGAAUGAUGUGAUUGACUUGACCCAUUCCGUUAGCUUAGCACACGAUCGUUUAGUAUUCUGCUAUUGCUUUCUUCAUGACUUAUACAUGUUCCUAUGACUAUGAGAUUAUGCAACUCCCGUUUACCGGAGGAACACUUUGUGUGCUACCAAACGUCACAACGUAACUGGGUGAUUAUAAAGGUGCUCUACAGGUGUCUCCGAAGGUACUUGUUGGGUUGGCGUAUUUCAAGAUUAGGAUUUGUCACUCCGAUUGUCGGAGAGGUAUCUCUGGGCCCACUCGGUAAUGCACAUCACUUAAGCCUUGCAAGCAUUGCAACUAAUGAGUUAGUUGCGGGAUGAUGUAUUACAGAACGAGUAAAGAGACUUGCCGGUAACGAGAUUGAACUAGGUAUUGAGAUACCGACGAUCGAAUCUCGGGCAAGUAACAUACCGAUGACAAAGGGAACAACGUAUGUUGUUAUGCGGUCUGACCGAUAAAGAUCUUCGUAGAAUAUGUGGGAGCCAAUAUGAGCAUCUAGGUUCUGCUAUUGGUUAUUGACCGGAGACGUGUCUCGGUCAUGUCUACAUAGUUCUCGAACCCAUAGGGUCCGCACGAUUAAAGUUUCGAUGACAGUUAUAUUAUGAGUUUAUAUGUUUUGAUGUACCGAAGGUUGUUCGGAGUCCCGGAUGUGAUCACGGACAUAACGAGGAGUCUCGAAAUGGUCGAGACAUGAAUAUUGAUAUAUUGGACGACUAUAUUCGGACACCGGAAUGGUUCCGGGGGUUAUCGGAUAUAUACCGGAGUACCUGGGGGUUACCGGAACCCCCCGGAGGUUAUUGGGCCUCAUGGGCCCAAUUGGUGGAAGAGGAGAGGCGGCCAAGGGGAAGCCGCGCGCCCCUCCCCCCCCCAAGUCCGAAUUGGACAAGGAGGGGGGCGCCCCCCCUUUCCUUUCCCCCUCUCUCUCCUUCCCUCUCCUCUCCUAAUCCAACAAGGAAAAGGGAGGGAGUCCUACUCCCGGUGGGAGUUGGACUCCUCCUGGCACGCCCCUCCUGGCCGGCCGCCUCUUCCCCCUUGCUCCUUUAUAUACAGGGGCAGGGGGCACCCUAGAGACACAACGAUUGAUCUGUUGAUCUUUUAGCCGUGUGCGGUGCCCCCUCCACCAUAGUCCACCUCGAUAAUACUAUAGCGGUGCUUAGGCGAAGCCCUGCGUCGGUAGAACAUCAUCAUCGUCACCACGCCGUCGUGCUGACAAAACUCUCCCUCAACACUCGGCUAGAUCGGAGUUCGAGGGACGUCAUCGGGCUGAACGUGUGCUGAACUCGGAGGUGCCGUGCGUUCGGUACUUGAUCGGUCGGAUCGUGAAGACGUACGACUACAUCAACCGCGUUGUGCUAACGCUUCCGCUUUCGGUCUAUGAGGGUACGUGGACAACACUCUCCCCUCUCGUUGCUAUGCAUCACCAUGAUCUUGCGUGUGCGUAGGAUUUUUUUGAAAUUACUACGUUCCCCAACAUAUGUAGGAGCCAAUAUGAAGAUCUAGGUUCCGCUAUUGGUUAUUGACCAACGAGGUGUCUCGGGCAUGUCUACAUAGUUCUCGAACCCAUAGGGUCCGCAUGCUUAACAUUCGAUGACGAUAUAGUAUUAUAUCAGUUAUGUGAUUUGGUGACCGGAUGUGGUUCGGAGUUCCGGAUGAGAUCACAGACAUGAUGAGGAGUCUCGAAAUGCUCGAGAGGUAAAGAUUGAUACAUAGGACGAUAGUAUUCGGACACCAGAAGUGUUUCCGAGGGUACCAGGUACAUAUCGGGUCACCGGAAGGGGUUCCGGGAACCCCGGCAUAAGAUAUGGGCCUUAUGGGCCAAGAGGGGAAACGCACCAGCCACAAGGGGCUGGUGCGCCCCCCCAUAUAGGACGAACCAGGAGGAGAAGGAAAAAGGGGAAGGGAAAGGAAAUGGGUGAUUCGGCCUCCCCCUUCCUUCCCUCCUCUCUCCUCUUUCCUUCACCCUUCGGCAAAUAUGGUAGGGGGGCGCGGCCAAGGGGAGACCCCAAGUAGGAUUCGGCCUACUUGGGGGCCUCCUGGCAGCCUCGCCUCUCCCUACCACCUAUAUAUAUGUGAGGGGGGCGGGCGCCCUAGCACACACUAGAUCAAUUGUUAGCCGUGUGCGGCGGCCCCCUCCAUCAUUUACACCCCCGGUUAUAUUUUCGUAGUGCUUAGGCGAAGCCCUGCGAGGAUCACUUCACCAUCACCGUCACCACACCGUCGUGCUGACGGAACUCAUCUACUACCUCGACGACUUGCUGGAUCAAGAAGGCGAGGGACGUCACCGAGCUGAACGUGUGUGCAGAGCACAGAGGUGCCAUGCGUUCGGUACUUGAUCAGUUGACGUGAGAAGAAGUUUGACUACAUCAACCGUGUUGUGAAAUGCUUCCUCUUACGGUCUACAAGGGUAUGUAGACAAACUCUCCCCCUUGUUGCUAUGCAUCUCAAUGCAUAGAUUAUUGCGUGUGCGUAGAAUUUUUUUUGUUUUCCAUGCAUCGAUUCCCAACAGUUACAUUUACCACAAGGCCGAUGACGGAUCACGGCGACAUGGCGCUGCGGAGUUUCAGUGAUGGGCGCGUGUGGAUGGACACGCGUGGGAUGGUGGCGUUGUCUGAUGUCGUGGUGACGUCGACGGCAGGCCUGACAAGGUUCGUGUGUCAGUACCUGCUUUGUAGAUGGAUGAGUCGUUGACGGUGGCGGCGGCCUCUGAGAGUGCACCAGACCGAUGUGUGACCCAGUCCCGGCAUUGUGGCUUGGUUGGGGCAUCCGGCUUUAGAUGUUAGGCUUUGGUGUGAUGUCUGUUUGGUAUUAGGCUCGGACAUUUGGCACCCCUUCAUCAAGGGGAUAGGAGUAGGUGUGUUGCCAAGAUGAUGGUUUCAGGCAUACUGAUAUAUUACUUUGUAAGGUCUUUGUGAAUAAUUAAUAAAUUAGAUGCAUGCAUCAUCCAGAUGGAGAGGCCGAGGGUAUAUCCUCCUUUUCAAAAAAAGAAAAAGAGAUCGUUUUGCUAAGUCUCAGUCGACUGAGACUUCGCUAAGUCUCAGUCGAUGUUAUAUAUUUUUAUAUACUAUAUCACUUGAUUGAGACUUGGUUAAGUCUCAGUCGACUGAGACCUAGGCACACCCAAAAAGAAAUACCAGAGUAAACAAACUAGAAAUUGGUGCCAAAUCUGUUAGAAGGGAGAGAGGGAUAUGGUGGAAUAGUUUGUUGUAUUGCUUGAGCCUCGUGGGCAUAUAUAUAUAUAGGAGUACAUGAUCUACUUGGAGUACAAGGCAAGCUAGAAUAUUUCCUAGUCUAACCUAUGUUUCCUAAUACAAUCACGUUACUCAACAUCCCCCCGCAGUCACAACGGUAGCAACGCAGACGGUGAGACUAGAGAAGAAUACAAAGGCAAGCUGACGGACACCCCCCCACAGUCGUAACGGUCGACGCAUCGCAGAGUCGUGGCUGGAGUGGAAACCAACGAGGUUGCUCAAGCAGGCGGUAGCCCUUUGUGCCGUUUGUCGAUGUAGCCAAGAGCGGGGGUGGUGAAGCCGUGGUCGAGGUAGCCAUGCGAAGAAUGCCGUGGUCGAUGUCGAGUCGGGGUGGCCGGUGUCGAGGAAGUCGUCGUGGAGCCACGGGCGCAAGAGGGCGCCGAGUUAGCAUGGGCGCAGUGGUGUCGAAGUAGGGGUGCACCGGGAAGAAAAUGUUGUUGACGACGCGUCGCGACGGAUUUGCCAAGCCCGGGGACACAUGGUGGACGAAGGCACGCCCCGGUGUUGCCAGCACCGGGCAUGCGUAGACGAACGAAGACGAAGUUGACGAAGCGCUGCUACCUCUUGAGCACUGCGUUAGUUUUCCCUUGAAGAGGAAAGGGUGAUGCAGCAAAGUAGCGUAAGUAUUUCCCUCAGUUUUUGAGAACCAAGGUAUCAAUCCAGUAGGAGGCUACGCGCGAGUCCCUCGCACCUACACAAAACAAAUAAAUCCUCGCAACCAACGCGAUAAGGGGUUGUCAAUCCCUACACGGUCACUUACGAGAGUGAGAUCUGAUAGAUAUGAUAGGAUAAUAUUUUUGGUAUUUUUAUGAUAAAGAUGCAAAGUAAAAUAAAAGCAAAGUAAAAAGCAACGGAAAUAACUAAGUGUUGGAAGAUUAAUAUGAUGAAGAUAGACCCGAGGGCCAUAGGUUUCACUAGUGGCUUCUCUCAAGAGCAUAAAUAUUUUACGGUGGGUGAACAAAUUACUGUUGAGAAAUUGACAGAAUUGAGCAUAGUUAUGAGAAUAUCUAGGUAUGAUCAUGUAUAUAGGCAUCACGUCCGAGACAAGUAGACCAACUCCUGCCUGCAUCUACUACUAUUACUCCACACAUCGACCGCUAUCCAGCAUGCAUCUAGAGUAUUAAGUUCAUAAGAACAGAGUAACCCCUUAAGCAAGAUGACAUGAUGUAGAGGGAUAAAUUCAUGCAAUAUGAUAAAAACCCCAUCUUGUUAUCCUCGAUGGCAACAAUACAAUACGUGCCUUGCUGCCCCUACUGUCACUGGGAAAGGACACCGCAAGAUUGAACCCAAAGCUAAGCACUUCUCCCAUUGCAAGAAAGAUCAAUCUAGUAGGCCAAACCAAACUGAUAAUUCGAAGAGACUUGCAAAGAUAACCAAUCAUACAUAAAAGAAUUCAGAAGAUUCAAAUAUUGUUCAUAGAUAAACUUGAUCAUAAACCCACAAUUCAUCGGUCUCAACAAAACACCGCAAAACAAGAUUACAUCGAAUAGAUCUCCACGAGAGAGGGGGAGAACAUUGUAUUGAGAUCCAAAAAGAGAGUAGAAGCCAUCUAGCUAAUAACUAUGGACCCGAAGGUCUGAGGUAAACUACUCACACAUCAUCGGAGGGGCUAUGGUGUUGAUGUAGAAGCCCUCCGCGAUCGAUGCCCCCUCCGGCGGAGCUCCGGAACAGGCCCCAAGAUGGGAUCUCGUGGGUACAGAAGGUUGCGGCGGUGGAAUUAGGUUUUUGGCUCCGUAUCUGAUCGUUUGGGGGUACGUAGGUAUAUAUAGGAGGAAGGAGUACGUCGGUGGAGCAACAGGGGGCCCACGAGGGUGGAGGGCGCGCCUGGGGGCGGGGGGUAGGCGCGUCCCCCUACCUCGUGGCUUCCCUAUUGGUUGCUUGACGUACGGUCCAAGUCUCCUGGAUCAUGUUCGUUCCAAAAAUCACGUUCCCGAAGGUUUCAUUCCGUUUGGACUCCGUUUGAUAUUCUUUUUCUGCGAAACUCUGAAAUAGGCAAAAAACAGCAAUUCUGGGCUGGGCCUCCGGUUAAUAGGUUAGUCCCAAAAAUAAUAUAAAAGUGAAUAAUUAAGCCCAAUAAUGUCCAAAACAGAAUAUAAUAUAGCAUGGAGCAAUAAAAAAUUAUAGAUACGUUGGAGACGUAUCAAGCGCCGACCAGGCUUGCCAGGCCCGGGGACACGUCGUGGAUGAAGGCACGCAUCGGUGUUGCCAGCACCGGGCAUGCGUAGACGAGGGACCUGCACGAGCUGUAUGCCAUGUCGGAGAAGUCGGAGGGGCCAGCAGAGAAGAACUCGACGACGAUUGCGGCGUCCAUCGACACGGGUGCGAUGUCACCAAUGGUGGAUGGAGUAGACGAAGUGGUCGGAGUAGAUGACGGCGACGCUGGUGACGGGCUGGUGCUUGGACGAAGACGAAGGGGUUGGACGGGCGGCGGCGGCUACGAAAGUAGCGGCGGCGGCGGCCAAAGAAGAGGGGCGACGGCGGCCUGAUGGCGGCGGCUAGGUUAGGAGUGCGGCGGCGGUGCUCGAAGUAGGCGAAGAACCCUGACUGCGUGACGAAGACCGGCGCAGACGGUGGCGUUCUCGCGCCAAGGGAGACGGCGCGGCGCAUACCACGGGAGGUCGACACGCGGUGACGGUGGAGUGGACCGCGGGCCGCGGUGCUACGGCCCAAAGGGGCGACGGCGGGGACCGCGGGCCGCGACGCUGCGGCCUGAAGGGGCGACGCACCGGCGGUUCGCGAGUCGGUGCAGCCGCGGGGACGGCCUCUGGGUGGCGGCGGGGACCACGUAUCGCGGCACUAUGACCCGAAGGGACGACGCAGCGACCACGCAUGAGUCGAUGCAGACGCAAGGAGAACCACGGGGCGCCGGCGCUGCGGCCCGACGGGGCGACGCAGCGGCAGCCCGAUGCUCGAUCGGCGGAGAGGUGCGCGGUACUUGGGACGAUCUUCACUGGACAUGAGGAGGCGCGCGUAACCGACAGGCCAGGUCGGUCGCGCGACGUAGAUGAGGCGGAUCGUGGCGGCGAGCGGGUCAUCAAGCCGAUCGCGCGCGAGGUCGGGGACGCCGAUCGGUGGAGACGGGGUGGCGGCAGAGUCCGCGAUGAGGCCGGCGACAACGGACGACGUGGGACGUCGUGCGAACGAGCUUGUCAGCACCGGCACCCGGGAUGCCAAAGCAGCGCCGGCGCUCGGGCAGCGAGGCCCAAGCGACCAACGGAACAACGGCGUUCGAGUUGAGGCAGCCGACGAGCCUGACGGAGCCGUCCCGACGCACCCGAGAACGAGGCCGGCGAGGUAGACCGCCGGGCCGCCGUGCAGACGCGGCAGAGGCGGGUGACGUGGAUCGAUGGGUGGGCUGGCAUGCGAGCGACGGCUAUGAUUGGCCGUCGCAUGGCGCGAGGCUGCUGGGUCGGGGCGAUGCAGGUGUCCCGGUCGGAGCAGGGCAGUGACGGCCGACGCAGGGCGACGGGCGUACCGACGCGCGGACGGCGGCUGGCCCUGACGGGCCGCCUCAGCGCGCUUGGCCGCCGGGUCGGAGGAGAGGCCGGCUGGUCGCGCCGGGGUCGGAGUAGAGGCGCACGGGGGUCGACGGCGGCGGCGGGCGACGCAAACCGAUCAAGAAUAGAUCGGAAAAGCAAAAAGAAAAACGCCGAUCAAAACGACUGGCAAGAGAGCGAAAAAACCCGGAGCAAGGGCUCGGGAAAAAGACUCUCUAGGGCAGCCGGCUAACACGGCCGGCGGACGAACCCUAGGUACGGACGGCGCGGCCCCCGGGGGCGGUCAUGGAGGCCGACCGCCCCGGAGGCGGCGCGCGGGUGCGGAAGCGGCGGCGGCUAGGGUUUGGAUCGUGAUUAGGCUGAUACCAUGUUAGAAGGGAGAGAGGGAUAUGGUGGAAUAGUUUGUUGUAUUGCUUGAGCCUCGUGGGCAUAUAUAUAGGAGUACAUGAUCUACUUGAACUACAAGGCAAGCCAGAAUAUUUCCUAGUCUAAACUAUGUUUUCUAAUACAAUCACGUUACUCAACAAAAUCUUAAACUUGAAAUUCAUUUUAUCGGCACAUGGUUUUACUUCUCCUGAUCGAUCUAUCUAAAAGCCAAAUAACAGUAUGGAAAGCAUGGAUCCUAGUUUUCAUGGAGCGAAGACGACUAGCUUUCUCGAGGCCAUCAUGUACAGAACAGGGGAUGAAGCCAAUGCCAGGUCCAAGAUGCCCGUUCAAGCCAAAUUGCUAUUAAAUCUUAAACAUGAUAUAUUCAUCUUAUGAGGACAUACUAGCACAUAUGCCCGUGCGUUGCAACGGGAGAUUUUUUUGCGACAAGCAUCGGGAGAGGUAAUUGAUGUGUUCAUCAAAACAGUCUCCACACAAUAGUAGGGCGAUAGAGCAGAGAGCCGUGGUGUUCUCGCGGGUCAUGUUUGGCCCGUGAGAUCUUUAUAGUAGUGGGGUUGAUGGGAGUGGCGGCCACUAUCCAAUUCGUACAUUUUUUUCCUCCACGUCCGCCUCCUUGUGAAGAUUGUGGUGACCUCCUGAUUUUUUUAAAACAUGUGAGCAUUUCUUUUGAAAAUAGUUAAUUUCUAGAAAAAGUAAAACAAAACUUGAAAUAGGAAGAUUUUCUUAAAUUCACAAACACUUUUUGAAAACAGGAUCAUUUUUAAGGCGGAGAAACGAAUUUUUUUUGAAUUUGUGAACAAUUUUUUAAAAUGGAUACUUGUUUUGAAUAUUCAAAUCCAUUUUCAAAUUUUUUUUAAUCACGAACAUUAUUUUGAAUUAGUAAACAUUUCGAUAAAAUGAAUAUUUUUCGAAUUUCUAUUAUUUUUGAAAUGAAAUUUAUUUUAGAAAUCUAGAAAAACUUUCAAUUUUUUUUGAAAAAUGUGAACAUUUUUUUAAUUUGAAAACAAUUUGAACGAAAAUAAAAAUGUACAUUUCCAAAUGUUUUUGAAAUUGGGAACAAAAUUUGAAAUUCUAAGAUUCAACAAAAAUUAGUAAAAAAAAGAAAUUUUAGAAAAUUUACAAAAUGAAUUUAUGGGAAAAGAAAAAAUAAAUUGGAAGAGAAAAAAUAAAAUAUAUAGAAAAGCACAGAAAAAAUUGAAAUGGGCGACCGAUGGUAAGCUCCAACAUUGGGCGACCGAUGGUAAGCUCCAACUAUAUGCCGUGCUGUGCGACAAAUAAGGUUUCCCAACUGCGUGCGCAUGAUAUAAAUGGGUAGCUUUUCUGGGCCUUAGUGCGUGCGGCCCACGUACGAAAUUCUGGACAAAACUUUUUAUUUUUAGCAGAUGGACCAUAAAAAUUUAGUACCACCUCGGAUAUAAGAAAAAUAUUUUUGAUGAUGAACGGAUGAAAAAAUUGAAGAAACGCACCUUGCUUUAUUAGUAAGUAUAGAGUUAUGGUUUCCUUGAUCGAUCUCCAAACAGCUAAGAUAACAUCAUGAUCUUGCGAGGCUUCCAAAGACAGAUCGGUGGCUCAAGCCAAGACGAGGUCCAAGGUGCGCCCCGAGCCAUCAGCCUCCUCCUUGGCGCCAUCCACCGGCUGCGCGCUGCUGCUGGACGACUCCCACCGCCCCAGAAAGUCGAUCUCGGCCGGGGGCUCCCCUCCACUGCGGUACUCCUUCCAAAACUCAGAGUUGGCUCCAACCAUGCUACGGGUGCCGCCAUUCCCAGCUCGAACUGCCACAAGUGCUGGAGCCACGGUUGGGGACGCCACCGUGGCAAGCGGCGCUGCAGGGGCUGGCAGCCCUGCGGCCGCCACUGCUGCGAGGUCUUGGUGCCACAGCUGGGAGCGGCACCACGGGCGGAUGCGCGGUAGGGUUUGCCGUCCCAGCCAGGGUCUGCGGCCCUACAGGCAGCCCUCCAUUUGGUCCACAGCCGUCCGGGUUCCAACUUCCAAGCCAUCGGGUGGAUUUGAGUGAAGAACGGGUUGACAGCGAGGAGUAGGAAGAGCUAGCUUGCUUGGGGAAAAUGGGCUGCCAUGGUUACACUUAUAUAGGAUGCGGCUGGACCCCCCAACGGUCAAAAUGGCGUUACAACGGGUCAUCUCGAUGCGGAAACUUAUCACUCGUGCUUUUUUUUUAAGCAGGAAACUUGUCACAGCGGAUGUACUUAUCACUUGUGCUUUUUUAGUAAGAAACAAACGUAUAUAGACGCUAGCUUCCGGUUGACCGGUUUUACACAUCAUGAAGACCGUCAAAGGAAUAAUUAUAUGAGCCAGAGACACCACUUUUAAAUUUUAGUACUUCCUAACAUAUUCCAGGCGCCCAUGAUUGUUGUUUUCACUUCAGUUCGGCCAAGUGACCAAAUAAUUCUCCGUACUUUAUUCCUAGAUCAAGCCCAAGAAUUAUUCCCAAGGAUGUUAGAGUGCCCACCUCGUAGGAGCCUCGAGGGGCAAGAUUCGCCCCGCGCCAUCCGUUUCACGGUGGCAUGCCGUGGGCGCCUCUAUGGGGCUCUCCACGCCAUACGAGCAUCCCGGACGGUGCACACCUUGGUCACUUGUCUCAGUCGUCCAUGAUCGGUGGACAUCGGGGGCGCACGAGGCCAACGCCAUCUGGUGGCUUUCGUCGCACCUGCUUGCCCACGCGUGAUNNNNNNNNNNNNNNNNNNNNNNNNNNNNNNNNNNNNNNNNNNNNNNNNNNNNNNNNNNNNNNNNNNNNNNNNNNNNNNNNNNNNNNNNNNNNNNNNNNNNNNNNNNNNNNNNNNNNNNNNNNNNNNNNNNNNNNNNNNNNNNNNNNNNNNNNNNNNNNNNNNNNNNNNNNNNNNNNNNNNNNNNNNNNNNNNNNNNNNNNNNNNNNNNNNNNNNNNNNNNNNNNNNNNNNNNNNNNNNNNNNNNNNNNNNNNNNNNNNNNNNNNNNNNNNNNNNNNNNNCAGGCGGGGCAUGGGUCAUGGCCAAGAGGACGGCUCGCUUGUGGGGUCAGGACGUCAGAACCGUUAGCCCCAUGACGGGUUGUUUCGGUCUGUUUUAUUGGCCCCAACCUGGUGCACAAGGGCGGCGUGCACGGGCUUGUUCGCGCGCCAACCGAGUCCUCUGCCGCGCCCUAAGCGUCGUUAUGUACGUGGGGCCGGCCUAUUAAGAUCGUUCACCUCAUGUCCGGCUAGUUCUUGUUGUUUCGUUUGCCCCACCCGGAUACGCGUAGGUGACACGCUUGGUUCGAGCCCGACGACAUGUAUCGUCCGGCUAAUGGACGGAAAAUGGGACACGCCACACGCACGAUGCGCUAGCCGAACAUACACGGGUAGAGUUGUGUUCGUCCCGACCUUCUUUGGCCGGUCGACAGCGUAAGGUGGUCGUAUGCUUCUUGGGUCUUGUUUGUGCGCUCGUUUCUGCAUGCCCACCCCGUGUGAUUAUGCCGGCUCGUUUGUCUCAGUGUUACCAUUUUCUUUAGCCCAUCUCCUUCAUUUGCUUUCCUUCUACCCUUGCUUUGGGUCGAUCAUCCCUCGCUAGCCUCCCCUGGAGGUUAUCUUUGGCUUCCUCGCUGCCGUCCGGUGACGACGGCCGUUGCUCUUCUCGCUAAGCUAGCGGCUCUCAUUGAGUUCCUCCCUUGCCAUUUAAGGUCCGGUUUGGCCUUUUGCCUUGCCAUUUAAGGUCCGGUUUGGCCUUUUGCCUUGCCAUUGUCUCAAGCUCGGCGGGUCUGGCUCAGCCCUUACGAGUUUCUUCUUGUCAUUGUUGGGCUUGUAUGUUGCUGCUUCAGGUGGGUUGCUUCUUUGCUUGCAUGAUGCUUUGUUUGUGCUGCUAUUUCCGUACUUGGGAGGAACGAUGCUUAGACUUGACAGUUGCAUGGGGUGUGGAGAGGGCAGGGUAGGGCAGCAGGCGCGCGGCGUGGCAAUUGGAGAGCGUUCCUCUUCAUAUAUCAACAAGGUCAAACAAUUCUCCCUUUUUGCAUAUCCGGGUGGGUUCUCUAUUGCCUCGUCUACCUCCUUCACUUUGGACUAACUGCGUCCCACCCCGGCCUACUACCAUAAGUCCUCAAGUUGCCGUAGCCUUUUCUGAAUUUUUCAAAGAAAAUGCACAACAUGAUUCGUUGCCCCGUUCUGAUUGCAUGCUCUGACUGUGAUGCCAACUCUUAUCUCGCCGCAAGCUGUGGUAAUGCUCCCAGUUGUGGAACCAACACCUAUCGCUAGCCGUAAUGCCGCUCCUAUCUCCUUCACCGCUGGCACUUAUCGCAUCUCCAGAUGGGGAUGGUGGCGCCCGUAGAAUGAUGUCGUGGCCUGCACCUAACCAUGGGUUUUGAGAGGACCACCGCAGGGGAGGACAUCGUCCGGCUCCGUCCAUCCAAACUAAAGUGUAUUAGAGCGUUUGGCAGCACCACGCAGCUGGUGGAUGACACCGAAGUGGAGGCCGAUGAUACAGUGAGCACCUCGGACUUGACAUUGGUUUGAGCUGCCAAUAAAUACUUGGAUCCCUCCCAACAGCUAAUCGCCAAUAAGACUAGCUUUUCCCUCGAUAAACAAAUAUCAUCCAUGAUUUUCAUCCUGUUAUCUUAUAUGCUUGGAUAGAUCAAAGGGAAAACAGAACUCUGUGACAAUGAGUUGAAUAUCAUGUUUAAAAUUUAGUAGCAGUCUCUAGUUAAUUUAAUCUCGUAUUUCUUACACUGAUCACAGGGGCGGAGCCACCGUUGUAGCGUUGAGUUCAAGUGAACCCAACGACUUAUUUCUGCCAUGUACGUGUGUAUAGGUAAUCGUGUGUAUGAACCGAGUUGAAAAUCUAGGUUGCACCCAUAAAUCUUCACAUGACUAACCCAGCCGAAGCUCAUAAGUAAACUUACAUGGCCUCCGUGUGUGCGCCAGAUUCCAUGUCUCGUACGAGAUUGUACGCAUCUGAUCGCAUCUCUCGCUCGGCGUCACCAAGGUCUUCCGUCUAGUCGCCUCUCCCUAUCUCCAGCAGCAAGCCCGCGAGGAAGAAACAGCAGGUUGGUAUAUGUUAGGAAAUAAACCACGAGUGUGUCAUGGUGUGUGUGCCAGGGUCAGUCACGUGCGUGUGUGUGCGUGGAUGGCGCGUGAGUCCGAGCUCAUGUCCAUGUCCAUCCAGCGGCUAGGUCAUGCGGCGAUGGUUGUUAGUUGCAGCGAGCGCAGCAGAUGCAUGAUGGUGACCAGGUAUAGCGGAGGAGCAGGUUGCUCACCGUGUUAGAGGACCGGAUCACCAGGAUGGAUAUGCCUGCAUGGCCCGACGUGCUGUUGGUGCAUGCAUGGUCGUGUCAUGGUGGAGAUUUUUUAGGGUUGUUAGCGGGCGUGCGUAGGUGCUAUUAGUGGCCGGUAUGGUGGCCGGACUAUAUAUACGUGUUUGUGAUGCUUGUAAUCAGUCGAGCCAAGUGAAUACAGAGAGAAAAAAGGCCCUGGCGUUUGUCGCCGGGGCGGGCGUCCGUCGCCCGACAAAAUCCGUCUCCUCGUGUUCUUGUGAUUGUUUGUCGAUCCUUGGUUCCAACAAUUGGUAUCAUGAGCUCGUUCAUCUUGGGUGUCGUCUCCUUGCCGGAGGCAUGCCGGCGGCUACGCGGUGAAGCUCCAGGCCGUGUGUCGGCCUGUGGAGGUGCGCGGCGCUGCGGCAGCCAUGGCGGACGCGGAGGUGGCGCGUGGUGAGUCCACGGCUUGUGGUGUGGUCGGGCUCGCCGGGUGUGCGCGGGACGUGCGGGACGCACCGGUGCGGUUGGGCUCGUCGGGCGCGUCGGGUGUGCGCGGGACGUGCGAGACGCCGAGGGACGUCAGGCGUGUGUCUCCGGCGGAGGAGGAGCUCGGCGUAUGUCGCCGGAGACGUGACGGAGCACGGUGGGACCGGCGUCAAUGUGCCAGGUCGGGUCCGCGGGCUGGGUCACGGUCGUGGCGACAUCGACGACGGGAGCUACACCAACUCCGACGACGACGACAUCAUGGUUUAGGGACAGUAUGUUAGGAAAUAAACCACGAGUGUGUCAUGGUGUGUGUGCCAGGGUCAGUCGCGUGGGUGUGUGCGUGGAUGGCGCGUGAGUCCAAGCUCAUGUCCAUGUCCAUCCAGCGCCUAGGUCAUGCGGCGAUGGUUGUUAGUUGCAGCGAGCGCAGCGGAUGCAUGAUGGUUAUCAGGUAUAGCGGAGGAGCAGGUUGCUCACCGUGUUAGAGGACCGGAUCACCAGGAUGGAUAUGCCUGCAUGGCCCGACGUGCUGUUGGUGCAUGCAUGGUCGUGUCAUGGUGGAGAUUUUUCAGGGUUGUUAGUGGGCGUGCGUAGGUGCUGUUAGUGGCCGGUAUGGUGGCCGGACUAUAUAUACGUGUUUGUGAUGCUUGUAAUCAGUCGAGCGAAGUGAAUACAGAGAGAAAAAAGGCCCCGGCGUUUGUCGUUGGGGCGGGCGUCCGUCGCCGCGGGUGUUCGUCGCCUGACAAAAUCCGUCUCCUCGUGUUUUUGUGAUUGUUUGUCGAUCCUUGGUUUUAACAGUAUUUAGUACAAAUUCAAGAUAAUGAGAGAUCACAUCACCACAUGUUCUUUUUUGCAUAUUCUAUUUAUCCUAGCAUGGUAAUGACCUUUGCCCUAUUUUUCUAACUAACUUUUCCAGAACUUUGAUUGAUCUAGGAUGUGGAGCGAUAUUUCUUGAAGACAAAUUGAUCACCAGACUCAGAUUAUGAUGUAGGUACUUCCAGGCCACCUGUUAGAUGUUGGUAAAGUGCCUCAAAUGUUGUUGAUGCAAAUAGUAUUAUGAACCCCACUAUACCGAGAAAUUAUAUUAAGAUGAUCCAUCUAUUAUUUGUGUUGCUGCCUUUUCACAGAUCACAAACGGGGAAAGUUGGGAGUUGCUGGAAUGGUUGAAAGGGGACACGCUGAAAUGUGAGUGAUUGUACAUGCUUCGUAUGAUUGAUGGUAUUAUACACAGGUCAAACUAACUUGACUUUUUUUACGGUGUUUUCGAGAAGGAGAAGCCUCACCUGAAGCUAUGAAGUUAUUUUGGUGCUACUCUACUCACAAUAUGUAAACAAUGGAAAUUUAAAAUUUCAUCCAACUGUAUGACUUGCAAUUUUUUAUUUUAAAAUGUUGUAGCAUUUUGUUUUCAAUGUAUAAAAUAUGAGUGCUACCGUAUUUCUAUUUGUUAUGUUGUCUUUGGAUCCUAUAGUCUUGUUAGAUGAUAAUGUGAAAUUGGACAUUAUACUUAAUUAAGUCAUACUAAAUUUACACAAUAAAUUAAUGACUGAACCCAUUAACUCGAAUUUCUGGCUCCGCCCCUGACUGAUCAUGAUGUGUACUCAUAGGCCUCCGAGGGGAAAAUAACAUAUGAGAUAAUUUGUGGUGUUCAGAUUUUAUUACGUAUUAAAGAUAGUGGUGUUCACAUAUAUAAUAACUUCUUUUAGAACAUGGUCUGUGUCAUCUCUGACUUCCAGUUAUAAGGUUCAAAAUUUAAAUUCAGAUUCAAUUAUGUUUAAUCUCAUUUUUCAUGGGCUGGGUUCCACGCGAAAAACUACUUCUAUGGAUGUACUCGAGUGAGCCCUAUUUUGAAUAGUGUCAAAAUGGUAUUUUAAAGAUUUAAAAAAUCCAAUAAAAUUUAUAUAUGUUCAUAUGCAUGUACACUACACAUGUGUGAAACUAAUGUGAUGCGAUAAGUAACUACCUGAGCUACACAAAAAUGACAAAAUAGGAUUCUGGGAAGAUGAAUACUGUAUGUACUGCUCACUAUUUAGAAAUCACGAUUUUGUCAUUUUUGUGUACCUCACAUGUGUACUAAUUUCAUCACCAUAUGGUACACAUGUGUAACCUACAUCCAUAUGGACAUUCAUAAUUCAAUUUCGGAAAUUCUUGAAACAAAAAAAAAUGAGAUUUUUGAACUAUACAAAAUAAAGUGCUUCAAUGCCCACGUGCUACAAAAAUCAGCUUUAGGGUUCCUUGUCACAUGUACAUGUCGAAUUUGUAUUCAUACGUGCAAACUAAAAAAGGCAAGUCAAUCCUUAGAGUAAGCGUGUGCACACAUUGUGCACGAUUGUUUUAGUUGUGGUUGUUGCAAUUGGAAUAUGGGUGUAGUUUUCCUUCAUUGAGACGGCUUGCACUGGUACAACUUUCUAGAUUGGUCGACAUAAAAACAUCGUUUAGGGAGGUGUGCUUUGGAACCCAAGCUUCGGUGAGCUAGUUUCUCAAAAAACAUAUUUGAGAGUCGUAAUGCCGCUCCAAGCUCCUUCAACGCCAGCACUUGUCGAGGUUCAAGAUGGGGAUGGUGGCGCCCGUAGAAUGAUGCCGUGACCUGCACCGAACCAUGGGUUUUGGGAGGACUACCGCAGGGGAGGACAUGGCCCGGCUCCGUCCAUCCAAACUGAAGUGUGUCAGAGCAUUUGGCAGCACCACACAGCUGGUGGACUACACCGAAGAGGAGGCCGAUGACAUAGUGAGCACCUUGGACUUGACUUUGGCUUGAGCUACGAAUAUGUACUUGGAGGCCUCCCAACAGCUAAUCACCAAUAAGAGUAGCUUUUCCCUCGAUAAACAAAAUCAUUCAUUCUUUUCAUCAUGUUAUCUUAUAUGCUUGGAUAGAUAACACGGAAAACAAUACUCUGUGACGAUGAGUCGAAUAUCAUGUUUAAAAAUUAGUAGCAAUCUCUAGUUUGUUUAAUCUGGUAUAUACACUGAUCACUAUGGCGGAGCCACCGUUGUAGCGUCGGGUUCAAGUGAACCCCACGAAUUUUUGCUGCCAGGUACGUCUGUAUAGGUAAUCGCAUGUAUGAACCCAGUCGAAAAUCUAGGCACCACCCAUCGGAAUUGGAAUGCCCGAGCUAAAAGCCUAUUAGCCCACAAAUCUUCACGCAACUAGCCCAGCUGAAGCCCAUAAGUAAAUUUCUAUGGCCUCCAUGUGUGCAUCAGAUUCCAUGUCUCAUAUGAGAUUGUACGCAUUGAUACGUCCAUUUUGCAUCAUGUUUUCCUACUGUUGUUUAUAAUAUUUUUGGUCAUUAUUUCACUUUAUGAUGCAAUUAUAAUACCUUGUCUCUUAACUUGCAAGAUUUACAUGGAGACGGAAAGCUACAGCAGAGAUAACUAUUAUGUGGAGCUCCAAAUGACUUGAAACUCUACAGAGAUUUUUUAUUGAGUAUACGAAAAAUAGUGGAACAAUGUUCUAUCAGAGGCGGGCCACCUGCUGCUCACAAGACAACAGGGCGCGCCCUAUUACCUUAUGGGGCCCACAGCUGGCCUUUGCCCCCUCCUCCUGCUAUAAGAACUCAUUUACCCUAAAAAAUGAAAAUGCAGACUUUCGGGACGUAGCGCCGCCGUCUCACGGAGGAACCUGGGCAGGAGCACUUUUGGUCUCCAGCGGAGCGAUUCCGUCGGGGAUACUUCCCUUCGGGAGGGGGAAAUUGAAGCCAUCGACAUCACCAACAAUCUUCUCAUCGUGGGAGCAUCAAUCUUCAUAAACAUCUUCACCACCAGCACCAUAUCAUCUCAAACCCAAUUUCAUCUCUUGUAUUCAAUAUUUGUCCCAAAACCUCAGAUUGGUACCUGUGGGUUGUUAUAGUAGUGUUGAUUACAUCUGGUAGUUGAUGCUAGUUAGUUUAUUUGGUGGAAGGUUAUAUUUUCUGAUCCUUAAGCAUAUCCAAUAUACCUCUGAUCUUGAACGUGAAAAUGAUUUGUGAGUAGUUACUUUGUUCUUGAGGACAUGGGAGAAGUCUUGUUAUAAGUAAUCAUGUGAAGUUGGUAUUCGUUUGAUAUUUUGAUGACUGAACCUAUUAACUCGAUAUUCUAACUCCGCCCCUGACUGAUCGUGAUGUGUACACAUAGGCCUCAGAGGGAAAAAUAUCAUAUGAGAUAAUUUGUGGUGUUCACAUUUUAUUUCAUAUUAAAGAUAGUGAUGUUCACAUAUAUAAUAACAUCAUUUAGUACAUGGUUUGUGUCAUCACUGACUUCCAGUUAUAAGGUUCAAAGUUUAAAUUUGGAUUCAAUUAUUUUUAAUCUCAUUUUCCUGGGAUGGGCUCCAUGCGAAAAACCACUUCUGUGCAUGUACUCCAGAGACCACUAUUUUGAAUAGUGUCAACAUGGAAUUUCAAAGUUUCAAAAAAUCCAAUAAAAUUUAUAUAUGUUCAUAUGAAUGUAAACUACACGUGUGUGAAAUUCAUGUGAUGCGAUAAGUAACUUGGUGAGCUACACAAAAAUGACAAAAUAAGAUUUGGGAAGAUGAAUAGUGUAUGUACUGCUCGGUAUUUAGAAAUCACGAUUUUGUCAUUUUUGUGUAGCUCACAUGUUUACUUAUUUCAUCACCAUAUUGUACACAUGUGUAACAUACAUCCAUAUGAACAUUCAUAAUUUUUUGAAACAAAAAAUGUGAUUUUUGAACUAUACAAAAUAAAGUGCUUCAAUGCCCGCGUACUUAAAAAAUUAGCUUUAUUGUUUUGUGUCACAGGUAUAUGCCGAAUUUGUAUUCAUGCAUGGAAAUUCAAAAGGCAAGUUGAUCCUCAGAGUAAGCGUGUGCACACAUUGUGCAUGGUUGUUUAAGCUGUGGUUGUUGAAAUUGGAAUACGGGUGGAGUUUUCCUUCAUUGAGAUGGCUUGCGCUGGUAAUAUUUCCUGAUGCUACAUUAUAAAUUAAAAAUGCAGUUUUGCCACCCUUAGCUUUUGAAAAUGCAUGGUAGUUGUCAAUCUGCGGCAAAGGAAAAAAAAUCAUUUCACUUUUGACAUUCUUAGGUUUUGACAAUGUUUCUCAAUUGCCACUCUGAAAAUUUUGUUUUUCCUACAAAAUGCCAAUUGUGAUGUAUUACAAAAAUAACAAUUAAGAUGUAUUGUUAAAAGCUAAGAGUAGCAAAAAUAAAACGUCAACUUUUUAAAUAACGAAAAUUGGCAAAAACAAAUUGCAGCCAGGAAAAUCUAGCAAGAGUGAUCAGCCGCCUUGUAGAGUCUGAGUCUGUCAUACGAACCAACAUGUGAUUUGAUGGUUAGAAGGAUUAUGGUAUCUUCGGCACAUCAGGGUUCAAGUCUUGGUGCUUGUAUUUUUCUGAAUUUAUUUCAGGGUUUUCGGCCGGUCGCGUUCAGUUGGAGGAAACAUUCUCGUCGACUACAAGACACUAAUGGUGACGUUAUCAAUUUCAAAAUGAUAUGACAGCUCAGUCUCUAGGAGAUGCUUAUAAAAAUAGGGUGUGUACAUGCGUGUUUACUAAUGUCUCUGCCUGGUGUUAAGUAAACGUCCUAGUGACGACAACGGACAGUGAGGGAGGUGGUGAUGUUGCACGUAGACGGCAUGCAGUUCCGUCCGGCUCGCUGUGAAUGAGCAAAGUAAGUCAUUCACGUCACAUGAUUAUUAAUGGCACCCCAUAGCUGCUACUAGUAGUACGAGUAUCUAUCCCCCACAACACUCCCACGCUCCCAGCUGGCUCCAUCCGUCCCCUUUUCUUUCUCCUCCGCCGACGCCACUCCUGCAGGGUUCGAGCUAGCGAGCAUGCACGCGAGACGAGUGAUGUCGAUGGGAGCCGGAGCAGAGCCGGAGACGGACGACGGCCACAAGGCCGUCUUCAACAUGAAGGUCUUCUCCGACAGGGAUCUACGGGUAGAGGUCGUCGGCCGCGAUGACGACGCGCUCGGGUCCGGCGCCAGCCACAAGCGCUCCCGCGAGGAUGACAAAGGUGCAUGCAAUAGCCAGCAUCCAGGCCUCCGUUGGUGCGCCGGUCCGUACCGUUGACUAUUUUACUCUUCUAUUUUUGUUCCUUUUCUCCGGGGUGUUAGUUGGUACAACCUUCAUCCAAAUUAUUAACAUCCGUAUCUAGAAAUUUCUAAAACAAGUAAUUUGACACGGAGAGUUCUCUUUGUUCAUAGCUAGUAAAUUCGUCUAGAUUUAAGGUAAUUAAUUUAGGUUUAUGUUCUUCAUAUUUGUGGGUAAUUAGUUUUCCACAAAUCCAUAUGCAUAUCUGAUGAAUGGAUAUCAUAUUUAUCCUGACAAAGCAAUCAAAAGAUAAAUAUGUUCUUCAAUCCACUGCACUGCACAUACUUGAAUGCAGCAGAACUUUAUGUAGCUGGUGAGAAAAGCUAGAACGAUUUGGCAUAAUUUGUAUUACCUCCGUCCUGAAAAGGUUGCCUUAGUUUUGUGUAGAUACGGAUACAGAUCUAUCUAGUCAUGUUCAAGAAAACGGCCGAUUAACCAGUUAACUGGCUGAUUAAUCCCUACUUGUAGGCUCACCAAGUAGCCGAUUAAUGGAUUAAUCAGCCGAUUAAUGGAUUAAUUGUCCAAUUAGCCUAUUAAUCUUCUACUCGCCACCCAACUGAGUAGCUACCAGUUAAUGAUUUCCUCAACAUUGAUCUUGCACUAACAUCUUUUUUAGGAUGGAAGGAGUAUGUGACUAGAAGUAGACAUUUGCUUUCCCUUGCCGUUUCCUUCAUAGGUUCACUUGUUUUUUUGUUUGUUGUUUUUCGCAUGUGGCUCCUUUUUUGUUGCUUUUCGUAAUUUGUUCGGGGUGGCCAUGGUGUGAGAUCCAUACAGACUUUGCCUACCAAAUGGAUAUUUUCUCAUCCAUUACAGGUUUCACAAUUGAUCAAUACACUUCAGUGAUCAUCUUUGCGUAAAACAAUAUAUAGUUAUCCCUUUUCUUUUCCACUUCUUUAUUUAAUUGUUAUGUUUGAGAUUUAUUGAACUGUUUCAUCAAUCCUUAUGCCUCCUUGCCUUCAUUUUCAACAGAGGUUAAAGCCUUCAUGGAGCUGUUACGCCAUAUGUAUAGUGGAAAGUUGACAGCAGCAAUUGAGCCCACUCCUCCUGUUUAUUUAUUGAUGGCUGCUGACAAAUUUGAGGUCGUUUCCUGCAUGAAGCUUUGCAUUCAGCUUCUCAUGGUCCUGCACUCCUGCCUAUGACUCCAGAAUCUGCAGUUAUGUGCCUAGAUCUCUCAUGUUCCAUUCCAAUGGCAGCAGACCUGACAGAGGCAGCCAAGAAAUUCCUUGCUGAAAGGUACACGGAAUUCC
rnacentral:lncRNA from 1 species